rnacentral:lncRNA from 1 species
UCUCAAUUGUGUUGUUCUCUUAACGUUAAGCUCUGUUUUAUUAGCUCUCGGUUCGAGCCAAGAUAAACCGGCCGGUUUAACUAAAACCAAAUAUUUCAUCGGGUUUUUAUCCACGAUCGGGGCCGGUUUACUCUUCGCGCUCUACCUGCCCGUGACGGAGAGGGUCUACAGGUCCGUUUAUUGCUACGCGAUGGUCAUGGAGAUGCAACUGGUUAUGGAAUUUUCUGCCACGGUUUUCGCCACAAUCGGUAUGGCUUUCGACGGCGGGUUUAAAGAAAUGGUUAAGGAAGCGAACCAAGUUUUCACUAAAGGACCGACGGUUUACUGGACGGUGGCGAUUUUAGCGAAUGUGGUGACAUGGCAGCUCUGUUUCGCGGCCACGUCAGGGAUGGUUUAUUUGACGUCUAGUAUCACCGGAGGUAUCUGCAUGACGGCGUUACUAGCUAUGAAUGUGAUUGGAGGUGUGGUGGUGUACGGCGAUGCGUUCGGCGGCGUGAAGAUUGUGUCGACGGUGCUAUGUAUUUGGGGAUUCUCGUCUUAUGUAUAUGGGAUUUACGUGAAGAUGAAGAAGGAUGAGGAGAAGGAGGAGGAGGAGGAGGAGGGACACACCGGUAUGAAGACGGUGGAAGACGGUGGAGAGUUAGAGUUGGAGAUGGGUAAAAUUAAAAAUGACGUGGCGGCGGCGGAUGAAAGGGUUUGAUGAUAUGUGUGAUUGAGAUAGUCGUUAUGAUUUUUAGGAAGCCAAAUAAAAAGUAGUAUCUUUUAUGUGUUCUUUCUUUUUCUUCUCAAUUUUUAUUUUUAUUUUUACUUAAUGCAUCUGCUUUUUUUGUUUUUGUUUUUAGGUUUUUUUUCCCCUUUUGAUUAUAUUUAUGAAUUAUCUAACAAUGAAUACUGAUUAUGUAAUCCUUUAAGUGAGUUUCAAUGUCGGUCGAUAGUCAUAUCUAUAUCUAUUGUAUGAAAUUACGCAUUAUUAUUUCCAUUUAGUAAAAUAUUAAAUUAUAUAAAAGGUUUAUUUGACAGAACAAAAAACAAGUAGCAAAGCAAAAAUCAAGAUCUGGCGAUUUUAGCGAAUGUGGUGACAUGGCAGCUCUGUUUCGCGGCCACGUCAGGGAUGGUUUAUUUGACGUCUAGUAUCACCGGAGGUAUCUGCAUGACGGCGUUACUAGCUAUGAAUGUGAUUGGAGGUGUGGUGGUGUACGGCGAUGCGUUCGGCGGCGUGAAGAUUGUGUCGACGGUGCUAUGUAUUUGGGGAUUCUCGUCUUAUGUAUAUGGGAUUUACGUGAAGAUGAAGAAGGAUGAGGAGAAGGAGGAGGAGGAGGAGGAGGGACACACCGGUAUGAAGACGGUGGAAGACGGUGGAGAGUUAGAGUUGGAGAUGGGUAAAAUUAAAAAUGACGUGGCGGCGGCGGAUGAAAGGGUUUGAUGAUAUGUGUGAUUGAGAUAGUCGUUAUGAUUUUUAGGAAGCCAAAUAAAAAGUAGUAUCUUUUAUGUGUUCUUUCUUUUUCUUCUCAAUUUUUAUUUUUAUUUUUACUUAAUGCAUCUGCUUUUUUUGUUUUUGUUUUUAGGUUUUUUUUCCCCUUUUGAUUAUAUUUAUGAAUUAUCUAACAAUGAAUACUGAUUAUGUAAUCCUUUAAGUGAGUUUCAAUGUCGGUCGAUAGUCAUAUCUAUAUCUAUUGUAUGAAAUUACGCAUUAUUAUUUCCAUUUAGUAAAAUAUUAAAUUAUAUAAAAGGUUUAUUUGACAGAACAAAAAACAAGUAGCAAAGCAAAAAUCAAGAUCUUAAUUUGACUUUCACUACUCGGAUUUUAUUACAAUAGACAAGAUUUGAAACGAGUAAAUAAUUCAUUAAUAGCCACUAGAUUUUUUCAACAGUCGCCAUUAUUUCAAAUAAUAUCAAACUCCAAAAAAAUUAGAACUUUAAUUUUUUAAAAAAUAUAUAGUAUUAUUUCAGAUAAUGUUUGCAAUUUAUGCGAUUUAGGGUAAGUAAUCCACGUAGCUAAAUAAUGAUGAUUUUUCCACAACACUCUACAGGAAGAAAUCAUUUAACAAAGAGAAAAAAAUACAUUCUCUAGUAUGCUUCGCUUUCUUUUCUUCCUUUUAGGGCAUUUUUCACUGAUAAGAACCGCUUCAACAAAAAAGUAUUACUCUUUUACUAUAGAUCUUUAAUAAAAUAUUUUUUUAAAGAAAAAACUGUCAUUCAUACAUGUAUAUUGAGUAUCUCAAAUAUCUCUUUUUGUAACUGGCAUCAAAAAACAACUUUUCUCUCUUAUUUUUAUUUAUUUAUUAUUUUGAAUUAAAACAUACAUUAAAAUAUUUUUGGAUGGACAUGCUUUUAGCUUCAGUUUAUUUCUAGAGGAAACUUCUCGAGUUGUUGAGUUAGCAAGUUUGCCCUUUUCUCUCAUUUUACGGCAUGUUUGCAAUUUGUUUGAGGGUUUUGCGACGAGUUCGUUGGCAAAGCGAAAGCAUUUAUGGUACUUCGUUUAUUAGGACAAAUACCUAUCCUGCUUAUUUACUUUAAAUAAAAAAAUUAUAUUGGAACUAAUCUGAAAAUAUAUUAUGCGAAACUGUGAUAAAUAAUUAUGUCGGUCGACGGUCAAUAUCUAUGUAACUACGUACUAUCCCCUGUAUAUUAUUUGAAAAACAUUAUAACUUUUUUUUGUAACCACAUGUCAUCAAUAAGAUGAUUCUAAGAAUUAUUAGAGAAAUAUGUUGGUUCAUCUAAUUAUAUAAUAAGUUUUUUUAUUAAACUAACAAUAAUUCAUCAUUAAUGUACUUUAUUAUUUCCUUAAAUAAAAUUUACGGAAUUGUCUAAUGUAGCUAAAGUAUAUAUGGCAAUUAAUGAUUUUGAAUAAUAAAGAAUUGAUAAAAAAAUAGUGUAUCUUCUAUCAUAUUUGUUUAAUUUUAUACUAUUAAAUAAAUUAAACAAAUACAAUAACCAUAUAAUAAAAAUUUAGAUUUUUAUGUAUAUGUUAUAUUUUAAAUUUUUACAAACAGCUUUAAAUUACUAAAACUGUUAAAAGUCUCACAUUCAAAUUUUAUGAUCCAUGGUUUAAAAUUUUUGUUAUGACAAAAUGCAAAUGAUUACAAAAAUUAUAUAAAUAAAAAAUCUAAUUUAAUUAAUUAUUUAGAUUAAUAUAUAUAUCGUUUUAAAUUAAACUAUAAACCAUAUAAAAUACAAUAUUUUAGUUUCAAAAUUUACUUUGAACAAUUUUUUUGAUAAAAGUUUUGAACGAUCAUUGACAACUUAUUUUUUAAAAAAUUAUAAAUUACUAAAACUAUUAAUCCUACUAUAAAAAUUUUGUUAUGAGUAAUUUAAAUUUUUUUCUAUAAAAGAUACAAAUGAUCAAAAUAAUUUUUAUAUGUAAUGUUGAUCCCGCGCAAAUACAAAGCGCGGGUAUUAACCUAGUUUACUCUAAAUCACAUAAUCUCUGAACCGUUACUUUUCAUCAACUGCCAUUAUUUCAAUUAAUCUCUUCUUUUUUUAACUUUUCAAAAACCUCAAAACUACCAAAAACUUAGCAUUUAAUUUUUUUUCUUAGAAAAUAAUAUAUUUCGGAUCAUACAUAAGCGGCAUUGAAAGACUAGUGAAAGUCUUUUCAAAAAAAAAAAAAAAAAAACUAGUGAAAGUGUGAUCAAACUGAAAUGGAUUAAAAACAUAUCAUUUCACUCUCCUGGACGUAAUGGCUUUGCUUUCUUCUCCUCCUUUUAGCUUCGAUUUAUUUCUAGAGGAAACAGUUCUCAAGUUGUUGAUUUAGCAAGAUUUGCCUUUUUCUCUCUAUUACCGCAUGGUUUGCAUUUUGUUUGAGGGUUUUUACGAAGAGUUCAUUGACAAAAAUGAAAGCAUUUAUGGUAUUUAAUGUAUACAUAUACAUGUCCAUUUAAAGAAAAAUAUAUUGGAACUAAUGUUAAAUUUACAAUUGCGCGAAACUGUGAUGAAUAUUAUAAAUGAUGAUAUCAGACAAAACAUAAUUUCAAUAUACAAGUGACAUCCAAUAGGACCAUUCCCAUAGAAAAUUAUAAAACCUAAAAAAGGAAAAGUGUUGUCGUUUAUGGGUCACAACAUACCCAAAAAUAAAAAGAAGUGAUCACGAUCAUCAUCAUUAAUUUACAGAGAGAGAGAGAUUAAGAAAAUAACAUUUGAAUGUGUGAAAUAAAGAAGAGACAUGCUUAAUUGAUGAUGAUGCAGCUUGGCAUUAACUCGGUGUGGAUUACUAACAUUGUCUCCCUAAUGCUCCUUUAGUUUUUGUAUUUUUCUUGGAGCACUUUCAUAUGAAAAGGAUUGUUUUAUUCUUAUUAUCCUUUUGUGUUUUAAAUAAGGUUAUGACUCUUCACUAAUAUUGUAAGCCCUUGUGAAUAUUUUAGACCCACAAAAUCCAAAAUUUUGUUCCUUUUGAUUCAAUGACAAAUUGAAUCGAAGUUAUGACCCCGAUGUAGGGUUAUGUAUGUUUCCAUUAUAUAAAUACGACUUUACAAUGCCCACAUAUCAUUUAACAUCUCCUAAUCUCACAUAAAUGGAUAUACUAUAACCGUUUAACAAAUGCCCGUCGCUCUACAUGCUCCAAGUAUUAAUCUUCGUUUUGCCUCAAACCCUAUGAUUACAAAACAAGUAAAAACAAACGACUUAGAUAUCAUAUGUAUUAUCAGCUGGUAGUUCAACUAUUAACAAAACGAAAUAAAACAAAUAAUAAGCAAAUUCAUAUGCUAUAUAACCACAUACUUUGUAGUUGUAUCAAUGGUAAGGAUGGGCCAGUGUUUGUGUCGUCGAGUAGCUCGAGUGAAUGAGCAAAUACAGGAUAAACACAAGACAUUUCCUCUAUAAAAGGAAGAGAGACGAUAAAGAGAGUCACCGAAAAAAUUGACUCUAUAAGUGUGAGAAUAAGCAUAAUUCCUAGAAAUGGCAAUUAAGAUCUAGUUGUUGGUACUUCCUUGAUUCACACAUUUUAUAUGUGCUUCUAAAUCUUUAUUUGUUGCAACACUAUUCAGUUAGAUAGAGAAGUUUUGUAAUCUCUUGCUUUCUGUAGAUUGAUCACAAAUGAAUCAAAGAUUUCCCAAAACAAAAAUCAUCAGCAGAAAAGACAAAGUUUAUUCAAGUUUUGUUAUAGGUAUAUUAAUCAUUGAAGUUGACUUGUACUGUAUAACGUAGAUUGAGCCUAUAGACGUUGGAAAAAGCGUGAAGCUCGUCGACCCAUAUUUGUUGAUGUUUAAAAUGUUUAGAUAAGUAAACCAUGUUUUUAUAUAAUAAUAUAAGAUUAUCUCGUAACGCCUCUGGAUAACGACUGAAUAAAUCCAAGUCUUCAGUUAUGUUCAGUUCUAAGGUUGUAGAGUUCUCAAAAACUGACCUGAAAAGGUCACUGGCCAUUAAUCAAGAAGGUGGAAUGGGCAUGUACAUCGGACUACCGGAAAAGAUAUGUGGCUCUAAGAAACAGGUGUUUAGCUUCGUCCAAGAGCGCCUCUCGGAUCGUACAAACUCAUGGUCGACGAAGCUCUUAUCAAAAGGCGGCAUAGAGGUUCAGAUUAAAGCCGUAGCCCAGGCAGUACCCUCCUACACUAUGUCUUGUUAUCUACUUCCAAAAGGAAUAACAAAAAAUCUGACGAGCACUGUCGCACGAUUUUGGUGGAGUACUAAAUUCAAUAAUAGAGAACUUCAUUGGGUUGCUUGGGAUAAAAUAUGUGUACCAAUGAAAAAGGGUGGACUGGGUUUCCGUGAUUUUCACGAGUUUAACAUUGCCUUACUAGCAAAACAGCUGUGGAAAUUGCUAAAGUACCCACAUUCACUCUUAGCUCGAGUACUCAAAGGAAGAUACUACAGACACUCUACUUCAAUGCAAGUUGAAAAAGCAAACAACCCGUCAUAUGGAUGGCGAAGUAUAGUAGCAUCGAAAGAAGUUCUCCGGAAGGGUCUCAGGAAAAAGAUUGGGAAUUGAUAUGAUACAAAGGUAUGGGACGAACCCUGGCUUCCGACGAAUCCAGCGUGACCUCCGCUAAAUGCUGCAGAUCAUCGGGAUGAGAACCUCCGUGUCCAUCACCUAAUCAACGAGCAGAACCACUCUUGGAACCUUGAAUUGUUAAACGAUCUUGUGGCAACAUAAGACAUACCCAGAGUAACCUCGCUCCGCCUUAGUCGUACAGGUCGCCAGGACAGCUACUGUUGGGACUUCACAAAAUCGGGGCUAUAUACAGUUAAGUCAUGCUACAUAGUUGCUCAUGACCUCUAUUAUGCGGCCUCCUCCUAUGAUACAACAGAACCAAGUACAACGAGACUUAAGAAAGCAAUAUGGAAAAUCAAAGCUCCAAGGAAGCUUAAACAUUUCUUAUGGCAAGCUAUGACAGGGUACCUAGCUACCGUGAAACAAUUGAAGGACUGGCACUGUGCUAGAGAGAGUACAUGUACUCGAUGCGGUGGUGAAAGCGAGUCGAUUAACCGCACUCUGUUCGAAUGUCCACCGGCGCUGCAGUGCUGGACCCUAUGCUCGAUACCAUCUCCUCCGGGGUCCUUCCCGUGUAACUCUUUAUUCUCAAAUAUAGAAUUUCUGCUAUUCCGUGCAAAGGCAAGUGGAGUGAGUCCAGACGUGCUGGCUGCAUUUCCAUGGAUUGCUUGGUAUAUCUGGAAGGCACGCAAAAAGAACGUUUUUAAGGACAAGGAUAUCUUGGCACGCAAAAAGAACGUUUUUAAGGACAAGGAUACCUCACCAAUGGAUACACUCCAACUUGCUGUUAAGGAAGCUGAAAGCUGGCUGCUUGCGCGGAUAAUAGAUGUGGAACCGCAAAUAGACGCAGAAGAACAACAUAAAGCUGUGAACAUCGUGUUGCAGGCACCUCAUUCAGCUCGUUGGAGAUGCCAAACGGAUGCGUCUUGGAAAACAGAGAAUGACAGAGCUGGAUUGGGAUUUGUAUUACUUGAUGAUGGAACUCGGUCCUCUUCGGAGCACAAGGAACAAGACAGGCGACAUCCCCUCUCCACGCAUAAGCUGAAGGUUUAUUGUGGGCUAUGCACGAGGUAUUGAAGCUAGGAAACAGAGAGAUCCGAUUUGAAUCAGAUUGUGAGCAAUUAAUCAAGCUAUUAGAGGAGGACAAAGAUUGGCCAGCAAUGGAGCCAGAACUUGAUGAGAUUAAAGCUCUUUCCGCUGAUUUUACCGAAUUCUCAAUAGCAUAUAUCCCAAGAUCGAUGAAUCUCCGUGUUGACUCUCUUGCUAAAGGAGGAAGAUCACGAGUGUUUGGAUCCCAUUUCGUCAACUGCUUUGCACCAAGCUGACUAGCUCCUUACGCUGGCCACGAAGCUGCUAACUAGUUUUUUAAGGUUUUAUUUUCGAUGUAAAAAAAAAAAAAAGAGGGAAUGGACUUUUGGGGUGAUUAAAGAAAUGGUGCCAUGAUUAUCGUAAGUGCGUUGGUAAUGAAUUACGCAUUAAACAACUAAAAGAAAGUUAAAGAGGAAUUAACUAAAUCGAUACUUCAAAUUAAAAAAGGUUCAUUGAAAAUGCCCUUUGCGUUGUUUUAGGUUGUGGGAUUACAGUUUACAAAGGGAUAAGCUCCAAAGAUUAUAGAUCAAAAUUUUGAGCUGUAAUUAGGAGGUUCACAGGUCUAUUAUCAUACCAAAUUAGAUCAAAAUUACUCGUAACUGACUUGGUACCUAUAUAUGGUUGUGCUUAAUCAAGAACCAAAAUUAGGUACAUCUAUAAAAAUUAAAGAUUCCAUAAACUCAAUGCAAUUCCAAAGAUCAAUCAUACUAAUCUUUUGGGAAUCGCAUUCUACAUUACUUAUUGUUAGAUUUAUGCUGGUUGAACAUACAUAAAACCGUAUAAUAGAAGCGUCUAAUUUCUUUUAGUAUAUACUGUAUGGUGGAGUGGUUAAAUGAUAAGCUACAAACACUAAUUUUAAAUUUACGGAAUCGUAGGAUUGAUAAAUCAAACCAAAAAUAGAGAUAUUCUUUGAUGAUCGCUGACCUGACCAAUGAACAAGUACAUACACGCAGAUAGAGACAUGUGAGGGCAGAUGACCCCGGUAAAAUUUGGGAAAAAACAUUUUAGUGUAUUUUUCUCUAAUUUUUUAAUAAUAUUUAGUUAAAAUUUGGCAUCUGACCUUAUUAAUUUCUGUAAUUUGUAAAAAAAGUUAUUUUAUUAUAAUAAAAUAUAUAUCUCUAAUUUAAAUAUUAAAUUUAUAUAUUAUAACUGAAGUCAAAAAAGUUUCUUACUCUACCACUGAGUACAUACAUAACUCCUCAGACUACACAAUACAUAGAUGAAGUGAUCCCUUACUAAUAAAACCUUUGGUAAAAUAUAUUGAUAUCCCGUUGAGUUACUUAAUCAGAACAUUUAAUAUUAUAAAAUUCACAAUAAAUUUCAAUGAUUUUUCUCAAUGAAUAUCACAUUAAAAAGGUUAGGUCUAGAUGCUAUUUCUACAUCUCAAAUCUAAGGUUCUUUUUGUUAAAUAAAUAAAAAGAUAAGUACUGCAGUUAGAGAUGUCAAAGAAGAGACUGGACCGCGGGCCAGGCCCGUUAAGGCUUGGGGCGGGGGNNNNNNNNNNNNNNNNNNNNNNNNNNNNNNNNNNNNNNNNNNNNNNNNNNNNNNNNNNNNNNNNNNNNNNNNNNNNNNNNNNNNNNNNNNNNNNNNNNNNNNNNNNNNNNNNNNNNNNNNNNNNNNNNNNNNNNNNNNNNNNNNNNNNNNNNNNNNNNNNNNNNNNNNNNNNNNNNNNNNNNNNNNNNNNNNNNNNNNNNNNNNNNNNNNNNNNNNNNNNNNNNNNNNNNNNNNNNNNNNNNNNNNNNNNNNNNNNNNNNNNNNNNNNNNNNNNNNNNNNNNNNNNNNNNNNNNNNNNNNNNNNNNNNNNNNNNNNNNNNNNNNNNNNNNNNNNNNNNNNNNNNNNNNNNNNNNNNNNNNNNNNNNNNNNNNNNNNNNNNNNNNNNNNNNNNNNNNNNNNNNNNNNNNNNGUUCGUUGAUCAGAUCCUUGAGCCAAAACGGGAUGGGCCUCAUGUUAACCGCGGGAUUUGGGUGUCCCGCAACACUAACCUCCACAGCUCCACUCCAUUUCUGUACAACCUUAAACAACGAGAGAGAGAGAGAGAUGAGAAAGGCGACAGCGACAAAUGAAGAUCCGGUGACCUGCGAGUUGAAGGUCGAUGAUACUUCCGGACUCCCAUGUGUCUUCUAUCUCCAAGAGUGGAGCUUUUUUAAGCCACCGGAGACCGCGAACCCACUCUCCACCGAAGACGAAGAUCCAGCUCCGACGAUGGGUUCUUUAGUGACAGUGACUGCAUGCAUGCCACAGGUAAAGAAAGUUCAAACAUGAUUUGUUGUGGAUUUAUAUUUUAUCGGGUCUAACACUCUGUCUCUAACUCCUUAUUUCAGGCGUGUUAUCUUCUUCUUCUGGAUCUCCUCAUCUUUGAUCCACCACCGGAGCUGCUAGUCUUCUUAGCUCCAUCACUGGAGCUUCUAUUCUUAUUAGAUCCGCCACUGGAGGUUCUCCUUCUCCGCACCGAGAAGGUAUGAAACUCAUUAUGUAUCUUUGGUGAUGGCAAUUAGAAUGUCUUGUUAAGCUUGUAAUCUGAUAUUGAUAGUUUCUUGAAGUGAAAUUACUUAUGUUCAGUCUCUGUGUUCUUUUUUUGUGUGUUUGGAAGGUGAACAAGGAGUAAAGGAAGAUACGAAACAUAGCUGAAAGCGUUGUAAGUCUGACUACUCUGAAACAUAGCUGAAAACGCUUAGCUUACUUUGUCAUGUUCUGUCUCUGAAGAGUGAUUGUUCAUAAGAUGAUUAUAGAUGAUCUAAAUAGACUGUUGUGCCUCUUGUUGUCAUUUUCUAUUUGAUGUUAACUCGAUUACUAGACUGUUGUGUCUUAUUGUCAUGUCUUGAGUAGGGUAGCGAUUUUUCCCUUUUUCCUGGUUCUCAGAUUUUCGUUUGUUGUUUGAUGUUGUUAACUGCUAAAUAUGAUGUUAUGUCUAUGAAGUGAACUUUUAUUACUUGAUUAUUAGCUUGAACUUAUUACAUGUUUGUCUGUCUUAGUGCUGGUUCAUUACUCAAUGUAAAUUGCAUGUCUUCUCUUUGUUUAAUCUGAUAUUGUUAGUAUAAAACUCUUCAUUUAUCAGUUUUGUUUGAUGUUUAGUUUCAAUUGCCUCUUUCUAGGUUUGCUUGAUCUUUAAUUGUUGUCUGAAAUUGUGAAAUGGAGAAGUUAAGAGAGGACUAAUGUAGUUUGUUUAGUUACAUUAGUGUAAUUUGAUAUUGUUUAUUGGCAUUACUUUUGUAUUGGAAUUGUGAUUUACUUGCAUUACUUUUCUAUACUUGAUUCAGUCUUUCAUAUGUCUUUUGUUUCUGUAGGUGAGCAAGGAGGCGGCUGGUAAUGACCGUGAAAGCCGGUGUAGGCUCAAAACGAUAUAGCAUGUUAUGGUGUUGGCUUGAUGUAUGUGUUGAUCGCACACCAGCUUGUCUGGUUAUUACCAGACGCCUCUGUGUUCAAGAAAAAAAGAUACAACACCGAGCUGAAAGUUUUUUAAAUUGUAGGUUGUUACUACUCUGAUAAGAUAAUAAGUAUCCGCUAGGUUGAUGUUUAGUUACUUGUUGCUUGAAAUAGAGAUUGACUUGUAUUACUUGUCUUCACAAGUUCACUGUGUCUUACUAUAUUGUGUUGAGUAGUUUAGCUACUUGCAUUACUUGUCUUGACUAUUUCAGCGGAUCUUAGCUGCGUAGCUGAUGAAAAAAUCAUUCAAAGGAAUGAAGAGUGAUUGUUCAUUGGCUACGCCGCAAGAUCCGCUGCGAAGUUAAGACAAGAAUCAUAUAGUUUGUUUAGUUACAUUAGUGUAAUCUGAUAUUGUUUGUCAUGUGAACUGAUAUAUCUUUUGUAUUUUUUGUUGUAUGUCUCGAGGUGAUGGCGUAAUGCUGAAGAAGGAAGGAUAGCACGAGUACAUACACCAGUUGCUCGAGUAGUUUCCAGUUUCAUCCGAUAUAGCAGCUUUAAGGACCUCACGUUAGUAAGCUCUUAAACGUGUGAGACUUCUCUUGACUAGGUUACCGGAUCACUGUCUAGUUUAGCUUGCUUUGCGUAGGUUAUCGGAUCACUAUCUAGUUUAGCUUGAUUUACGUAGAUGAUAGAUCACUCUGACUAGAUGGUAUUUUUAAUUUAGUUGUAUUUGUGUACUUGUAUAAAUAUUUGAAAAUUUAAAAAAAACAAUAGUAACAAAUUUUAAAUAAUAUAUUAACAAAAAUUUUAAAAUAUAGAUAAAAUUUAAAAAAUCCUAAAAAGGUUAGUUCAUUCACGUCGUCACGUUGAAAGUUGAAAAAAACCCGCAAAGCUUGAGAGAGAGAGACCAUGGGAUCAAGGAGCGAGUCAGAAGAUCAGUUGACGUUUGAUCCGAAUUACUCCCCGCCAAAUACUGUGGACUUUGGAACUCAUGAAGUCUUAGGUUCUCUUGCUGCAGCAGAUGAGUUCGUUGAUCAGAUCCUUGAAGGUGGUGUAACUCGUGAUGAUGGGAAGAAGGAAGGACGCAGAAAAAGGAUUAUCAGUCUUGUCGAUGAUACUGAUGAUUCUGAUGUUGAAAUCACUCAACCAACCCAAAAAAACCAAGCCUCGCAGACAGACCAGUUUCAAAAUAGUCACGAGGAAACCCAUGUAGCAAUCCACUAUAGAUGGUGGUGUUGGCUCGUCUGCACAGGUGUGUAGUAAGGGGAAGUCUAUGAUUCGUGGAGGGCUAAGAAAAUCGCCUACAAAGUCGCAAAAGAAUAAGGCUGCGCCUACUCAGUCGCAAAAGAAGAAGGAGAAGGUCGCAGAGGACAUAUCGGAGCUUGGUGAUGAACUGGAUGAAGAAGAGGUUGAUGAGGAUGAAUUCGGUGAAGAGGAAAGGGAAGAGAGGCAAAGAUCAGAUGUGUGGGCCGAUUUCAAGGUGGUCCAAAAACCCAAUGGAAUGUUGAAAGCUGCAUGCAAUCAUUGCAAGAAUGAGUAUGCAUGGCAAUCUCACUCGCAUGGAACCAGUGGGUUGAGAAGACAUCGUUUGAGAUGUAAAAUGUAUCCAAAGAAUCGAGGAAGGCAUCAACAACUCAACACCGAAGGGAAAGUGGUAUCUUGCAAGUAUGAUCAUACUGUGUUUAGGCAGAUGGUAGCUAAGACAAUGGUCCAGCAUGAUCUAUCUUACUCGUACGUGGGGUAUGAAAGAGUGAGAGACACCUGGAAGUAUUUGAAUGCUGAUGUCCAAACCAUUUGUCGAAACACAGCGAGAGCAGCUGUGUACAGACUAUAUGAAAGUGAGAGAGACACACUCAAGAGGUAAUUAGCGGGUCUCCCUGGACGAGUCUCCUUCACGUCUGACUUGUGGACAUCCGUGAAACAGGAAGGAUACAUGUGUGUGACAGCAAAUUACAUUGAUCAGAAUUGGAAGUUAAACAACAAGACCUGACGUUUUGUGCUCUACCACCACCACAUACCGCUAUGAGUAUUGCGCUUCAGCUCCUUGAUUCACUGAAAGAGUGAGAAAUUGAAAAGAAGGUGUUCUCAGUCACAUUAGAUAAUGUUACAAGUAAUGACUCGAUGCAGGACAUUGUGAAGUCGCAGCUGAAUUUAAAUGAUGAUUUGUUGUGUGGAGUAGAGUUUUUCCAUGUAAGAUGUGCAGCUCACAUACUUAAUCUCAUAGUACAAGAUGGGUUGAAGGUUAUUGGAGACUCUUUGCAGAAAGUAAGAGAGAGUGUUAAGUAUGUAUUAGGAUCGGAAACAUGUGAACAAUUGUUCCAAAAAUGUGUGGAUGAUGCGGGUGUAGUAGAAAGUGGAUGGCUAAUACUGGACGUGUCGACAAGAUGGAACUCAAUUUACUAUAUGCUUGAAAGAGCCAUCAAGUACCGUAAAUCACUUGUUAAGUUGGAGACAUUUGAUAAGAAGGGUUAUAAAACAGCGCCCACAGCUAAGGAAUGGACUAGAGCAGUGAAUAUCUGCGAUUUUUUGGGUCCUUUUGCUGUGAUCACAAGCUUGAUGGCUGGUUCGAAUUACCCGACCGCAAACCUGUAUUUCGAUCAGGUUUGGUUGAUCCAUGAUUGGCUUCGGAGAAAUGAGGAAAGUGAAGAUGAGAUUGUCAGAUACAUGGUGCCACCGAUGAAAGAGAAGUUUGACAAAUAUUGAGAUGAAGCUAGUAGUGUUUUUGCAAUGGCAGCAGUCUUUGAUCCACAGUUUAAGCUUUCAAUUGUUGAAUUUUGUUUAGGGAAGCUUGACAUGAGUACAUGUGAUGCAAAGGUGAAGAACUUGCGUGACAAGCUCAGUAUUAUGUUUGAGUCAUACGACAAAAAAUCCAAGAAUAACUCACCUUCCACUGAGCCACGUGAGACUGUUUCACAAAAAGCAUGUGCGGCAGGGUCAACGGGAAUGUUUGUGAACUACAAUGUGAGUAUUUUUUCAAUUUUUUUACCUUUGCUUUUGUUUUUUUGCCUCUCUGAUUUUUUUAAAUAAACUUUCUUAGGAUUUCUUUGCAUUUCGCAAAGUCAAUGGCAUUGUGAGUGGAAAGACACCUCUAGAAGCUUAUCUUGAAGAACCACCUUUGGACAUUACUAAUUUCCAGAGCUUGGACAUCCUCGAUUGGUGGAAAGAUAAUGCGCAUCGGUAUGGUGACUUCACUACAAGAAAAAUGGGUUUUAAUAGCAGACCGGAAUAGCGUUUUUUCAAUUGUGUUAUGCUUGAUAUACGCGGGUUUUAAAGAUAGCGUUUGUAUAUUUCGAAACGCUAUGUUAGAGUUGUGAACUGAAAAAGAAAAAUUAAGUGUAUGUUAAAGAAGAAAUAGGAGUGUAAUAAUAGCAAUAAAUGAUUAAAAGUGUUAUGGUUGAGUUUCGCGGUUAUACCCGGGACACUUGGUAAAAUUUUGGCUCCUAAACAAGAUUAGUGUCGAAAAAAAAACCCAAAUUAUUAGGGUUACGAUCUUCCCUCUCUCUCGUAUCUCCUUGCCUCUUUUGUGCUGGAAAGAAUCAAUCUCAAUCUCUAUCACUUCUAAUUUCAUUUUUAAUUCCUAAGCUCUUACCUUUUCUCAUCUCGAAUCCACUUUCUCGUAAUGUCGAAUCCAUUUUAAAUAUAGAUAAAAUUUAAAAAAUCCUAAAAAGGUUAGUUCAUUCACGUCGUCACGUUGAAAGUUGAAAAAAACCCGCAAAGCUUGAGAGAGAGAGACCAUGGGAUCAAGGAGCGAGUCAGAAGAUCAGUUGACGUUUGAUCCGAAUUACUCCCCGCCAAAUACUGUGGACUUUGGAACUCAUGAAGUCUUAGGUUCUCUUGCUGCAGCAGAUGAGUUCGUUGAUCAGAUCCUUGAAGGUGGUGUAACUCGUGAUGAUGGGAAGAAGGAAGGACGCAGAAAAAGGAUUAUCAGUCUUGUCGAUGAUACUGAUGAUUCUGAUGUUGAAAUCACUCAACCAACCCAAAAAAACCAAGCCUCGCAGACAGACCAGUUUCAAAAUAGUCACGAGGAAACCCAUGUAGCAAUCCACUAUAGAUGGUGGUGUUGGCUCGUCUGCACAGGUGUGUAGUAAGGGGAAGUCUAUGAUUCGUGGAGGGCUAAGAAAAUCGCCUACAAAGUCGCAAAAGAAUAAGGCUGCGCCUACUCAGUCGCAAAAGAAGAAGGAGAAGGUCGCAGAGGACAUAUCGGAGCUUGGUGAUGAACUGGAUGAAGAAGAGGUUGAUGAGGAUGAAUUCGGUGAAGAGGAAAGGGAAGAGAGGCAAAGAUCAGAUGUGUGGGCCGAUUUCAAGGUGGUCCAAAAACCCAAUGGAAUGUUGAAAGCUGCAUGCAAUCAUUGCAAGAAUGAGUAUGCAUGGCAAUCUCACUCGCAUGGAACCAGUGGGUUGAGAAGACAUCGUUUGAGAUGUAAAAUGUAUCCAAAGAAUCGAGGAAGGCAUCAACAACUCAACACCGAAGGGAAAGUGGUAUCUUGCAAGUAUGAUCAUACUGUGUUUAGGCAGAUGGUAGCUAAGACAAUGGUCCAGCAUGAUCUAUCUUACUCGUACGUGGGGUAUGAAAGAGUGAGAGACACCUGGAAGUAUUUGAAUGCUGAUGUCCAAACCAUUUGUCGAAACACAGCGAGAGCAGCUGUGUACAGACUAUAUGAAAGUGAGAGAGACACACUCAAGAGGUAAUUAGCGGGUCUCCCUGGACGAGUCUCCUUCACGUCUGACUUGUGGACAUCCGUGAAACAGGAAGGAUACAUGUGUGUGACAGCAAAUUACAUUGAUCAGAAUUGGAAGUUAAACAACAAGACCUGACGUUUUGUGCUCUACCACCACCACAUACCGCUAUGAGUAUUGCGCUUCAGCUCCUUGAUUCACUGAAAGAGUGAGAAAUUGAAAAGAAGGUGUUCUCAGUCACAUUAGAUAAUGUUACAAGUAAUGACUCGAUGCAGGACAUUGUGAAGUCGCAGCUGAAUUUAAAUGAUGAUUUGUUGUGUGGAGUAGAGUUUUUCCAUGUAAGAUGUGCAGCUCACAUACUUAAUCUCAUAGUACAAGAUGGGUUGAAGGUUAUUGGAGACUCUUUGCAGAAAGUAAGAGAGAGUGUUAAGUAUGUAUUAGGAUCGGAAACAUGUGAACAAUUGUUCCAAAAAUGUGUGGAUGAUGCGGGUGUAGUAGAAAGUGGAUGGCUAAUACUGGACGUGUCGACAAGAUGGAACUCAAUUUACUAUAUGCUUGAAAGAGCCAUCAAGUACCGUAAAUCACUUGUUAAGUUGGAGACAUUUGAUAAGAAGGGUUAUAAAACAGCGCCCACAGCUAAGGAAUGGACUAGAGCAGUGAAUAUCUGCGAUUUUUUGGGUCCUUUUGCUGUGAUCACAAGCUUGAUGGCUGGUUCGAAUUACCCGACCGCAAACCUGUAUUUCGAUCAGGUUUGGUUGAUCCAUGAUUGGCUUCGGAGAAAUGAGGAAAGUGAAGAUGAGAUUGUCAGAUACAUGGUGCCACCGAUGAAAGAGAAGUUUGACAAAUAUUGAGAUGAAGCUAGUAGUGUUUUUGCAAUGGCAGCAGUCUUUGAUCCACAGUUUAAGCUUUCAAUUGUUGAAUUUUGUUUAGGGAAGCUUGACAUGAGUACAUGUGAUGCAAAGGUGAAGAACUUGCGUGACAAGCUCAGUAUUAUGUUUGAGUCAUACGACAAAAAAUCCAAGAAUAACUCACCUUCCACUGAGCCACGUGAGACUGUUUCACAAAAAGCAUGUGCGGCAGGGUCAACGGGAAUGUUUGUGAACUACAAUGUGAGUAUUUUUUCAAUUUUUUUACCUUUGCUUUUGUUUUUUUGCCUCUCUGAUUUUUUUAAAUAAACUUUCUUAGGAUUUCUUUGCAUUUCGCAAAGUCAAUGGCAUUGUGAGUGGAAAGACACCUCUAGAAGCUUAUCUUGAAGAACCACCUUUGGACAUUACUAAUUUCCAGAGCUUGGACAUCCUCGAUUGGUGGAAAGAUAAUGCGCAUCGGUAUGGUGACUUCACUACAAGAAAAAUGGGUUUUAAUAGCAGACCGGAAUAGCGUUUUUUCAAUUGUGUUAUGCUUGAUAUACGCGGGUUUUAAAGAUAGCGUUUGUAUAUUUCGAAACGCUAUGUUAGAGUUGUGAACUGAAAAAGAAAAAUUAAGUGUAUGUUAAAGAAGAAAUAGGAGUGUAAUAAUAGCAAUAAAUGAUUAAAAGUGUUAUGGUUGAGUUUCGCGGUUAUACCCGGGACACUUGGUAAAAUUUUGGCUCCUAAACAAGAUUAGUGUCGAAAAAAAAACCCAAAUUAUUAGGGUUACGAUCUUCCCUCUCUCUCGUAUCUCCUUGCCUCUUUUGUGCUGGAAAGAAUCAAUCUCAAUCUCUAUCACUUCUAAUUUCAUUUUUAAUUCCUAAGCUCUUACCUUUUCUCAUCUCGAAUCCACUUUCUCGUAAUGUCGAAUCCAUUUUCAAUUCCUCUUCUCUUGUCGUAAUCCAUUCCCAAUCCGUCGAAGGUGAGUUCGCUUUUACUAACCCAUCAGAUUAUAUUUCGAUUUUCUUUUUCUUAUAUAUGUUCUAGUGUUAUUGCAUUGUAAAUUGAUGCGUUUCUGUAUACUAUUUUGCAGGAAGGAUUUCGUUUGUAGAUCUUCGGAUUAAGGUCCAUUUUCUUCUUUUCAUCUCUCUUUUACUUAGUUUUUUUCUUUCUAUUUUAACACAAUUCUCUUAUUUUGUAGCUGACUCGAAGCAAAAUUGAAGAGAUUUUAUCGAAAGGUAAAAACAAGUGACACUAUCAUCUUUUAUUUACAAAACUCGUUCUGUUUUGGUUUUCUGGGUUGAUAAAGUGAGCGUCUUGUAUGUACAAUUGCUCGGAGCGGUAACAUGGAUAAAUCGUGGGUCUGGUUACCAAGGUAUUAACUUCACUUCACUAUCUUUUAGAAAUUGUUUUGUGUUGAUCUCAUUUAUUUGGAAGACUGAAUGUUGUAUUCUCAUUUGUUCUACAUGACAGGAAUAGCCUUGAGUAUGAGAAAGGAGCUAGUGAAUUUGUGUCUUCUUCAUCAAGACGUUUAGGAGAUCCAGCUGAAAUGUUCUGCCCUUGUGUUGAUUGUCGCAAUGUCUGCCAUCAAGCUUGUGAGACAGUUUUGGAGCACCUGGUGAUUAGAGGAAUGGAUCAGAAGUACAAGAGUUGUGUGUUUUGGACAAAACACGGGGAGACAAGAGGCAAGCAAGCGUGUAAUGUUUGUGGGAAGGAUACACCACAUAGGUGACUAAAGUUCAGUCGUAAACAUGUAUACAUGAAGAACAGGAGGCGGCUCAUGCCUAGUCAUCCAUACAGACGAAAGAAAGGAUGGUUUGACAAUACGGUUGAGGUUGGUUCUGCAAAGAGGAUUCAGAGCGGUUCAGAAAUAUUAGACAGUAUAAGGGACUUUAAAAACGAUUUUGGAAAACUCUUACCUAAGAAGAGUAAGAGAAAGAGGAGUGAAGGAGAUGAGGAUGAUGUUGUUUCAGCUGAGGAGUACGAAGAAGAUCAUGAUAUGUGGCGGUGGAAGAAAAAAUCUAUUUUCUUUGACUUACCUUAUUGGAAGGUAUUUUAUUUGAUUUACCUUCUUUAACCUACCUUAUUAGUCUGAAAUUGUUAAUAUUAUUUAUGCUAAAUACUUGUAAAAUUUCUUGUAGGAUAUGCCUGUGAGGCAUAACAUCGACGUGAUGCACGUGGAGAAGAAUGUGAGCGAUGCCCUGUUGUCUAUUCUGAUGAAUAGUUGCAAAUCAAAGGAUGGCCUGAAAGCGAGAAAGGAUUUAGAAGAUAUGGGUAUUCGAAGCAGCUUACAUACACAAGUAAGGGGGAAGAGAACUUAUCUGCCUCCAGCUGCGUAUUGGCUCUCUAAAGAAGAAAAAAAAAUUUUUCAACAUUCUUCUUGAUUUCUUGAAGUGAAUGUAUAAAAAGAAUCGGUAUUGGCCUACCUAGCUCUAGCCAAAUGUGUACAACGUAUUAAAUGAAAAUAUUUUAAGAAUAAAGAGGGUAAGAAACAAUUAUUUUCAGGCUGUAAUGGACCUAUGGGAUAACUUGUGUGCUCAUAUUAUAUUUGUAUAAUCAUUGAGUUGUAUGAAAAAAUGUUUCUCUGAGUAAAUGGUCUCCAAGCAAUCGAGUGCUUCUAGAAACAUCAUUUUGACAUAAAAUAGGCUAAGACUUGGUCGCUUCAUCGGUUAACCCAUUCAUAAGUUUGCUCUAUGCUCCUUCAUACGUGUGUGUAUUUUACGAAGAAAUAUGAUCAAAGAAGGGUAGUAUUGUAAAUAAAAGCGAACAGCAGGGAAGUUUACAAAAAAUGACAAAGACUUAUACUCUUCUUAUUGUUGUAUCUACUUCUUCAGAGCGAAGCAAGAGACAAAGUACGUAUAUUGUAUUUGGUAAGGAAGAGGAAGAAGCAGAGGUUCUUGAGAGAUGGCCUGAAGAAGCUAACUUUAAAGAGUGCCAAUGUCAUAAAAGGGGUCCUAUGGCACACAGGGUUAAGUCAGGCGAAAGAAGAAAUUAAAAGAAAAGGUAUAUAAAAUUAAAUUUCAUAUAUAUUGUUAUUAACGUUAAUUAGGAUUAUGAGUUGGGUAGAUUCUUGUAAUAUAUGUAUUAGCAUAAAUAUGGAGCUUGAAGCUCACUUCGACUAUGUUCUUGAAUGUAUACAAUAAUAUUAUUUUUCACUAUGAAUUGUAACAUUCAUGUUCAGGAAUCCAACUCAGCCUAUAUUGUUAUGCAAGUGUUUCAGGCAAGGUUAUUGUUUAUUGUUCAUGAUUAAGUUUAUUGGAUAACUUGGAUUAAUUGGAUUUUCAUGUUUGACUUAUUAUAAUAUGUGUAUAUAUCUUUUAGAGGUAAGAACAAUUUGAUUAACAAUAGAUAGGGUUGCUUACUAUUAGCAGAAAGAAUGAAAUUAGAUUAUUGUACAGAUGCUAGUAGCUGAAUGAGAUGAAACACGUACGAAGGUCUUCAAUAUGUGAGAGUUGCUGUAAUGUAGAUAACCGAUAUAUAUCCAGUUAGAAUAGAUGAGUUGGUGAUGCGAGUGAGAUUGAGAAGAUGGAUUUCAUCUUUCCUUUUUCAACGUAUAGAAAUGGUAGAUCAUCGGUUUCAAAUGUGCGGUUUUAUUAAAAGCUAUCUACAUAACCCCAAACUUCAUAAUCUCUUCUUGUUUAAACAAACAUAUGAAUCAUAUCAUCAUGUCGGUUCGCAAAAUAAUCAAGCUCUGAGAUAUGAUCAUGUGAAGUUCAUUGAUUCCCUUGACUUAAAAAGUUCAUUGAUUCGAAUCAGUUAGGAUGUUCUUUUUUUUUUCCGGCAGACGGUAGAAAAUAAUUUAGCAAAAAAAAAAAGACGAGAAAAUAAAUAUGAUUUCAUGGACUUACACCAUUUUGCAGAUAAAAUAAAAUACACUCCACAAUCCAUUAGAAUAUUAUAUACAAAUUAGUACAGAAAAUACAUCAUGUGAUGUGUGAAACUACUGGUAAAUACACUAAAACAUGAAAAUAAUACGUCUAAAAGCAGUUUUAAGUUUUUAUUAAUUAACAUAAUAGAGCAGUUGUUGCUACUAUGAUAGUUUUGUUUAACCAAACUCAUCUCCUCCUUACAAACAAACUAAAUUAACCUAGAUUUAAGUGUAUUAUCUUAACUUAACUAAAUUUAAUAUAUACUUUUACUUUAAUAUUUAACAUAAGCUUUGACUAACAAACAAAACAAAGUGAAUCCACAUCUCUUUCUUCUUCGUCUUGAAUGCGCAAACAUUUUUUAUAGAAUAAAAUUUGUUUCUUCGAAAUUUUUAUUUUCAAGAAAAAUUUAAUCAACUAUUAUCUGUAUUAUUAUAUUUAUCUUUUGAGAUAUGCAAGCUAUAUUUCUAAUGGUGGUGUAAAGGUCAUGUAUACAACAAUGUCAAUGGCGAAGAUCGCUUCAACCAUGGUGUCUUUGUCUCCUCCUCUUCGUGCUCAGCUCCUACGUCCAAGAUGCCGUCGAUGUGAGGUCUCGUCCACCGGUGGUCAUUGCUCUUCGUCGCGUCUCGUCAACAUCGACUUCUCCACGUCUCAAGCCCACGACCUCUCCAUCUCCAAAUCAUGUUCUAUGGCGUGUCUCUGCUGCGUCAUAGCCGACUCUCCAUUGUCGUAAACGAGAUGGGACGAGAAGUGCGAUCUGCAACAUCAACGGAGGAGUAUCAUUUUUUUGUAAUUUUGGUCCUCUAGUUUACUCUUUCUUUCACAAUAUGCUUCAAACUUCCAAUCUGAUCAAAUUACUUCACAAAUUUACCCCAACAUUGAUGUACAUAUAUGGAUAACAUACUAGUAUGCACCGGUGUACAUGUGAGUCGUUGUACAAGUGGACAACGAUAUGUGUGUACAUUUGAAUGCUAUUUAAAUUUGCAAAUGUUAUAACUUACAAAUGUAUGUUAUAUAUCUUUAUGAAAUGCAUCAGGAAAACCAUUUGGUCAUGCUCCUCCCGGGUACCAUAAGCAUCUCUUCGAAACCAUUAUCAUCGUGGAACCAGAAACAAGGGAUGUCCGUUUCAUGUACAUAUGAAUCAUUGUAAAUAUGGAUAGUGUAAUUGUAUGUACAACAUAUGAUAUACAUAUGAAUCAUUUAUUUUUUCAUUUUUUAAUGAGUGGUAUUUUCGUAAAAUGAGAUAUCAUAUAUGUACACAUGAGCAGUUUACACAUCGAUGUACAUAUAUAGAUAACAUACUAGUAUACACCGGUGUACAUGUGAGUCAUUAUACAAAUGGACAACGAUAUGUGUGUACAUUUCAAUGCUAUUUAAAUUUGCAAAUGUUAUAACUUACAAAUGUAUGUUAUACAUUUUUAUGGAAUGCAUCAGGAAAAACAUUUGGUCCUGCUCCUCCCGGGUACCAUAAGCAUCUUUUCAAAACCAUCAUCAUCGUGGAACCAGAAACAAAGAAUGUCUCGUUUCAUGUACAUAUGAAUCGUUGUACAUGUGGAUAGUGUAACUGUAUCACAUGAAAUUGAAUAAAAACUUUAAAAUAAGAUUCAAAUGUUAUGGAAUAAUGUGGGAUUUUGGAAAUAAUUUUCUGUAAUAAUGUUGUAUUUUGUUUGCAAUUUAAUAUUUCUAUUUAAAUUUUGUAUAUUAUUUUUAAAUUUUAUUAAUUAAUAUUAUUGCAAUAUUUUAUAUAUGCGCUAAUUAUUUAUAAAAGUUUUAUGUAUUUAAACUUAAUUAUGAUAAAUAUAAAGACCAUAAUAUAACAUAUAAAUAUUUUUGAAAUUAAGUUUGAAGUUUUAGUUUCGGAGAAAAAUAUUUUCAUACUUUAAAUAUGAAUUUUGCAAAUUUUAAAGUAGAUUGUCCAGAUGUUCUAAAUGCAAACUUUCAUAAACAAUGAGAAAAUAAAAGGAAAACAUAAACCUAGAAGCUUAGAACACCGAACGAGUGGGCUACGAUUUUCGGUAAUUAAAUAAUAAUCGAGUGGCGUACAAUUGCAAACCAUUCAUAUUCAUAUCUCCUCUUUCUCCCCUAAACACUCUGCCACGUGUCUGACCUUUCGAGCAUCCCAUAAGACACUUUUGCUGACUCGGCGAAAAAGUGCAACCAAAGUUAUGUUCUUUUCUUCCUUUAGUUUGAGACAGUUGUACAAGAAAAAGUCUAAAUGGAUAAAUAGUUAUUUUAGACUAGAUAUUUAAACAAUUUUGUCCUUCACAUAAAAUAUCUAUUUUAUUUAUUAUCAAUUUGUUUAUGAAGUUGACGGCUACUGAAAUUGAAAUAUCACAAAAUGUGGUUAAAGACUUGGCUGGUAAAAAGGUAACUUCGUUAUUCUUCUUGUUUUAUUAUUCAAACUUCUGAUAUGUAUAAGGUUGUAACAAAAAUGAUUGUGGUUGUUGGGUAUAGGAAAAAAACGGAUUUGAUUCUAAUUCUGAGAGAAGCGAUGUGAGCAAGGGCGGAGGAAUAAGGUGCCAAAUACUGGAUUGGGUUUCGAAUGAUGAUUUGGUUGUUGCUGAAGGAGAAUUCUACUCUAGUGAGCCCACAUAUAAGAUUGGUCGCAUUCCACUGGGUCCUAAUGCGGCUGCUGUUAUAGUGAAGUCUGUAUCAGUCGUAACAGCGCCUAUAUGGAGACCUACUCCAACUUGUGUAUCGCUUAGUCAGGCUGUUGGAGUCAAAAUUGCAUGGCCAUCUGAGAAGCUCAUCUUGGAUGAUGGCAUUGACAUUUCAAACAAUGGCAACAACGACGAGUCGGAGGUAAAUAAAUUCCGUCCUCCAAAUCUUGAUAAUCAUUCAUUAAUGUACUCCUGAAAUGUGUGAAUAUAUUUUACAUGAUUCAGGAUGUAGCUGCAUCUUUAGGAAAUGUUAAAAUAUUUGAUUACUGGAAAAUAGAAGAGGAGUUGAUAGCUGAGGGUGUCUUGUUGACAACCGAACCUACUCACCUCGUCAACCAAAUUCCACUGGGACCGAAUGCAGCAGUUCUUAGAGUCGAAAUGGUUUUUAAACCUAAUGCCUAUAUCUGGAGACCUACACCUGAAAUGACAAAGAUGGGUGAUGCAGUACAUGGGACAAUAGCGUGGCCUCUAGAUAAGAUAAGACUACCCGAUCAAAAUUCGCCUACUGAUCAACAUUCACCUACUGAAUCAAACAAGAUAUCCAAUCAGGUAAGUUUGUAAAUUCUUAGAAGGUGAUUAGAUAUUGAAUUGUUAGGUUGCCGGUGUUGAUAUUGUGGUGAAUGUGUUUGUCUUUUUUGGUUUUAGAGUGGUGGUAACAGCACUAGUAGUAGCAACAAAGGUGGCAAACAGAAGGUUGCUCUCUUGGACUGUCAUAACUUAGGACAGAGAGUUGCUUUAGGUCGUGUGUUCUCAACUGAUCCAGCAGAGAAAGUGCAUUUCGUUCCUUUAGGUCCCAAUGCUACGAAGGUUUGGGUAGAGGUUUCCGAGUUCGAUGGGGCUCGAGUGUGGAGGCCAAACUCUGAAAUCGAAUUCAUGGGUGAUGCAGUAGGAAGCACCGUGGCUUGGCCAAAUGAUAACAUUGUGUAUCUCUAAGGAUUACAAUGUUGCUUUAGUGUGAACUUAUAAUGUAAUCUCUAAGGAUGUGUGAACAACUAUGUAAUCUGUUUAAGUUGAAUCUAUGAAAUUUAUGUUUAUUUAUAUAAGUUGAUAUUUUGUUUCAAAAUCCCAGAAAACGAAUUUGUGUAAAUUUAAAAAUAUAAAUAUAUAAAAAUUAAAAUUUAAAAUAUAUAAAUAUAUUAACAUUAUAUAUACAGCACAAAUGAAACUGCUAUAGUAGUACAUAUAUACAUUGCACUUUGGUAACUGCUAUAGUAGAAUUAACUAAAACAAACAGAAAACGCUAUUUAUAAAAUUAGUAAUAGCAGUAAAAAGACGCUAUUAAAUAAUAUUUAAUUGCAGAAAUAAAAGCGCUAUCGUAGCGGAAGAAAAGAUAGCACAACGAAAUACCGCUAUUUAAUGUCCUCGACCUAUUAUGACGGGCGAUGAUACAGCGCUUAACAAACCGCUAUCCUAUCGUUAGAUAGCGUUAUUCGUCCGCUAUAAAAACGCGUUUUUCUUGUAGUGCUUGGCUGCAAUGGCAUGUGAUCUGCUAAUUAUCCCAAUCACAACAGUGGCUUCAGAGUCCUCCUUUAGUAUUGGAUCCGAGUUCUUAACAAAUAUAGGAGCCGUCUACUCCCAAAAAAUGUGCAAUCUCUGAUAUGCUCGAGGAAUUGGAUCAAAGGAUACGAAUCUUAUGUAAAUAACUCACAUUAUAAUUUAUUGUAGAGUACCAUAUCCUCAAUCAUAAGUAAAUGAAGUUUUUGAUAUUUACAGAAGAAGAAAUCAACAGUGAUGGUGAUGGUGAUGGUGAUGGUCAAGAAGAGAAAUUACCAUCAUUUGAGUCUAUUGUCGAUGGGAAAGAUGAAGAUGAGCGCGUUUGAAAUGUUAUCUUUAGUUGGUAUUUUGCUUUAAUUACAAUUUGAGAUUUUUUGUUUAAGUUGUUUGGUUUUCUUUUAAGUACUAUGAUUUGGUGUUUUUUAAAAAUUUAAUUUGCUUCAGACUUAACAUCUUAUCUUCUGCAUGCACUUUAAAUUUAGUUAUAUAUAUAUAUAUAAUCUCAGCUUAUACAUGCACUUGUGAUAGAAGAAAUAGACUUAAUAAUUUCAAGAAUAAGAACAAUAUAUAACAAAUUUAGUUGAGCUUGAAUAGUAGAUGCUUGAAUGUAUCUUCAUUAUGUGCAUUUAGGUGUGUACUGAACUACUGGAUCAGCUUGAAGUGUCCUGGAGGACUGGAGCAGCCUGCAGCGUAUAGAAGUGUCCUGAUGCACUCAUUUGCCGUCCAGCCCGCGCGACGAUCUGUAAGGGAUUGUGCACUUAUGUGGGGCGGGAUCGGGCUGACCUUUUGGUAACCGCAGCCCGCGUGGGCCUGGCCUGCCAUGAUCCGCGAAAAGACGAGCCCGCAAUGGUACGGGACAGGACAUGACGUAUCAACGUGUUUGACAUUCCUAACUGCCACAGACUAUAUAAAAGAAGACAAGCGAAGCACUUCGGAUAUCCAUAAUCCAAUUACGAUACAAAUAUACAAUUAACGUUUUUAAUAGGCAAUAUAAAUACUGCCGCAGACUAUAUAAAAGAAGACAAGCCAAACAUUAGUCCUAUCGUCUCUUUUAAGCAAAUAGCUAAACUAAAUUAAAGAUAUAUAUGUUUUUUUUUAUAACCGAGUGUCUUGGCCCCACCGAAGUGGUCCAGACUAGAAACCGAAGCAACCAAAGACUUAGCAUGCGCUGGUCACCAUGUGGGUCACCGUAAACGGUCUUCGGUCUCGGGCGUUGGGGUUCCGCAUAUGAAUUCUCCAGUGGCCGGGAUUCGAACACGGGUGGCGGAACUCACAGCCGUGAGCCAUUUACCAUCAGAGCUACAAAAGAUAUAUAUGUACCUAGGCUAUAUAUGACCCUAGCCAAUUAUCUUCGACCUCUAAUGCAAAGUGUGCCCCUACUUUCUUUCUUACAUCAAAUUCUAAUAAACUUUAAGGAAAUGUAACUAAAAAUGGAAAUUAGUAAUGUGCAUCGCGACUAGAGAUAUAAGAUCAAUCAUUAAAAAAAAAAAAUUUUGAUAGAUACAUAUACAUAUUACAUAGUAAAAUAGAAAUGUGUUCAGAUCUCAUGAAUCGAAAACACCUUGACAAGAACAGAAGAUACAUUUUGUUCUUGUAUAUUGCUAAAGAAGGCUCAAAUAAUUCUAGCAAAAGGCUGCUCUUUGAACUUCGGAUGUCCACCGUUUAAAAAGCUUUGUCCAACAAAUAUAUAUGCUUCCAAUGAUGAAAUGAUUAUGUGGAAGACAUAGGAAGGUUUUCACUUUUCACCAACUACUCUUCAUUAUUCCCCCACAUAAUGUCUAAUAUUAUUGGCUUCAUCAAUAUCUAACUUUUGUGUUUUCUUUUCCUUGUAUCUUCUUAUUUUACAUGAUUAAGAAAUCUUGGAUUGAUUAAUUAUAUAUACAAAGAAUACAACCUUGAACGUACAGUGUAUCAUUUAUCAAGUCGUGUUUUUAAAGUUAGUCCAUCGAUGUGUACUGGAAAAGAAUGAUCGAUUUUUUUUUCUUCAGAAAUAUAAUUUAAUAAUUAUAAUAAGGUCUCAUAAACAAUCUUUUUUUGUUGAUGAAAAAAUUAUUAAAUUUGGAAGUGCAUGUAUUUCCGUUAUAUACGCCUCGUUUUGUUCGUUUUUCAUUUUCUUUUCGAAAAGACGUUUUGUUCGUUCUUUCCGUUACAUUACGUAAGUACGUAACGGGUUUCAUUUCAGUUCUCUGGCUGAGUGCAAAACUGCAAAUGAAUUCUUUUAAAAGAAUAUUUGAGUACCAAACUAAACUAGAAAAGACAGAUUUACUAGGAACUGGUUUAAUCACGAAAUGGUUUGAAUUGGGAACAUUAAUAAAAAUGGACUCGUCUAUAUACAGUCACGCCCUUCAUAGGCUUGUAAUUCAAAUAACACUAGGAUCGAACCCGCGCACCAGCGCGGGUGCUAUUUUUUUAUUUGCAAUGAUAUAACAUCUGUAGUUGUUUAUGUUUUGUAUCAGUAUGUUUCAAUUUGCUUAAACGGUUUCAUUCACGUUUCAUUAACAUCUGAUUCAUUCAAAUUUUGUAUUGUUUGUUUAAAAAAAAAAUAAGAUAGAAACAUAACUUUUAUGGAUCAUGGUGUAACUAUUGGGCUGGAGAUAUUGAAUAUUUACUGACUAAUUUAUAAAAGGCCCAUUUAGUAAGUUAACUAAUUAGCGUAGGAAAAAAAAUAGUUAGGAUCAAACUCUAACAAAAAAAAACAGAGCGAUCAUCUUCCCCGAUCAUUCCUUAAGCUAGGGUUCUUACCUUUCUUGGGGAUCAGUGGUCGUUCUUACAGUACUGAACCCUUCAACAUAACAGUUUAACGAUUCCUCAAGAUUUAAAUUGCUAAAGAUUCAUCAACAUGCAAUCCAUGGUGAAACAGGCGGCUCCAAAGGUUUUGAUUUUUGUUGUUUUGAAGUUAAAGCCUUACGGAUUAUUGAAUUUUAUGGUUUAUCUAUGUGUCUAAUAGUUUUAUUGUAUACAAUUCCAGAUGAAUUUAACGCUACAAAUAGAGAUUGAAGAUGUCCAACAGAUCAUUAAGAUUCGUCUCGUUUGGAAAGUUCUGGGAUCUAAGAACAUAGGUGCAAGCCGUUCUUUUGAUUACGAUAAAGAAGAUUAAAACCAUAAUCAAGUAUAAGGCAAAGUUUAUGUUCUGUUCUGUCUUGAAACCAAAACAAUCUUUGUUUCUAGUAUGUUUUUUUUUCUGACUUGUAACUAUCAAUUGAUUGUGUGCACGGUUCUGUUUUGAUUAAUCAUUUAUGCGUGUUAUCAUCUUUAGUAAUAUCUAUGUUUCCUACUGUUUGUCCAUGUUUACUAUCCUUUAAAUAGAAGUUGGCUUAAGAUAGAUGUAUAUUGUUUCAAAUUAUAAAUGUUAUGUUUCUCGAUCUUAAGAUGUGCUGAGUUGUUUCCACUUUGCUUCAGAAUAUUAUCAUGGUGGAAUAUAACUUUAAUUGUUUCUCUGUAAUUGUGUGCUUAUAGCUGAUGUCCGUAACUUCGUAAAUCACUUGUCAACUGUUUAUGUUCAUUCUUAUAGCUGAUGUAUGAAACUUAGUAUAUCACUUGUCCACGGCUUAUGGUAAAUGUUGAACAUACUUCUUUGCUUAUAACUACAACUAUCUGUAAAUUCAGUAUCUCGUAUGCUUUUGUUUUCAAAAUAUCCCUUGAAGAAUGACUAACUUGUGUUGAUUUUUUUUUUCUGUUUAAUUACAUGACACCAAAACAUAGUGGAAAAGCAAAAGUGAUACAAAAAGGAUAUAACUGAAGAGGAGCAUUACACAUAAUUCUAAAAGUAAAAAGGUUAGUAAUUUAUUAAACAAACUUUUAUUAAUAUGCGCAGAUUAUUAGUCUUAAGAGUAGUAUUAGUAGGAUUAUCGGUUUGAAUGAAACAUUGCUGAAUGAAACAUAGCAUUAUUUCUGAUUGUGGACUGACUCCUAAAAGAAGAAACAAAACUUGUCUCAAGUUUGAACAAAUAGCAUAGUAAAAAGUAGAAGUCCAUCGCAUUCCCUCUUCUCGACGAAACCUGCAACUAAUCACGAAAUAUAUUUUACAACCUUAUAUCAUCCUAAAAUUUCAAAAAAAAAUUGAUCCAUAAGUAAACAUACCUGUCGUUUCUUACAUAUACAUAUCAUAGGUUGUUGAAAAUCUCUUUGAAAACAACAUUCAUAGUCUUCUUCUGAGGUUUACCAUCUUUGUCCACAAUCAAAAUCUUCAAUCCUUUCUUUGAUGUGACCCUAGAAAUAGCCACAUAUAGCUGUCCAUGAGAGAACACAGGUCUGGGUAGGAAGAUGCCAACUUCAGAGAGAGAUUGUCCUUGGCUUUUGUUGAUUGUUAUAGCAAAUGCAACUGCCAAGGGCAAUUAGAGAUAAUUUUUCAUUAGAGAUAAUUAGAGAUAGUUUUUCAUUUAAAAAUUACAACAAUAUAUCAUCUAAAAUUUUGAUUGUUUGCAGCAAAAUUUCUAUUGCUUGAAUCUUCAGGUAAUUUCUCAAGUCGAAUUUUAAUUAAUGAAAUAUAAACAAUAAAAACAUUCCAGACAUUUAGGUUAAUAUUAGAUGAUUUGUUAUAUUUUAGUUACGAUUUUGAUCUGAUUAGAUUUUAUUUUAAUAACUAAAAUUUAAAGUAGCAAGAAACGUGUUGAAUAUUUCUAAGUCAGAAACAUAUAUUUUAUCUAGUUAUAAAACAAUGAGGAUCUCUAGAAGAUGUGUUCAUCUGUAUAACUCUAUAUAGGUUAUUUAACUCUGUUUGAUGUAUGUGCUUUUUUUUUCUAACUGCUAGGUUGACCCUGCAAGUGCCGAUAAUGUUGAAGUUAUGCUUUGGGGAGUAAAGAUGCUCUGCCUCAUAUGAUGCCGACUCCAUUAGACACAUACCCGUAUUCAUUCAAAGGUAUGUUGAUAAUUUAGAAGAUAUGGUUGCAUUUAAAUGUUUUAGAUGAAGAAAUAAUCGAAUAUUUAAAGUUUGUUUCAUUUUUUCAAGUUGAUUGUUAGUUAGAUAUUAAAAUUUAGAUGAAGAAAUAAUCAAACUUUUAUUAAUAGAUAUUAAAAUUGAAAAUACGAAACAUCAAUGAAAAACACCAGAAAGCUAAAAACAGAAUCAAAUAAAACUUAAAUGUAGAAAAUAUCCAAAUUACUCCAGAACAUUACAUCCAUACCCACCAAACUUCAUCACUUAGAACCGUCCCAAACUAAUCCUUUUUCGAUUUCUCCACCUUGACAAUCUUGGUGCACAGUUUUUUUGAUGAUGAGGACAUGUCAGGUAGAUCACCAUCUUUGCGUUUGGAGAACGGGGUUGAACAACCUUCAGAAGUUGUUUGACUGUUUGGAUCCAACUUAGAAACCUAAAAUAAUGAAAAUGCACACAAAUUCCAUGUCAAGAAGUAAUAAAUAUAUACAAAUAAAAAUUAUAAAAUCGAUAUAUAAGACAUUAACCUCGCCACCAGAGAUCAUGGAGGAUUCUCUGCUGACAACAGAAUGUGAUUCUGCUUUGAGAAGUUUAUCUCCAGACCAGAUUUGAGAGACCAUAAAUAUAUCAGAGCCGUUGGUCACAUUAUCAUUUUCCAAAGAAACUCCAAAACAGAAAGAUUGGCCAACUAAUUCUUUGAUUGGUUCUGGCAAAACUUCUGGAUCUUCAAUCUGGGUUAAGUAAAUAAUAAGAACAUAGUUAGCCAAAGAAACAAAGUUUAGCAGAAACAAAGUUUAGCAGAAACAAUAUAGGUAUGAUAUGUAAAUCAUAUAAUAAUGUUAAGCAUGGUUCGACAGUAGCUCAUCAUAUGACCCAUCCCAUAGCUCAACAGCUUUACAGCCGACUAUGGCCUCAGCUUCAGUAUCCAGCAACAUUAACUUGCAUGUACCUGAGUUAUCUUGCACAACAAUAUGCAGUUUGUAUCUGUACAACAUAAAAACUCACAUAUUAGAUUUAGUUGAUUUUCCCGUAAAAUAUUAUUCACAAAUACAUUCAUAGAAAUGAAACUCAAUCCAUGGGUAAACUUACUUUGGAGACACAUUUGUGACAUUACAACGGCAACGUUUACAAUACCAUAAAGGUUUAUCUGCAACCGACAAAUUUGCUGAACCAUUCCUAACAAUUUGCUCGGCACGUUUGUUACACCUGUCAUGACCAAAAUAGAACCAGCCCCAAUCUGUAUCUACUGUUUCAAUAGAAACAAUGAUUUUGCAGCUUUCAAUCUACAAACAUAAUUAGUUCAAGAUUAAAAUAGUUGACUAUAUAGGUGAUGUAAAUGGUUUAAAAUUAUAUAAAUGUAGAAAUAAUUAUACCUUCAUGGCCACCAAUAUUUCUGAGAUUGAUUUGACAUCAACUUCAUUCCAGUCCACCUUUGGAGCCUUGAUUGCCUUACUGUUUGAAUUUUGAUCGAAAGGAGUAAUUGCAGUAUCAUUUUGUGGCAUCCUAAGUCAAAAGAAUAUAAUUAUUGGUCAAGACUCAAUGUUUUUCAUAUAAAUAUUUCCAACGUAGACAUACUUACAUGCUUUUGAAAGUCACGACUUCAGGCAAAUCCGGAUUGAUCAGAACCAAUGAUGCAUCAAAUGCGUUGGUAAUUUGAACUUCUCCUAUAAGAAGAAAACAAAUAGUAGUAUUAAGAGUAUUUGAGAUGAUAAAUUCAAUCCUUGAGAGUUUCAUUUUCAUUUUAAAUUAUUUGUAUUACCUUGAUAAAAUCCGAUCUUUGCAAAUCUUAUAACCAAAAUCAUAUUUGGGUCAUUUGCCUCUUGAACAUGAGAUUCAAUUUGUUCUGCAUAUUUUCCCCACAGACAACAUGCAAUAGUCUCACUCCUAAUACAGUUAAGGUGUUAAAAAAAUAACAUAAAUAUAACAUAAAUUAAAGAUAAUCUGCAGGGUACAAAAAAACAAAUUACUUGGUGUCACGUAGACGAAAUUCAACUUUUUCCUGUCUUUUUGCUUAACUUGAACAGUUUGAACGUCUUUAAGGCUCUCAACUUGACCGAUUACUUCUGCAAUUAUUCACAAAGGAAAACAAUGUUGGUACCUUAUACUUAAAUCAUCAUUGCAAAUACGUUCAACUUUAUGAUAAACUUAACCAAUCACAAAUAAAAUAAAUGUAAAAUAUAGAUUGUAAGAUAAACUUAACCGAUCAAAAAGUGUGAUUUAAUACUCCCAUUACCAACAUCUUCAAAGCUUGCAAAAGAGAAGAACAUAUCAUCGCAAUGGAAAUCUGAAUCCUUAAUCUUACUGUCGCCUAUAAUAGACAUCUUGUAAGCAUGGUUGGUUGGUCGGUAUUGACCAGUUGCAUUUGAGAGCGAAAACUUUGUAAUCAAACGCCAUACUCCCAAAGGCAAAUCACGUUCAACACGAAACAUGUGAUCAUUCUUGCAUGAGCAAUGAAUCUUAGUACCCUAAAAAUAAGAAAAAAACUGAUGUCGUUAAUCUUAUAUAUUAAAUUAAACUUUUUAAUAAGUGAAUCGCUUCUAAUAUAAAAACACUCUAAAAUCGCUUCUAAUAUGAAUAAGAUAAAUAUAAAUGUUUUUUAAUAUGUUAUGUUACCAAAUGGUUAGUAAAUGAAAGGCUUAAAAAGUUUAAUUAGAUGGUCCUACUAUGACUUUUGCCUAGUAGAUAAAAAUGGUACUUCUCUUUUAAUAGAGAAGAUAUUACUAUGGUUUUAGGAGUAUAUACUCUGAGUCAUGUCCAAGUAUUAUAGUAUUAGUGGUAUUCCGAUGCUACGCGCCGGGUUCGUAUGUUUUAUUCUUUAAUGAGUUCAAAAUUAUUAUUUUUGAUCCAUUUGAUAUUGGUUAGUGACAGUAGUAUAUUACUUUGUUUUGAAGUUGUUUAGGUCAAAAAAAAAUAGUAUAAGUAGUUUCACUUAUUGAUUCAAUACAAAUAGAAUAAAUAACUUAUAGUUACACCAAAGUAAAUAUAGUUUAAUUUAAAACAUAAAGUAAAGUCGAUGUUCCAAAAGUAAAACAUGUAGAUUUGUGUGUUUGUUUUGUAAUUAUCUUUUUUGAAUGAAGAUAAAAAUUUCUUUCAUUUUCUUAAAUUAAUAACAAUUCUCGAAUACUUUGUUAAUAUCAUCGAUGUGGCAAUCUGGUCAGGGUUUCACUCCAGACGUAUUGGUUAAAUACUUUGUUUUUAAAAUGAUACUGAAUCUAGUAAGUGAAUUACUAAUCAUGGUUUAGCAUCGCUCGGACGACUAUUUUCUCGAGAUAACUUAUUAUAAAAUUGAAGUGUUCGUGAAUAAUUUUAGAGGUGGAUUUUUGUUCUCACAAUGUACAUUUAAAUAUUUCGAUCAUGUGAUGUGUUUAUUUGGUUUGACAACAAAAGUAUAAUAUGCUAAUGUAGUUGAAUUUGUACAGUACGGGGGAGGUACAGAGCCUCUUAUUGAACUUGAGUGUAUGAAGUAGUCAAACGUUUUACUUCUUGUGUGAGAGGAUAUUAUUUAUUUGGUUUAAAGCUUUCAUGUUUAUUUAAAGGGCAAAUCUCCAAAAUAGCACAUUUCUAAGUUUAUAUCACAAAAAUAGCACUCAAAAACUAAAAUGACCAAAAUAGCAUUAUAUCUUUUGAAAAUUUUAAUUUUUACCCUAAAUUCAAAAUUUGAAAUCUUAUCCCCAAAACCUCAUUUCUCAACUCUAAACCCUAAACCCUAAACUCUAAACCCUAAACCCUAAAUUCUAAACCCUAAACCCUAAACCCUAAACCCUAAACUCUAAACUCUAAACCCUAAACUCUAAACCCUAAACCCUAAAUUCUAAACCCCACCCUUUAACUCUAAACUCUAAAUUUGUGACUUUUGAUAAAACAUUAAGUGCUAUUUUUGUGACUUUUGACCUUGAAUGCUAGUUUGGGAACAAAAACUUGAUUUAGUGCUAUUUUUGUAUUUUUCUCUUAUUUAAAUCUAUUUUGGUUUUUAUUUACCUUGUAUUUAUUACAUUAUACUAUUAUUAUUAAUGUUAUUCAUUUGCGUUGGUAUUUUAUAAAAGAAACAAAUCAUUAUCUUUAUUUGACCAUUUUUAUAUAUCUUCUACACUAUUAAAGAAAAAUCCAUUAUAAGAUUUUGUCCUUAAUUUUGUGAAAUAAUUAUAAUAAAAUAAUUAUAAUGAAAUGUCACUCAUAUUUUUAUGCAUAUCAUAAUUAAUUAAUCUGAACUAAACAAUUAAUUUAGAAAAAUUCCAAAACUAAAAAACAGUAGUUAAAUCAUGUAUACACAGCUUAAAUUUAUAACCAUGCUGCAAGCUAAACAUAGCUUCUUUAAGCUACUUCAGAUCUCAGACAUCAUUUGAACCGAUUUUGGUUUCAUUGUUACUCUCCUUAAACAACUGCAUUAUUCUCUCAUUUACUUGAUCUUUAAGAUUCAUAAAUGGGCUCUGAAAUAGUAGUGGGCCGUAAGCCCAAUCAAAACAGAUAUGACCAAAUAAAGUGUUUAACAUGCCUUCUUCUUCUUCUCCAAUUUCAGAUUUGAUCCAAUCUGUAGCCUAAGGGGAAACGAAAAGGGGAAACUGCGACAAAUCAAAGGUAUGAUUAGAACCCAAAGAGACUCAUGAAAACACUUCAAUUCUCUGAAAUUGAUUGAAGUUUGUGCAGUUUUUUUCUUUCUGAUCGUAUCUUUGAUUGUGAAAAACCUCAGGUGGAUCCAUGGGUGAUGUACAACUAAAGAAAAGAGGAUACAUCUGGGCAAUCUCUGCUGGGUUCAAUGCAGCUCUUGCUGCCAUCUCUGCAAAGUUCUUCUCAUCUCUCGUAAUAAUAAUAACAUUUUCUUAGCUUCAUUUGUUUUUUUUUCCUUAGAGCAUUUUGAUUAAUUUAAUUUUGGAAUUUUUUAAUGUUUAACAGGUGCUAAAAUAUGGAUUGGUUGUAUUAUGCAAUGUGGUAAUGUGGGGAUGUUAUGUAAACAGCUUAAGAGCUCUCUCUUCUCUACAAGCUACCGUCACUAACUUUGCUGCUAAUUUCCUCUCUUCCGGUUUUGCUGGCCUCUUUCUGUUUCACGAGUCCUUAUCAUUCCGUGUAAGUUUUUUAUUUAAAUCUUGAAAACAAUGUUUCUUAUGCUAUGCUUUUCUUGGAUGUCAAAGCCUAUUACUAUUGCAGAUUCCAUAACUUGUACUUGUUUUUAAGGUUUGCGUGUAUUUAGGACACCAAUUGUUAUGUUGAAAUGGUAGUUUUGGAGUUGUAACAUGAGUUUGGCUGAUACAUUUUCCGAUAAAUAAUGCAGUGGUUUGCGGGAGCUUUAUCGAUCACCAUUGGAGUUGUAAUCCUCAGUAAGUCAAGUGUUGAUAAGAAGGUCAGUACGGAUUAGUACAAGAACCAAUAUAAUAGCUUUCCUUCUUGAGAAGGCUGGUUUUGCGUACAAGGAGUUAAGAGCUGGAGAUUAAGUUGUUUGAAGUUUUAGAUUUUAUUCUGUUAAGAGGACCAAACUUGUAAUACCUACGAUUGAUUUUCAUGAUUUUAUUGAAGUAGUUAAGACUGUUAAUACUAAAAUAAUGUUUGUUCUUUUUUUUUUUGGGUUUGUCAUGUCAAACCGCAACAAUCUACUGCACGGGUCUUCUUCUUCUGCAUCUUGAUUAAAAUCGAGAGGCAGUGGCAAGAAACUAAGAAACUAAUGCGUAGCUACGAUAAUAUGUGCCAAAAAUAUGUUUGAAACUUUCUAAUCACAAAAUAUACGGUUAGAUCAAAGAACCAGCCAUGUCGUGGGGCUUACGUCACAUAUUUUUUCAAUAGAAAUAUGGACAAUUCUGUUUUACUUUAUGUGAAGUGAACAUGCCCUUACUCAUUACUUGAUUUUCAAGCUACAAUGUCUUCUCUUAACGUUUCCAUCUCGGGAGUAAUAGGCAAAUUACUAGAGAUGUGAACAAUUCUCCACUUCUUAAACGAAACAUUUCGAUUUUUUUGGAGUUCUUUUUCUUUUGCAUUCACUCUUUUUAGGUUAACCACCGUAUACAUUGUAUAGUUUUGCAUCUGUGAAUAAAGGAAAAUAUACAAAGAUUUUUCUUCUACUUUCAAAAGCUAUUUUCAAUAUUUUGUAGACUCACAAGAUAAUUCUCAAGAAUCCACCAAACCCUGCUAUAAUCGUAUCAAAACAACAAUGAAAUAGUGGUUUUGUAGGAUACGACAUUACGGAAAAACAACAAUUGAAUCAAUCAUCGUGAUGAUGAGUGGUAGAACAACUGAAAAUUUGCAAAACAAUAAGGAAGUAAGACAAUGUAUGCAAAUAUAUCUUGAGAUCUAAUGACAUUGUUACAACAUUAAAUAUUAUUUUGAGGAAGGUUGAAGUACCAAGAAACAUUCAUUAGAUCUCGGAAAGACGACGCUCAGGGUCACUACUGGGAUAAUAGAACUGUUAGAGAUCUAUAUGCGGAAGCGCGUUAAACCGAAAACAUACUAAUCUAGUUUAGCGAUGAACAUUGCUUGAUACAAUCUGGAAUUGGAUACAAGAAUCAGAAAGAAAUCACAGAUGGAAAUCAACCACAUAUCCCCAUUCAAGUACCUUUCUAGUUGAUUCAUUGAAGCUUCUUCUCUCUAAAACUUUUUACUCACUCUUUAGAAAUAUAUUUGUUAUAAAUAUAUUAUUACAAUUGGUUCUCUUCUAUUUGCAAUGUCUAUAUAUAUAGACAGUCAAGAGACAUUUUGUGAGGAGUCACAUAUGUUCAAGGAAGAGACAUGUAUUUUCAGCAAAGAGACGCAUCUUUUAAAUGAAGAGUCACAUAUCUUCAUUUAAGGAGUUAUAACCCGGUAAAAACCUAAAAACUCACUAUUAACCCGCGAUCUGAUACUAUUGAUCCGAUAACAAAAUAUCUUAUAGUACUUUUUUAAAAAAUUGAUUAAAUUACUCAUAUAUUUAUUAAUAUUACAUAAAUUAGUGAUUCCUUAGAAUUUGAUAAAAUUUUAUCAUGUUAUCUAAAUAAAAAAUGAUAAUAUAAAAUAACUUAUUGAUAUGACAAUAUUAGUUUAUUUUCGUUAUUAAUAACCUAUUAUAAGUUUGUGUUUGUAUUUUAGAUUUAAAAAUUUAUUUUAAGAUAGUUUUUAAAAUAUUCUUGAACACUCGUAAUUGCCAUAUUAAUAUUAUGUAUAAAAUGACAUUAUACACUGAAAAAUGAUAUUCAAAUAUGUAUAUGAUAUAUGGUGUAGGAUAUACGAUUUUGGUUUGUAUUGAAAAUAUGUAUAAUAUUCAAAUGAUCUAUUUUGAAUAUUGAUACGUAUAUUUAAGAAAAUAAUAUUUUCAUGUUUCUUAAUUCAUUUAUUGUUCAUAAUAUAUUUAUACUUAUAUUAAAUUUAAAAUUAAUAUAUCUUUUAAAUAUAUAUAUAGGCCUAUUAUUUAUAGAUCCAUUUAGGUGUAUCUGUAGGCCCAAAACCAAAAGACUUAAAUGCCAUUAAUGAAUUUUAUUAAUUCUUUGUAAAAAUAAAGGUAUUUUUGAGAAAACUGCAAUUUUCAUUAAGGAUAUAAUUUGAGAAUGAUCCUCUUUUAAUGGUAUUGAUGCGAAUAAUUUCCUAAAACUAGCGGUUAACCAAACCGGUUUGGUAUGCUGCCUAAUCAUGGAUGCAAACCGACCGUAAACUAAUAUCUCCCACUCACACAUGAUUGGGAGCAUGUCAAGUACUAGAGAAGUCUUAAAGAUCAAGCGCGAGAAUCCUAACUCAGAAAUCAUAGGGAAAAUGAACCGUGCGACCCUUACAAGUACACUAACACUUGGGAGUUAAAUUAUGCACCUGUUAGGAAUACAUACAAGUUACAACCCUAGAGAACUUUGCUUUUCAGCAUGUCUCGUUGUUCCCCAAACUCAUUGGUCUUUUAUAUCGAUUUAACAUUCCUGAUCCCUAAAGCAUAUGUGUUUAAAAAACACAUAUGUCAAAUAGUUUUCUUUUCCAAUCUCAUGUCCAUCUGUUUCGAACUAACUGUUUUCCUAGCAUGUCCCAUAAGGCUAAUUAUUCCAUUGCCGUUGAAAAAUAUACUAAAGUAGAAAACAUUAAAUAUUUCUUUCGAGAAUAUAGCUGAAGGUUCAAGGGUAACUUUGUAACCAUAAAUAGGUUAGUAGGAACUCACAUGAGAGGGAUAUGGAUUAAAAAUAAAAUAAUCCCUCGCUUCCUAUAUAGUCGUAAAUAGCACAUGUGGUAUGACAUACAUGUCAUAGCACUUAACUCUCCUCUUAAGAACAUGUGUAAAUUACAUAAAUUACAUAAACCAAAUAUCACUAUGUGGAUCAAGCUACUAUCAGCUCAUUCACUAGCGCCUUUUUAAGGUUUUUGGACGGUUAAAUUAAUAUUAUUUUUUUGUCAAAAAAAUAAUUCUGUUUAAACAAUAAAAUAAAUACAACUAAAGCUACGGUUAAAAGACCAAAAUUUAUGAUUUUUUUUAGUAAUUUACCAUGCACAGUAAAACCACCACUUAGGUGUUGUUUGUUUCUCCACUUGUGAUCUCCAUUCAGCUGAUUCAUUUAUGUGAUCCAUCCAAAUGAUUCAUCCAGAUUUUAAGGGUUGUUUGUUUUUCCAUCUAGAUGAGUCAUUUAAAUGAACUAUUUGAAUGGAUUUGAUGUUUGUUUCUUUUUUUUAUUUCCAUUCAAAUGAGUUUGAUAAACAAAUUACAAAUAUACAAUUCUUUUGAUUUAAUCAUAUGUUUGAUAUUAAUUUUAACUGUAUUAAUUAAUAUUAUUUAGUUUAAAAUGUAUUUAAACUAAAAUUAUUUUAAAAUUGUCAUUUUGACAUGUAUAAAAUUUUAGUUCAUAUACAUUUAUAAUUUCAUUCAUUUAUUUAAAAUUCAUAUAUUCAUUCAUUUAUUUAAAAUUGCAUUAAAAUUUAUAGCUUCUAAUAAAACUCAAAGUGAAAACUCAAAUUUGAAUAAACUUCUAAACAAUUCAAAGUAGAAACUCAAAUUAGAAUAAACUUCUAAACAAUUCAAAGUAGAAACACAAAGUACAAACUCAAAUUUUAUAAAACUGAAAUUUAAAAGAUGGCUUGCGAACCAAGUAACUCCCACACUCCAAGCAAUACGUUUAUUCCAAGCAAGAACUCCCACACUCCAAGCAAUACGAUCAGGUACCAAACCUGCCAUAUAAAGAGGUUUUGGUCAAUCAACAAUGGGACACAAAAAUUCAAAAAAAAAAAUGCAUUUUCAGCUUAUAAGAAAGCUCAAUACUUUUCCAGCAACAACAAGACUACAAAACCACUAAACAAGAAGAACCCACUAAACCACUAAACAAGAAGAACCUACUAAACAUUAUAAUGAGACUGAUGCCAAUAUCUCAUCAAUGAUCGCUCUAUAUCAUUACAAGGUCCUAUUAAGUCAUUCCUAAACAUUCUAAGCAAGGAUACAAACGCAUUAAUCAUAAGUGAACCCACUAAGCUCGCCAAGGGUGAGCUCUACUUCUACCUAUUACCAUUAAAAGGAUUGGAUAGACGCAUACCUGUUUGAUGCUAAUGUGGAAGUCUAGUUCCUCUUGCCAUCUCUAGAGUAAUAGAGUCACGUAUACUCUCCAUCACUCUAUCACCUGCUGGUAUGUAUUGAACAUGCUCAUCAUGUUGUUCAUCACCAUGUUGUUCAUAUGAUUCCACUCCUUCCCAAUGCAAAAAGUCGAUAUCUUCAUGCUGUGAAUCCCGAAUGAAGUUGUGGAGGGCCAUUGUGGCUGUCACAAUCUUUAUCCAUUUCUUCAGCUCAUACUUGGGAUGUUUUCUGUCCAUAAUCCUCCAUUUAGCUUUCCACACACCAAAAGUCCUCUCAAUGAUUGAUCUCAAACCAUAAUGCUUGCGGUUAAACAGUUCCCUAGUGUUUGAUGGUGGACCUCCUCUAUUAAACUGAUCCAAAUGGUAUUUGGUUCUGCGAUGAGGACCUAAGUAACCAUCUCUGGUUGGAUAACCUGAGUCGACCAAGUAGUACUUUCCAGCUGGUGGGUGAGGAAAAGAAGCUUCUUCAGUAGCACAGUAUGUUAGCACCUUCGUGUCAUGUGCUCUCCCGGGAACUCCAACAUAAGCGUAGAUGAAUCGUAUGCUGAAAUUGCAGAUGACUAACACAUUCAUGGUUGCUUCAGCUUUUCUACCUCUAUAUGGCUCAACAUUUCCAGAUGGUGGACAAACAGGAAUAUGAGUGCCAUCUAAAGCACCUAUGCAGUUUCUAAAGUAAGGCCAAUACUGCGGAUUCCCUACUAGAAAAGGACUAGCAUUUGUGAACUCAUUCCUAGUCGGACUAGCAUUUGAAUCGUCUGCCAACCUUUCAGAAAUUAUUACAAUAAUUGAUUUUGGUUGUCCUAAAAAGUUUAUCCUAAAAGAUAAAUUAUUAUUCUAUCUUAUGUGGUAUAUAUAUAUUAAAUAUAGUCGGUUUAGUAUUAAUAAACCAAAAUAUAAUAUAAAAACAUAUAUGUAAUAAUUUAAUAUUACUAAAUUAUAGUGUAUAAGUUUGGCUAUAAUAUUGUCUUUAGCAAUAUGAAAAGACAUAUCUAAUAAUUCCUAUUGUUAAUAGUAUAAUCAUCCAUAAUCCAUGACAUCACCCAGUAGAAUCAAAAUAUUAUAUAGAAAGAUAGUGACAAAUAUUUCUCAAAAAAGAAGAAAAUAACGAUAAAUAAGUGGUAAGUUUCAAUUAUAUCUUUUAUAAUUUGCGCUGUAAAUGAUUUACUCUAAUGUAAUUAAACUUUAGUUAGUUUGAUUAACUACAAUAUUUAAUUGAUAAAUUAAGAAUAUAAUAAAUCUAAAUAUUCAUAAUUCAUUAAGGGUACUAUCGAUAUUAACCGCUCUAACUUUUAACGUGAGAGUUCUAUUGCGAAAAAUCACUUCGCAAAUAAUAGUAUAUAUAGAUAGAUACCAAAUCAACAAGGAUCGGUUUGUAAACUUUUUUUAUCUUCUAUACUUUUUGUAUAAUUUUAUAUUAUUAAAAGAAAUUAAACAAUCACAUUAAGCAUAUAAUAAAAAAAAUUAGAUUUUUUAAUAUGUUAUAUUUCAAAUAUUUUAAAAUGACUAUAAAUUAUUAAAAAUGGUUAAAGUCUCACAUUGAAAAUUUCUGAAACAACUUCACAACUUGGAAAUCAUAUAUUCGAUUUACAAUAAAUAUCAUUGAGGAAAAGAAUGCGAGGAAGAACAAGAGCACAUAGGUGACGGUGAUGGUGAAAACACCACACACAGAAAGGUAAACAAAAUACAUAGAUGAUGACGACUCAAUGUCAAAAUAUGGGGAGAGUGCAAAAAAUAUCUUAAAAGAAUAAUUUUCAAAAAUAUUAAAAAAAUAGAAUACAAUUUGACGCUAAAAUCUUUAAUUUUAUAAUCAACACAUACCUAAAUACAAUGUUUUUGAAAAUUAUUAUUGUUUACACCAGAUGUUCACUCCAUCACUACUAAGUACUACACAAUAUUGAAAAAAUAAACACAAAAUAUAUUAACGUAUUACCUAUUACUACAUAACACAAUGAAAAUACCAAAUAAUAUUUUUAACAAAUAAAAACGAUCAAAUAACUACAUCAUAUAGAUCAUAUUUAACAAAAAUGAAACACAAUAUUCCGUUCGAAGCGCGGACAAAUCCCUAGUAUAUUAUAUUUUGAAUCUUUAAAAAAACCUAUAAAUUAAUUAAAAUAUUAAAAAUUCCACACUAAAAUUUUUGUGACUAGUGGUUUAAAAUUCCAUUAUAACAUGAUACAAAUAAUUUAAAUAAAGCUAUAUGAAUAUGAGUCGAGUCUCAUUUAAGAAAAUAUUUAAAUCCAAAAAGAUACAUAUUUUAAUAUUUUUUAAAUUAAAUUAUAUACUAAUACAUAAAUAUUAUAUUUGCGGAAUUCUGCUUUUAAAAAAGGGAGGGAAAAAAAAGAUAGGAAAGAAGUAAAAGGGGAAGAAAGUAGGGUUCCAACAUUAUUCAUAUAUAUAUAAACCUCCCUCAAAAUAAAUAUUUCGGUCCUUCCGUUUGGCCUUCAGGAUUCGACAAUCAACGAGGUCAGUGAUUUUGAUUUAGCAGUCUCUCUACGAAUUCUUUGUCUGAUGUUUGAUUGAAGAAGAUUUUCGUUUCUAGAAUAGAACCUAACACACACCGAAUUGUUUGAAUCUGAUUGAUUUGUUUGAAUGUUAAGAGAUGAGUGAAGACUUGAUACCAAUCUCGGUGUGGUGGGACAUCAACAGCUGUCCGGUUCCCACUGGUUGGUCCGAGAAUUUCAUCGGCUUUGACGGAUGCAGGCUACGAUGGUCAUAACAUCACUGCCAUUGGCAACCUAGAGCACAUCCCUGAUGAGGUCUUGCUACAGAUCAAUUCCACUGGAAUCGCUCUUAGACACGUCCAAUGCGGUUAAUCUUCUCCUCUCUCUUUCUCUCACUAUUUUUUUUAUAUAUAUAUAUAUAUAUAUAUAUUUAUAAUUCAAGGUGUUUGAUUCAACGUUUCCUUGACAGAUUAUCUAGAGGACAUGGUUAAGUGUUGGCUUGAGGUACAGCCGAUGUGUUUAAUGCUCAUCUCCAGUCAUGAGCAACUGGAAAUCUUUGCUCCUACUUUGUUCAAGAUACAACCUCUCAUAUCCUCCAUUCUUCUGGCACAUCCUGGACGAAAAGAAGGUUCAGAAUGGCUCUGGAAAAGCUUCCUCCGCAGUGUUAAAAGAGAGUUGAUCUGGGAAACCUUUUUGAAAGGUGUUUGUCCUCUCUCUCUCUCCCUCACACACACACACAGUGUUUUCAAUAACCAGCGAAGCUUAAUUUUGUCAAUGGAUUCAGGGUCUGCGGAUAGUAAACAGAUAUGUAGAGCAGGGGAUUUUUUUUGCAAAACAUGUGUUCGUUGGUCGACGAGUUUUGAAGAAUUCACUAAGCAUAUCAAGUGUGAAAAACACACACAGGAAGUAAAAGUAAGCACAUUUGCCGCCGCUCCUUUUAGCUUGCCUGCCAAGUUUUGUUUGCUGAUGUCCUUUUUUUUUCGGCUAGGUGUCUGACACGGUGAUGAGUGAUCAACCAAAGGCAAGUUUUAAACACUUCAGUUUCUAUUUUUUUUUCUUCUCUGUUUAAUGUGCUUAAAACCUUGAAGGUAACCAUAAGAUCCUUUGUCCCCGUUCCUCAUUCUCGCUUUCGGCCAAGUGUGCAUAUGGCGACAACGACUGUGCUUUGGGACAUCGACAGCUGUCCGCUUCCUGAUUCUUUUGGUCCUUCGCUGGCUGGUCGGAGUAUAAGAUCGGCAUUGAAAAAUUCAGGCUACCUUGGUCCGGUCACCAUCACUGCCAUGUCCAACCUACAUCUCAACCCACGCUCUGCUUCCCUCCUGGAAGCGCUCUUUUCCUCUGGAAUCCAUAUUUCAAACAUCUUCGGCUGUAUGUCUUUUUAUCCCUUUCUUUCUUUGGUUUUUUCGUUUUACAAGUAACGGUUUGCUGUUUAUAGUCUCAACGUUGAUUUCCUUUUUGCUCAAAACAGAUUGUCUGUCUCUGUUGUUUGGCUGGAGAAUGAGUGCGCAACCUCCGGCUACUUUAAUGCUCAUAUGUGAUGAUACUACACUGGAAAUGUUAUCUGAACCUCUUUUCCGCAUAUGCGAUGAGGGAUUCACCAUUCUCGUGGCACAUCCUGGACGAAAACCCGUUUCAGCAGAUCUCUGGAAAACCUUCCUUUCAGUCGUUUCUAGAGAUUGGAUCUGGGAAAGCUUCCUAGGUGGUUUUCCUCUCUCUCUCUCUCUCUCACUCUCUGAUUGUAGCAACUCUGUUUUUGAAUCAGUUUUUUUUUCUCCCCAACUAAUUCAGGUUCUGCAGAUGAUAAAGACGAGGCUCUUGAGUACAAGUGUAGGGUACGUUUCUUGCGAAAUGUGCGAAUUUUCUGGCUUUAGCCUUAAAGAUCUCACCACUCAUUUCAGUAGUGAUGAACAUUUAGAGGAAGUAAGCAUCUCUCUGCUUCUUAAUAUUUGUAUCGAUACGUUUCUCCUACUAUCCUCCCACGUCCUUUAAGUUUUGCUUGUCUUAUCUCCUCUGAUUUGCACUGGAUGUGCUUCUUUUUGUUGUUGUCACGCAGGUGUCCUACCGUAAUCCUCUAGACAAACAUAGCUCUUCUACUUCUGCCGUACAACCAAAGGCAAGUUUUACUUAAAAUAUCUCAAACUUUUAUAAUUUUGCUGAAAUUUGAAGCUAGACUUCUCUUUUGGUCGAAUCUUAAAUAGAAUGCGUUUCUUAUUGACAUUUUUUUUUGGUGCUAAAACAUCGAAAAAUUAGGGCAAUGAGAGGGAGACUAAGACUGAACAUGUAGGUGAACAAGAGACCAGCUGCGCACCAAGAGGCACCAAGAGACCAGCUGCGCACAUUGGUCCAUCGGAUCUCUAAAAGAUUGAAUGGUUUUUGUUCUACUCUAGCGGGAAAUGUUAAAUAUUUAUGCUUAUUUUAUAUUAGUCUCCUCUUUCUUUCCUUUUUUUAAAUAAACUAUCACAUGGGAUAUAUAUAUGAUAUGUGUUCGCUUUUGGUUUUCUUUUCUUCCGGCCAUCAAAUAAGUAUUAUAUAAUUCCAAUGUUUGAUUCUUAUGAGUUCUUUAUGCUUGUGUUUCUUUGUAAUUUUUUCACGAAUACCAUUUGGAUUUUGCUUCCCCCAUGCAACAUUGAGCAUCAGCGACAGGAAGAGAUAGUUGUGCGGUCACUAGGCCAAGUAAAAUUAAUCUGUUCACUGAUACAAAUAAAACGUAAUAUCCAAACAGUUUUUAAUCAAUUGGAAAGCAUCUUACAAAAUCUGGAUGGCUUUCCAAAAAAACAGUGUGUUUCUAACCUAUGAUCAAUUUCGAAAAAUAAAAAAAGUUUGCAUCUAACGAAUGUCGAACCAGCGAACUAGGUGUGCGGCCACUAGGCCAAGUACAAUUAAUCUGUUCACUGAUAUAAAUAAAACUUAAUAGCCAAACAGUUUUUAUUCAAUUUAAAUUGGAAAGCAUCUUACAAAAUCUGGAUGGCUUUCCAAAAAGUAUAUUUAUGGAGACUCAAAACUAUGGACAUGGCAAACUGUAUUUUUGUAAAGUUUCAUAUUGUGAUGAAUAAUUUUGUGAGCAAAUCAAUAUAACCAAAAGCUUUAAAAUUUUGGAAAAAGUUUACAUAUAAAUAGGCCCUUAAAUUUGUGGAAAAGAAAAAUUUAGGUCCUCAAACUAUAGAAAUCCAUCUUAAAACAUCUCCAAAAAGACUCUCUAUUAUAAAGUUUGCAAAAUUCUAUAUUUGAAGUUUCAAGAUGUUCUUCUCCAAAUGUAAAACUUCAAACCUAAACUUCAAAAUUAUUUGUAAUUUAUUCUAUAGUCCUUAUAUUUGUCAUAAUUAAUGUCGAUCCAUAAAGUUUUUAUAAAUAACUAGAACAAACAUAAAACAUAUUAUAACAAUAUUAAUUAAUAAUAUCUUACACUACAAUAUAAAACUAUAAAUAGAAAUACAUAAUUAAAUAUUAAAAUACAAGAAAAAUACCACAUUAGUCCUUAAAUAUUAUAUAUUUUCGUAAUGCUCCAUAUUUAGUUACAUAAAAUUUGUUUGAACAAUAUUUAGAACUUUAUAAGGUUCCAUAGUAAAUUUACGAGACAAUUAGUGUUGUUGUAAUAUUUAAAUGUGUGUAAUAAUUGUUGUUUUCAUGUACCUUUUAAAAAAGUUUUUAUUAAGUUUCUUUGUAAUAUUUUUGUUGUCUAACGCUAGUUUAAAAUAUUUAAUUUUAUGUGAAAACUUAAAUUUAUAAAAAAAAAAAUGAAAUAAUUAUGAGAUAUGAAAAAUUUUAAGAUUAAAUAUUAAAACAAUAAACGAAAAAUAUUUAAGAGUCAUAAAUGUGAUGUAUAAUUAAUUAUAAGGACCAAAAUGCAAAUAAAAAUAUGAAACUUCAAAUUUGAAGUUUUGAGUAGUGAAACUUGAAAUAUGAAGUUUUACUCUUCAAAACUCUAAAUUUGAAGUUUUGAAGUUUCUUUUUGGAGAGCAAAAAACUCUAUAUUUGAAGUUAUAAAGUUUUUUUUGGAAAUGCUCUUAAACCGUCUAUAGCCCCCAAAAUCUCUGCCUCCAUCAACAAUGGAGUUUCAGAAUGUCGAACGGGACAAAUCAUCUUGAAGAAAAUCUGUGUCAUGCUUUCAUUGCGUCGUUUCUUUUUUGAUUGUGCAUGUAAAAAUGCUUGGCUUGUGUAUUGAUGUACAAUAGCUACGGUCUUCGACUCUUCGAUGUCUCCUUCUGCAAGUGUUUCUUAGAAAAAAACCAUUGAACGUUUGAUGCAUAUAAGCACCAUGGAUCCAUGCAUCUUCGUCUGCUGAUUUCAGGACAUCGGUAUUAGAAAGAUGAUUUACGGGUUUGUCAUCCUGUAGGUACUUAUCCAACUUCAAACGGGUUAAAUAUAUCCCCAUCUCUCGUUUCCAAACAUAGAAAUUCUUUCCAUCAAACUUAUUUGGCAACAUUGGAUCUGAAAGAGUAGACACUCCAUAGUCCACUGCCGUGUGAUUUGCUUGUCCGUUUACGCUGUUACGAUUCAUCUAGGCAACACAAAAAAAUGUAUCAUCAAACGUGUAUUAUUGGAGAAGAAUCACAAAAAAAAAAAAUCAUCAAACAAAUAUAUAACAUAGAAGAAGAAUAGUAUACCGGUAGACGUUUGAGGGAUGUUUUUGUUUAACGAAUGAGGUUUCAAUGGAAUAUAUAGCGGAAGUAAAUUUCAUGUAGAAGUUUCAAGAAAAUAACAAAAAAUUUUGAUGACGGUUACAAGACGGUUACUGGCGAUUUUCUGGGCGAUUUCCCAGAUCCUGUGUUUUCUCACCACGAUCUUAGUGGUUGGAGUAGUUAGAGUAUGUGCUUGUGGGUUUCUCGCACGUUGUACACCCACUUUGCCUUCAGUUUUCAUGUUGGGAAUCUUUUUCCAAUGUGAUGUAUGCGGUUUAUUGCAUUCUACAAAGGCUAUAUAUAAAUGGCCAUGGGAAACUGACUUACCACUGUCUAAUUUUUUGAAAGUCUUAUCUCUUCCUUGUAAACAAUGACAGAAAAUGUUCGCCGUGCGCUUCAAGACAUUGAUCUAGGAAGUAAUGAUGCUCCCUUUGUUCUGCCCUCUGAUGUUGUUAGUCGUGCCGCUGAAGAAAAUCGUUUCAUUUUGGUGGGGCGUCCCUCUACGCCCAGAAAACAGAACCUGAGAGGAAUCAUAGCAACUAUGCCUCGGAUUUGGGGUCUUGAUGGGUUGGUUCGUGGGCGUGUCAUGGAAGGAAGACGUUUCCAAUUCAUCUUUCCAAGUGAAGAAGCGAUGGAAACCGUGAUCAGACGUGGUCCGUGGGCCUAUGCUGAUCGUAUGCUUACCCUCCAGAAAUGGACCCCGUUAAUGGAUAUGGAGAUGCUGAACUUUAUACCAUUUUGGAUCCAAGUUCGUGGAAUUCCAUUCCAGUAUAUGAACAGAGAAGUUGUCAUCCACAUUGCGAGGCUCAUGGGUCAAUACAUCCAAGUCGAUUACAAUGAGGAAGCUGGUGGGCGUCUUGAGUUUGUCCGUUUCAGACUCAAUUGGGAUAUCAGGCAACCACUUAAAUUCCAACGCAACUUUCAAUUCACUCCGGGAGUCAACACUUUGCUGAAGUUUCACUAGGGAUCUGAAGUCUGUUGGUAAUCGAUUCUUUUGGGUUGGAAAACGUGGCACGCACGACAUUCAAUGUUGCCUUGAUAGAACAAUGGCUAAUAGACUAUGGCUUCAAGAAUUCCCGGCCUCUGAAACAGAGUUCUUGGAAAUAGGUGAAUCUGAUCAUCGCCCUCUAGUCACUUUUAUCUCACAUGAGAAAGAAGAACCAAAACGGGUUUUCAGAUAUGAUAGUAGACUGUCAAACAAAGAAGGUUUCAAUGAGUCAGUCUGUAGAGGAUGGAAGGGUUCAGGGCAGACACAAUUGCUACAACAACCUUUAGCACAAAGACUAAGACAAUGUAGAAGUCAAAUCUCUAUAUGGAAGAAAUACAACAGGAGUAACACUGAAGAACGAAUACAAGUCCUAAGAGGCAGACUUGAUAGAGCUAUUACUACUGCUGCAUCAACUCACGAGAUAAAUACAGUUCGAGAGGAGUUGAAUCAAGCCUAUAUUGAGGAAGAAAUCUUCUGGAAACAAAAGAGCAGGGUGAUGUGGUUAAGAGCUGGUGACAAGAAUACCAAAUAUUUUCACUCCAUUGCGAAGGUGAAAAGAAAUAGAUUGAAUCUCUCAUCUAUCCAGGAUAGUAACGGAGUAGUCCACCGAGGUCAGAGACAAAUUGCUCAAGUUGCACAAGAGUAUUUUCAAAAUUUAUUUGGAAAUUCUAACGCCAAUACUUCACUCUAUCCUGAAGUCUUUGGAAGCUUCCAGAGACGAGUAACUACUGAGAUGAAUGCUGAUCUGAUUAAGGAAGUCUCAGAGGAAGAAAUCAGAGAGGCUAUGUUUGAUAUUGGUGCUCACAAAACGCCUGGUCCGGAUGGAUUCUCAGCCGUCUUCUAUCAUCAAUAUUGGGAAGACAUUAAAGAAGAUAUUGUUACGGAAGUUAAGGGAUUUUUCCAGGAAGGUAAUCUUGAUCCUCAGCUGAAUCAUACUAAUCUGUGUCUGAUCCCCAAAGUCUAUCCACCAACUGGAAUGACUGAAUUUAGACCCAUUUCUCUUUGUAAUGUGGCCUAUAAAGUCAUUUCAAAAGUUUUGGUGAAUCGGUUAAAGCAACAUUUAAGUGGCAUGAUCAGUGAAAAUCAGGCUGCAUUUAUCCCGGGGAGAAUGAUCACUGAUAAUGUCAUUAUUGCUCAUGAGGUCUUUCAUAGCCUCAAAGCUCGGAAGCGACAAUCUACUUCCUAUAUGGCCAUCAAAACUGAUAUCACCAAAGCUUACGACCGGCUACAAUGGAGCUUUUUGGAAGAAACUAUGAAGCAUAUGGGUUUUGAUAGUAUAUGGAUUGGAUGGAUAAUGACGUGCAUAUCUUCUGUUACUUAUUCAGUCUUGAUUAAUGGAUCACCAGAGGGUCAUAUUGUUCCACAAAGAGGUAUAAGACAAGGAGAUCCUCUUUCUCCUUAUCUCUUUAUCUUGUGUGCAGAAAUAUUAUCUCACAUGAUGAAUGUUGCAAUGUCUGAGAGAUCCUUGGGAGGCAUCAAGAUUUCAAUCCAAGCACCGGCAGUAAACCAUCUGCUAUUUGCUGAUGACUCUCUCUUUUUUGCUCUAGCUAAUGAGAGGGCUGCAAAGAAAAUGAAGAAGAUAUUUGAAGUUUAUGAAGCAAUCUCGGGUCAGGCGGUUAAUCUGAAUAAGUCUUCUAUUACUUUUGGUUCAAGAGUCUCUCCGAUUACCAAAACAAAGAUGAAACACAUUUUAGGCAUCAACAAUGAUGGUGGAAUGGGGAAAUACUUGGGAUUGCCAGAGCAGUUUGGAAGAAGAAAGAGUGAAAUGUUUCAUUACAUCAUUGAGAAGGUUAAAAAGAUUACGCAAGGAUGGCAUCAGAAAUUUCUCUCACCAGGUGGUAAAGAGAUUCUGCUCAAAGCUAUAGCCCUGGCUAUGCCUAUCUAUAGUAUGAAUGUUUUUAAACUCACAAAAGAAAUAUGUGAAGAGAUAAAUGGAAUACUAGCAAGAUUCUGGUGGGGCUCAGGAGAAAAAAAAGGGAUUCACUGGUUUUCUUGGAAGAAGAUGGGUCUACCUAAAAGAGAAGGGGGAUUAGGAUUUCGAGAUUUGGAAAAUUUCAACCAAGCGUUACUUGGGAAGCAAGUUUGGAGAAUUAUGCAACAUCCAGAGUGUCUUAUGGCUAGGAUUCUACGAGCUCGUUAUUUCCCUGAUGGAGACAUACUAAAUGCACGUUUACAAAAGAAAGCCUCUUAUGCCUGGAAAUCUCUUCUUCAUGGGAGAAACUUGGUGAAACAAGGAAUGAGAUUUAUCAUUGGUAAUGGUGAACUGAUCAACAUGUGGACUGAUCCUUGGAUUCCAGAUCAUCCACCAAGACCACCGCGUCCACUGAACCAGACAGAGGAGAUAUGCAAGGUUAAUGAGUUCUUCUCAGCAGACCGUAACCAUUGGGAUGAAAGGAAACUGAGGGAGAGAAUUCAUCCGGAAGACGUUGAUAAAAUUCUGGCAAUUAAGAUCAGCUCCAAAGCACAACAAGAUUUGAUGGGUUGGCACUAUAAUGAAGACGGUAUCUACUCAGUCAAAUCGGGAUAUUGGGUUAGUUCUCAUCAACAAGAACAAGCUCUAAUAUAUCAAAUCCCAGGGAGUAUUGUACUCAAACAAAGGAUUUGGAAACUGAAAUCUCCACCGAAACUACAACACUUCCUAUGGCGUAUACUAUCUCAGUGUCUACCAGUUGGUUCUAAUCUAAAGCGAAGACAUGUAGUACCAGAUGAUGUUUGUCAAAGAUGUUUCCAGCAAGAGGAAUCAGAAUUACAUGUGUUUUUUGAAUGUCCGUAUGCGAAGAUGAUAUGGAGAACUUCUGGUUUGGAUAAUGCAGUUAUAAACAGCUCUACAUCGUCUUUUGAGGAUAAGAUUCAAGAAUGUAUCAACAUAGGUACAUCAACAAGAUUGAUACAUUUUCAAGAUCAACCUAUUUGGAUACUUUGGAGAUUAUGGAAAAGUAGAAAUAUGCUGAUUUUUCAACAGAAAGAUAUACCAUGGAGGACUCUAAUCCGACAAAGCAGAGAAGAUGCUAAAGAAUGGUUUGAUACAACUCGGAACAUCGGUUUGUCUACUCAACAAGGGAGGAAUAUUUCAGCUAGGUCAAGGGAUACAAGAUGGGCAAAACCCCCUAGAGGAUGGAUGAAAAUUAAUGUCGAUGGAAGCUUUAUUAAUAAUACAAUGAAGAGUAAAGCUGGUUGGGUAUUGCGUGAUUCAGAAGGAAGAUAUCAAGGUGGAGUUCAAGCAACUGGAAGAUGUGUUAAUAAUGCCUUGGAAAGUGAACUACAAGCUAUACUAAUGGCAAUGCAACAUGCUUGGAGUAGGGGUCACUUAAAAAUCUGCAUUGAAUCAGAUAAUCGAAAAGCUGUUGAUAUAAUUAAUGGUUUAACACUUCACUUCGAUGCUUACAACUGGAAACGGGAAAUACAAUGGUGGAAACAACAAUUUCAGACAAUACAAAUCCAAUGGAUUGGAAGAGAAGGCAACAAAGUGGCAGAUAAGUUGGCAAAGCAUCAGAUUGAAGACAAUAUAUCUUUUAAAUAUCAUUACUAUGUUCCUAGAUUUAUAACUUCUGAAUUGCAUAAUGAUUAUGUAAACUCAAUAUAAACUUAAUAAAGUUAGUGUUUAAAAAAAAAAAAAAAAGUUUCUAUAGAAGAUACAUAUAAAUCUUCUUUUGGAAAGAUAAUAUAUAUAAUAUCUUUUUAACAACAGAAUACGUAUUUGUCGCAGGACGUUUUAAUUUAAUAUCGAAAUGAUCUACCGGAAAUGCCAUAAUUGUGAUUGUUAUUAUUGGAAAUAAUAUCAAAACCGAUUUUUAAAAAUAACUUUCAUAAUUGUUAUCGUGUUCACGAAAAAACGAAAAAUCCUAAUUAUCCAAACGACGGAAUAUCGUCUAUAGACAGUUCCAAACAACCCUAAAAUUUAAACCCUGACUAUAUGGUACACGCUACCCUAAACCCUUCAAGUAUACAAACGUAGAACAUAAAUCAUACGAAACGUAGUUAUAGACAAUUCAUGUAGAGGACAAUAUAAAAAAAACAAUAGAACAUAUGAUUAAAAUCCACAAUUUACAUAUCAUAGUAAACAUUAAACAAUCAGAAAAAGAAUCCAAAAAACAAUGAACAUGGAAACCGAGAUUAGAGGAUAUACAAACCGAAAGAGGUAUGAUUAGAGAAUAUACAAACCAAGAGAGGUUUGAUUAGAGGAUAUACAAACCGAGAUUAAAGAUGAACCGAGAUCAAUUUACAUAUCUUAGUAAACGUUAAACAAUCAGAAAAAGAAUAAAAAAAAAAAAGAACAUGGAAACCGAUAUUAGAGGAUAUAAAAACCGAAAGAGGUAUGAUUAGAGAAUAUACAAACCAAGAGAGUUUGAUUAGAGGAUAUACAAACCGAGAUUAAAGAUGAACCGAGAUUGAUUAAAAUGGUGUGAUUAAAAACGGUUUGAGGAGGUUAACCAUAAGGAAAUUAAGAAUGGAUUAGCGAUGGUUUAGCGAUAUGAUUAGCCAAUUAAUGAAAAAAAUGAGAAUUAAAACAUUUAAUUAAUGUUAAUGACGAAUAAAAGAAAGACACCUCAGCAUUGUAAAAUAGUCUACUCAGCAUUGUAAAAUAGUGAGUCAAUCGGCUUUUCACUUAAGCAUAUUCGCAAAUAAUAGUAUGAUUUGAAUAUUUAUUAAGUAAGAAUUCAUAUUAAUACAAUUUUAUGAUCAUAUGUAUUUUGUUAUAACAAAACAAAUUAAGUCAUUGAUCAUAAAAUUUUCAAAAUUUCUAAUAAUUUAUUGUCGUUUAAAAAAUUCAAAAUAAAACAUAUAAGAAAAAAUCUAAAUUUUUUUAGUAUAUGGUUAAUGUGAUUUUUUAUAUUUUAAUAAUAUAAAUUUUUUUUUAAAAAAGAGCUAAGAUACAAAAAUUGUUAUCAAAUAUUUAUUAUUCAUAAUCAUUAAUUUCAUAUAUACGUUAAUCAUAUUAGGUAAUUCCAUAGCUUUUAUUUUUGAAAAAUGCGAGAAUAUUAUUUUGUACACUUUUUAUCAAUUUGAUAGUUAGUUUAAUAAAAAGUAUAAUAUAAAUUAAGAUGCACGAGCCUAUUUUUCUAAGAAUUCUGAAUUUCAUUCUCAUGGUGACACGUGAGUACAAAACAAUGUUGUAAUGUUUCUCAAUUAAUAUAUAAGGGAUUAAUUAGAAAGUAUUGUUUUCUUUUCAAAGAAAUGUAUCUUUGAGUUGCUCUUGUCUUUAGAUUCAUUUGAGAGAUUCAUUUGGUUCUAUAGAUUUCUGGAUUAGAAUUGUUUGUGAGAUUCAAGCAAGUCUGGUUCAUCUGAGAGAGUCAAUCACUAUCAUCCCCCUAUCUAUCCAUCCGCUGCUGAAAGAGAUUCUGUCCACCAAGAGUUUUGUGCGCCUUUGAUAGAUUAGGCUUGUAUCAUGUUUCAUCCAGCUUGACUCAAGACCGGCCUGACAUUUGAGCAGACCACAAUUCUCCAUGACUCACAACAAAGUCCGAGAAAGAUUAUGUUGCAUACAAGAAGAAUAUAAUUUCUGAAAUAACAUACACAAAUCGAAGUCAAUUACUUUAUACAAAGAAGAAAACCCGUACCUAUGUAAAUUGGACGAAGUAUAGCUUGGGAUUGUUUAUGUCAUUAUGAAACCGAGCCGAGAAACUAACAAAUUCAUUCAACUCAAGAGUCGUAGAUCGGUGCUUCUCAAGAACAUCAUCCAAAACAGAGAGGUAUAUUCUCUACCAUUUUCAAAUUUUCUAAUACAGAAAUCAAUUUAAAAGUCACAUUAACCAUAAAAUGAGAUUUUAAACUAUAUGUUUAUGUUAUAUUUUGAAUCUUUAAAAAGGGCUAUAAAUUAAUUAAAAUAUUAAAAGUCCCACACUAAAAAUUUUGUGACUAGGGGUUUAAAAUUUCAUUAUAACAUGAUACAAAUAAUUAAAAUAAAGCAAUAUGAAUAUGAGUCUCAUUUAAGAAAAUAUUCAAAUUUAAAAAGAUACCUAUUUUAAUCCUACUAUAUAUCAAUUGAGAAGUCACUUUAAUGAUUUUUGCUGACGUAUCGAUCAUAUGUGAACUCUCACAAGAUUGUUAUAAUUUGAUUAGUCAAUAAUUUUUAAUUUUUAUUUAUUUUAAUUAGAUCUAAAAAGAAAAGGUAAGUAUAUAAACAAUUAAUAUCACUUAUCAAAUAAUCUGCAUAAUAUUACAAAUAAUAAUUUCUGGUAAGUAUUUGUUGAUAUUAUAGAAAUAGUAAUAAUGUUGAUAAAUUUCUUUAUAUUUAUAAAAUACAUAAAAUAAUAAACGACAAAGAGUUUAUAUAAUACAUUUUUAUAUUCUUUUUUAAAGCAUUAUAUUUUUAUAUAAAUUAUUAUAAUGACUAUUAAUGUCUUAUAACGUUCAUAUACUUUAUAAAUCAUUUUGUUACAUUAUCAAAAUAAUUAUAAAUUAUUUAUCUUGACUUAAUUAUAUAUUUUGAAUUAUUUUAAAACUUUGCAAAUCAUCUAUAAAAGCUUAUAAAUUAAUUUAUAAAAUCAUUUUCAAAAACUCAUCCUACUAUCCUAUUAUAUAUUCAUUGAGAAGUCACAUAAAAGACUUUUGUUUAUGUUGAUUGAUACCACUCAAAUUACCGUAAGAAGUGAUUUAUACUCUCUCAAAUAAAAGGUCGAGUUGUAGUACUUAGGGAUCGAAUUCACAGGGAGCUAGGGAACCAAUUAGAUCUAAUAGUUAUAUGAUUAAGCUAGGCUAAUAGUUUAUAAAGUAGUAAAUAAAUAUAGCAAAGUAGUAAACAAUAAACAAGUUGAACAAGACUAUUGUUCAGCUUGGCAAAGAUUUGUUUGAUGAAAGGAUGGUUGCUAGAUCUAGGGUUUCUAUUCAGGUGUUGGAGAUUAUAAUCCUAUAGAUGCCUAACAGUUGCAUGCAUGAUAUAUUAGAGCUCAACUCCUUAAUCACAGUGAUCAACGAUGGCAAUGUUUCACUGGUUAACUAACUAGAUCUUGGAUCUCAACUAUUGUCCUUUGAUCACAAGAAAGUGUCGAUCGAUGAUCCUAUAGGGAUAUCGAUCGAUACACCUUUCACAAUAUCGAUCGAUUGUCAGAUGAAGAUAUCAAUCGAUAGCUUCUAGUUAAGCCCUAGGCGCAGGUUGAUAAUGCUCACUAGUCUCCUAGAUCAGCGGUUAGCUCUCUCUCUAGCAGUCCUAGCAUGACAGAUUAUAUUCAGGACAUGAUGAUCAAGGAUGCUUGACACAUGCAAAUUCCUAGGUUCAAUAUUCUAGUUAGCAAGGCUAGAACAAACAUUAAGAACAAUCAAUCAAUGAAUAUCACAACUAAGAAAUUCUGUAGUUGGGGCUAAUCCCUCUAACCUAUUUGAACCCUAAACCUAACAGGUGGAUCUACUCAAUCAUGAAGUUUGUCACAGAAAUCAUAGAUUAAUAGAUAAUAAAACUGCAAUAGAUAUAAAAACCAAAACAAUGGAGUUCCAGGAGGACUCUGAAGGAGUUUCUCCUUUCUCUCCUAACCUAAAACAAGAAUUAAAGAAAGCUUAGAUAGCGUAGCCGUCAACAAUGGCUUAUAAAUAACAUAAAUAGGGUUUCUGGUCGUCCAAGGGUAUUCUGGUAAUUUGGGGUUGCUUCUGGGCUUCAGUCGGUCAUAAAAUAUGCUCGGCCCGCAUUCUGGCAUCCAUAUCGAUCGAUGUCAAGAGUUUCGCAUCGAUCGACAUACGUUCCUCUUCUCGACAGUUUCCUCUCGCGAGGCAGACUGACCACUCUUCAGUAAAACGGGCAUACUUCUGCUACAUGAUGCUGAUUGACCUCAAACCGGCGGCAUUGGAAAACUAACUCAAAGCUCUAUCUUGUGUAAAAAGAUGGGCUUAAUCUAACGAUGGUAAGGUCUCCAUCCAUAGCUAGACAUCUGACGCGCCUGUGCAGUUCUGCACCUCAAAAGGCUCCAAAAUCACCAUAUUUCUCCAGAACGUACCUGAACUUGUAAAUACUCUAAAUAGACUCUAUAUAGUAGUAAAUAUAUAUUAAAACACUUAUAGACCAUGGCUAAAAGUGGGUAAAAUCCAUGGUCUAUCAUCGAUCAUUGAUGAAGUCUUAAAAAUUGUUAAAAAUUGAUUGUUCAAUAAUUUUUAGUUUUUAUUUGUUUUUCUUAGAUUUUUUUUUUAAAAAGAAAGUCCAUAAAAAGUUAAUAUCACUUGCCAAAUAAUCAACCUAAUAUGACGGAUAAUUAUAUAUGGCAACUAAUUUUUGAAACAAUAUAAAAAUAAUAAUGGUUGAUCAAUUUCUUAUAUAUUUGUAAACUACAUAAAAUAAUAAACAAAAAAGUUUAUUAAAAUCUAAAUAAUGAUUUUAUAUUCUUAUAUAAAACAUUAUAUUGUAUAUAAAUAUAAAUUAUUAUAUUAGCUAUUAAUGUCUAAUGAAGUUGAUACAUGCUUUUUAAAUCAUCUAUAAAAAUUAUAAAUGAAUUUAUAAAUUAUUUAUCUUGGCUUAUCAUAUUUUUUAAAUUAUUAUAAGAUGUUGUAAGUUAUUUUUAAAAGCUUAUAAAUUAAUUUAUAAAAUCUAUUUUGAAAUUUUAUUUUAUAUUAAAUGAAAAGUCACUUAAUUGAUUUUUUCUUAGGUGUCAAUCAUAUAGUUUGAAAAAAAAUUAAAAUUUGAUUUUUUAAUGGAUUUUCAGUUUUUUAUUUAUUUUAUGAGUAAGAAAAUCAAUACUAGAACCAAAUUUUAUCAGUAUUCAAAUAACCUAAAUAUAUUGCUUAUAAUUAUUUAUAGUAAUUAAAUAUGUGUAUUACAUAAAAUAUUUAUAAUGCUUCAUGAAACCAUUUUUAGCAAUCAAGUAUUUUCAACUAUAUAAAAUGUUUCAAACACAAAUUAUAGAAUUGAGAUAGUAGUUUUAUAUUCUUAUGUGAUUAGAUAUGAAUAUGUAGAGAAUGCGUAACAAUUAUAUUGUCUUAAGUUUUUUAAAACUUAUUAAAAACAUAAAAGUUUAGCUACAAAUUAUUUAAAAAUCAAAAGUUUCAAUAUUAUAUACCUUCAAAACUUAAUAAUUUUAUUAAAAAUGAGUAAUAAAUAUUAUAUAUAACUAAUUUUAGUACAAUUUUCAAUACAAAAUAUCAAAAAUAUUUAAAAUAAUCAUAUUUAUGUUUUUCAGAAAAAUUUAUUCAUAGAAAAAUAUUUUAUAAAAACACAUAUUCAAUUUUUGAUGACAAAAACAUAUUUUAAUUUGACAAAUUACAAUAAAUAUAUUGUUACAAAACAUGCAAACCCGCGAAUUCGCGGGCAUUCACCUAGUAUCUUUUAAAUUAAAUAUACUAAAACAUCCCCUAGACUAUAAUUGAGAAAUUGUUUUCUAAAUUUUGCGUACAUGUCAUCUCUACAAAGACUCUUACAAAAAAAAAGAUGAUAUGACACACUUAGAUAAAUGAUAUGGCUUGUGAAUAAGAUGAAUUGAUGAUUUCAUUUAAUGCAGAUUUAUGUUUUUGGUAAUUUUUUUAUAAUACGGCAGUAAACUAUACAUCAACAUUAAAAAAAUCUAUUCAAAUGUGGCAUUAAAUAAUACAGUAUUAUAAAUAUAAUAAUAUUUUAAUAUUUUGGAAAUAUUUUUAUUUCUAUUUUUUUAUAGUUAUACUAUUUAACACCAAAAAUAUUUUCUGAUUUUUCUACGAUUUUUAAAAAGUUAUUAUUUUUAAUCAUUGUAUCUUUAGUUUUUUUAUAUAUCUACAAAUAUAAAAAAUGUUUUUUUUUAGUUUUAGUUUUAGAUAAUUAUAAAAAAUGUGUACUAAAAAUUUUAAUUAAUUUUAUACAAGUUGAUUUAAUAUAAUUAUCCAAAAAUAGAUUAAAAAUCUAUCUAAGAUUAUAAAUUUAAAAACAUAUACGCAUUUAUUUUUAAAUAUAAUUCAACUGUGUGCACAAAAAAAAUAUAAUUUAACUGAAUUAAAAUUUAUUUUAAAAUAUAGGUAAAAAAUAAUAAAAUUUAAAAUAUUUAAAGUUUUAAAUAUAAUUUAAAUUUAAAAAUGUUACUGCUGCACAUGAUACAGGAAAACACCUAUUAAUAGUGUAGAUGACUAGAGUAAGACUUUACUUUCCAUAUUAAAGAGGUCGUUGAAGCUUUCAACAGUGUUCCAAGUUUUUUUUUUUAUUUUGCAAAAGGAUGUUCUUAAGGUUGGAUCGGACGAUAAACUCGUUUGAUCUUCAAAAAAAAAAGGGACUCGUUUAAUCUUUUGGGUUUUGCAAUACCUUAUAGAUUUGCAUCUCUUAUUUUUAAAGAUGUUACCACCACGGGCCGAGAUGAAUCCUCGGGUUAAUUGCAGACUUGUCUACAGAAACUUUCCAAAUUCUUUUUUUUUUUAAAUCAAUAUCAGAUUGUCAUUUACUAUUCUGUUUGUUUGCGAUCAUGAUUACAGAAUAUGAUGGAGGGAUAAUCAAUAGGACACCUUAAGUGCUACUAGGCUUAAUUAACCAAUAUAGAACACUAUAUAUAUAUAUAUAUAUAUAUCUUUAGCAAAGAUUCACAUUGAUAUUAGCAAAUACAAAUACUCGAAUUCCUUAGUAGGUUAAAACUUUAGACCAUGUUUAUCCCUGAAACCCUUAGUGGGUUUCUUAAAUUUUUAUUUUUAUUUUUUUUGUCUGAUUUGAAAAAGAAAAAAAUUAAGAAGUGCACCAAUCGCGGAUUGCUACGUGUCGGUGGGGCCCGUGAACAGUGCAAAAAAUUCAAAACAAUCGGUUAUUAUUUCAUCAACUCUGUUACCGGUUUGCAUAAAACGUGGGACCCAACACCCUAAGAAACCCUUUAAUUACCUCCGUUAAACAUGGUCUUACACACUUCAGCAUACUAUCCCAUGACCUCACCUGUCGAGAAAGGGAAGCUAAUAACUGUAAUUCCAACGCGCCAAGGUUUCUAUUUCUGCUUAUACUAUUUCAAACUAUGUAUACAUAUAUCAAAACAAAAUAGAUAGAUAAAACACGCAAAGUCUUUUUUGCACUUUAUUUCUACACCAUCUCAAGCAGUGGAAGGUGCAGGAACAUAGGUCAUUUCCGGUUCGAGUACCGAAGCUAGGAUGGUCGAUUUGGUAAUGAUUUCUUCCACAUCUACAGGGAUUUUCGAUUUGAAAUCGAGUGAUUCAUCGUUAUAUACAUCCCACCAUUUAUCAACUAACAUCUUGAUGCCUUCUCUGUUCAUGUUAGCUUCGUCUCCUGUGUACCUCCAUGGCUUGGAUCACUAUCAAUUUCAUCAUCAAUAGUAAAGGGCUCCGGUUGGUAAGCAAAGGGAUCUCUACUUACAGCUGCACAGUAGUGAACAAACUUGAUUUUCUCCAGCUCCACGUUCUCAGGGUGACGCCAAAGCAUAGCAAGAACAAGAUUGUAAACUAGAGGGAUCGGUUUGUAAACUUUCUCAAAGAACAUAUUGAGAAAAUCCUGUUAAAUUAAAGUUACAACAAAUAUACCAAAUACCAAAUCAACAAGGAUCGGUUUGUAAACUUUUUUUAUCUUCUAUACUUUUUGUAUAAUUUUCUAUUAUUAAAAAAAUUAAACAAUCACAUUAAACAUAUAAUAAAAAAAUUAGAUUUUUUUAUAUGUUAUAUUAAAAAUAUUUUAAAACGACUAUAAAUUAUUAAAAAUGGUAAAAAUUUCACAUUGAAAAUUUCGUGAUCAAUGGUAAUGUUUUUUAGUUCAGCCCAUCAUUUUUCUUUAAUGGGUCUGGAAUAUUUUUUAAUGAUUAACUAAAUAGGUCACAUGCAUAAUAAAAAAUGUUUUGCUUUAAAAAUGGUUGCAAACCCAAAAUCAAUUUGAACCAUCAUGACUUUCGUUUACAAUUUUGUUACAAUAAAAAAGUAUAAGUUUGGGCAAAAAGCUUAAUCCAAAUAACCGAACCAAAUCCAAUCUGAAAAAGUAGUACAAAACUUUAACCAAAUUGGUUAGAUAUCCGAAUAUGUUCAAAAUUUUGGUAUCUAAAGAACCAGAGCCGAACUUGAUCCUUACCAAAAUACUACGGGUAUCCGAGUAUAUUCCAACCAGAUUUAUAUACUUAAAUAUAUUAAUUAUUUUUAAAUUUAAUAUCUAAAAGAAUAUACAAAAUACAUAAUAUGUUUUUUAAAUUGUCCAAAAUACUUAGAAAUAUUUAAAAAUAGUAAAAAGUAUAUGUUUAAAUAGCUAAACGUUACUCAAAAUACCAAAAAUAAUGAAAAUAUAUAUUGAUUUUCUAUUCAAAUAGUUAAGCUAGAACCAUUUUUAUGUUAAAUUUAAGUAGUUUGGCAUACAUUAUUCAAAUUUAUAUGCUAUAUAUUAUUUUAAUUUUUGGAUUUUGAGAAAUUUAAAGUACAUAUGAACUUUAAUAUUUUGUUUAUAAAAUUAAAUGGGUUUUUUUUUUUUGACGUCAAAAGGUCAUUAUAUUACUCAAACUUGAGGUGGUCUGGGUAACCAGACCGAGAUAGAACAACCAAUAAAAAAUAACUCCCUAUGGAAGGAUCUAGCAGUCUUAGCUAAAAAAUCUGAAGUCUGAUUGCGCGCUCGUGGAAUAUAAAUGAUGUUGAAGUCUGGAAAACAAAUCUGAAGCGUCUCAAUCCUCUCCAACUCCGUCGCAAAGCUUGGCCAAGCAUGAGGAUCUUUUAUCAUUGGAAACAAUUCCUUACAAUCUGUUCCAAAGCUCUGGCAUGUCGAAAGUUGAAGCAUGUUCUCCAUUGCCCACCGCAGUGCUUCUACUUCUGAAUGCAAAGCUGAUUCCCGUCGAAUGAAGUUCCUUGUCCCCAUAAGUUGAAUGUUCCCACCACUGCCCAUCCAAACCCAUCUACAUCCACUAAAAUGAGCAGAAGCUGUCCAAGAUCCAUCUAACAAACAAAUAUUACCCAAGCUUAUGACUUGAGAUUCCUCAGCAUUAGUGUCUUGUACCACCUUGUUUGCCUCAAACCAUGCUUGACAUUCGCUUUCUGCAUAUCGGACUAGCUCCAAAGGAUCUCUGUCUAUCCUCAUAAAUAGUUUAUCAUUCCUGGCCUUCCAAAUGUACCAGAUUAGCCAGGGAUAAGGAUCCAUGUCCUGUUCUAGCUCAAUAAUAGCGUUUUUCCUCCAGAAUAGAUAGUCCAUAUUUGUGUAGACACUCGGAGCUGGCAAUAUCUCUGGGCUCGUUGGAGUUGAUGAUAAAGACCAAACUUGUAGAGCUGGCGGGCACUCGAAAAUUGCGUGUGUCACAGACUCAUCUAGUUCUCCACAUCUUGGACAGUAGUUAUCACACCUCAUAUUUUGUCUUGCUAAGUUCCUUGUAACUGCCACAUGACCAAUUAACAAUUGCCAUACAUAUCUUCUUAGGUGCCUUUAACUUCCAAGCAAAGACUUGGAGUUCGGUAAUACUUGGCUCCAGAACCUCCUUUUUAUAAAAUUAAAUGGGUUAUCUGAACCUAAACCCAACUGAAACAUGCAAUAAUUCGAACCAAACCCGCAAAGAUCCGAAUCAAACAUAAUCGAACCGGACCAAAUAGUAUCUGAAUGUCAUUCUUAAUCAAUUGUAAAAAAGAAUUAUUGAUAUAUUAUUUAUAAUAUUUAAAUACAACUCAUUUUGAAAAAUUUACUCCGUGCAAAGCACAUCUAGUAAAUAUUAUAACUCUAGUAAAUAUUACAUUUGCGGAAUUCUGCUUUUAAAAAAGGGAGGAAAAAAAAAGAUAGGAAAGAAGUAAAAGGGGAAGAAAGUAGGGUUCCAACAUUAUUCAUAUAUAUAUAAACCAGAUCUGCCGUCGAAGUUCCCUUGUCGCCCACCUCCCUCAAAAUAAAUAUUUCGGUCCUUCCGUUUGGCCUUCCGGAUUCGACAAUCAACGAGGUCAGUGAUUUUGAUUUAGCAGUCUGUCUACGAAUUCUUUGUCUGAUGUUUGAUUGAAGAAGAUUUUCGUUUCUAGAAUAGAACCUAACUAACACCGAAUUGUUUGAAUCUGAUUGAUUUGUUUGAAUGUUAAGAGAUGAGUGAAGAUUUGAUACCAAUCUCGGUGUGGUGGGACAUCAACAGCUGUCCGGUUCCCACUGGUUAUGAUCCUCAUCUGGUUAAAGAUAUAUAUGUACCUAGGCUAUAUAUGACCCUAGCCAAUUAUCUUCGACCUCUAAUGCAAAGUGUGCGCCCCUACUUUCUAUCUUACAUCAAAUUCUAAUAAACUUUUAAGGAAAUGUAACUAAAAAUGGAAAUUAGUAAUGUGCAUCGCGACUAGAGAUAUAAGAUCAAUCAUUAAAAAAAAAUGUUUUGAUAGAUACAUAUACAUAUUACAUAGUAAAAUAGAAAUGUGUUCAGAUCUCAUGAAUCGAAAACACCUUGACAAGAACAGAAGAUACAUUUUGUUCUUGUAUAUUGCUAAAGAAGGCUCAAAUAAUUCUAGCAAAAGGCUGCUCUUUGAGCUUCGGAUGUCCACCGUUUAAAAAGCUUUGUCCAACAAAUAUAUAUGAUUCCAAUGAUGAAAUGAUUAUGUGGAAGACAUAGGAAGGUUUUCACUUUUCAUCAACUACUCUUCAUUAUUCCCCCACAUAAUGUCUAAUAUUAUUGGCUUCAUCAAUAUCUAACUUUUGUGUUUUCUUUUCCUUGUAUCUUCUUAUUUUACAUGAUUAAGAAAUCUUGGAUUGAUUAAGUAUAUAUACAAAGAAUACAACCUUGAACGUACAGUGUAUCAUUUAUCAAGCCGUGUUUUUAAAGUUAGUCCAUCGAUGUGUACUGGAAAAGAAUGAUCGAUUUUUUUUAUUCAGAAAUAUAAUUUAAUAAUUAUAAUAAGGUCUCAUAAACAAUCUUUUUUUGUUGAUGAAAAAAUUACUAAAUUUGGAAGUGCGUGUAUUUCCGUUAUAUACGCCUCGUUUUGUUCGUUUUUCAUUUUCUUUUCGAAAAGACGUUUUGUUCGUUCUUACCGUUACUUUACGUAAGUACGUAACGGGUUUCAUUUCAGUUCUCUGGCUGAGUGCAAAACUGCAAAUGAAUUCUUUUAAAAGAAUAUUUGAGUACCAAACUAAACUAGAAAAGACAGAUUUACUAGGAACUGGUUUAAUCACGAAAUGGUUUGAAUUGGGAACAUUAAUAAAAAAUGGACUCGUCUAUAUACAGUCACGCCCUUCAUAGGCUUGUAAUUCAAAUAACAUAUUACUAUGGUUUUAGGAGUAUAUACUCUGAGUCAUGUCCAAGUAUUAUACUAUUAGUGGUAUUCCGACGCUACGCGCCGGUUUCGUAUGUUUUAUUCUCUAAUGAGUUCAAAAUUAUUAUUUUUGAUCCAUUUGAUAUUGGUUAGUGACAGUAGUAUAUUAUUAUGUUUUAAAGUUGUUUAGGUCAAAAAAAAUAGUAUAAGUAGUUUCACUUAUUGAUUCAAUACAAAUAGAAUAAAUAACGUAUAGUUACACCAAAGUAAAUAUAGUUUAAUUUAAAACAUAAAGUAAAGUCGAUGUUCCAAAACGAAAACAUGUAAAUUUGUUUGUUUGUUUUGUAAUUAUCUUUUUUGAAUGAAUAUAACAAUUUCUUUCAUUUUCUUAAAGUAGUAACAAUCCUCGAAUACUUUAUUUAUAUCAUAGAUGUGGCAAUCUGGGCAGGGUUUCACUCAAGACGUAUUGGUUAAAUACUUUGUUUUUAAAAUGAUAUUGAAUCUACUAAGUGAAUUACUAAUCAUGGUUAGCAUCGCUCGACCUGAAUAGACUAUUUUCUCCAGAUAACUUAUUAUAAAAUUGAAGUGUUUGUGAAUAAUUUUAUAGGUGGAUGUUUGUUCUCACAAUGUACAUUUAAAUAUUUCAAUCCUCAUGUGAUGUGUUUAUUUGGUUUGACAACAAAAGUAUAAUAUGCUAAUGUAAUUUUAUAGGUGGAUGUUUGUUCUCACAAUGUACAUUUAAAUAUUUCAAUCCUCAUGUGAUGUGUUUAUUUGGUUUGACAACAAAAGUAUAAUAUGCUAAUGUAAUUUUAUAGGUGGAUGUUUGUUCUCACAAUGUACAUUUAAAUAUUUCAAUCCUCAUGUGAUGUGUUUAUUUGGUUUGACAACAAAAGUAUAAUAUGCUAAUGUAAUUUUAUAGGUGGAUGUUUGUUCUCACAAUGUACAUUUAAAUAUUUCAAUCCUCAUGUGAUGUGUUUAUUUGGUUUGACAACAAAAGUAUAAUAUGCUAAUGUAGUUGAAUUUGUACAGUACGGGGAGGUACAGAGCCUCUCAUUGAACAUGUUAAAGCAAGUCAAUAAUAAACCAUACUCGUGAGUGUAUGAAGUAGCCAAACGUUUUACUUCUUGUGUGCGAGGAUAUUAUUUAUUUGGUUUAAAGCUUUCAUGUUUAUUUAAAUCUAUUUUGGUUUUUAUUUACCUUGUAUUUAUGACAUUAUACUAUUAUUAUUAAUGUUAUUCAUUUGCGCUGGUAUUUUAUAAAAGAAACAAAUCAUUAUCUUUAUUUGACCAUUUUUAUCUAUCUUCUACACUAUUAAAGAAAAAUCCAUCAUAUGAUUUUGUCCUUAAUUUUGUGAAAUAAUUAUAAUAAAAUAAUUAUAAUGAAAUGUCACUCAUAUUUUUAUGCAUAUCAUAAUUAAUUAAUAUGAACUAAACAAUUAAUUUAGAAAAAAAUCCAAAACUAAAAAAUAGUUAAAUCAUGUAUACACAAUUUAAAUUUAUAACCAUGCUGCAAGCUAAACAUAGCUUCUUUAAGCUACUUCAGAUCUCAGACAUCAUUUGAACCGAUUUUGGUUUGAUUGUUACUUUCCUUAAACAACUGCAUUAUUUUCCCAUUGACUUAUCUUUAAGAUUCAUAAAUGGGCUCUGAAAUAGUAAUGGGCCGUAAGUCCAAUCAAAACAGAUAUCCUUUCUAAUAAAAGAGACUUUUUGAGGCUCCAUAGAGCGUUACUUCUCCCGAAAGAUGACAUGUGGCAUAAAAUAUAGUUUUAAAUUUUAAUAUUACUAAGUUUCGAAAAUUAUAAAUAAUAUGUAAACAUACAGCAUAAAAAAUGGAAAACUACAUUAAACAUAUGUAAAAUUACUAUUUUUUCACUUAAAAAAAAGACGGCUUAUCUCCAUAAUGUAACAUUACCGUUUUAUAAAAAAAAACGAAAAACAUUAUAUAUAAUUCCGAAAAUAAUAAAUAUAUGUAGACAUACAACAUAAAAAAUGGAAAUACUACAUUAAACAUAUGUAAGAUUACUAUUUUACAUUUUUAUUUUAAAAAAUAAUAUGUAAACAUACAACAUAAAAAAUAAAAAAACUACAUUAAACAUAUGAAAGAUUACCAUUUUUCACUAAAAAAAAGACGUCUUAUCUCCAUAAUGUAACUUUACUAUUUUGUAAAAAAAAACAUUAUAUAUAAUUUCAAAAAUAAUAAAUAAUAUGUAAACAUACAACAUAAAAAAUGGAAAUACUACAUUAAACAUAUGUAAGAUUACCAUUUUACGUUUAAAAAUAACAAAAAUAUGUAAACAUACAACAUAAAAAAANNNNNNNNNNNNNNNNNNNNNNNNNNNNNNNNNNNNNNNNNNNNNNNNNNNNNNNNNNNNNNNNNNNNNNNNNNNNNNNNNNNNNNNNNNNNNNNNNNNNNNNNNNNNNNNNNNNNNNNNNNNNNNNNNNNNNNNNNNNNNNNNNNNNNNNNNNNNNNNNNNNNNNNNNNNNNNNNNNNNNNNNNNNNNNNNNNNNNNNNNNNNNNNNNNNNNNNNNNNNNNNNNNNNNNNNNNNNNNNNNNNNNNNNNNNNNNNNNNNNNNNNNNNNNNNNNNNNNNNNNNNNNNNNNNNNNNNNNNNNNNNNNNNNNNNNNNNNNNNNNNNNNNNNNNNNNNNNNNNNNNNNNNNNNNNNNNNNNNNNNNNNNNNNNNNNNNNNNNNNNNNNNNNNNNNNNNNNNNNNNNNNNNNNNNNNNNNNNNNNNNNNNNNNNNNNNNNNNNNNNNNNNNNNNNNNNNNNNNNNNNNNNNNNNNNNNNNNNNNNNNNNNNNNNNNNNNNNNNNNNNNNNNNNNNNNNNNNNNNNNNNNNNNNNNNNNNNNNNNNNNNNNNNNNNNNNNNNNNNNNNNNNNNNNNNNNNNNNNNNNNNNNNNNNNNNNNNNNNNNNNNNNNNNNNNNNNNNNNNNNNNNNNNNNNNNNNNNNNNNNNNNNNNNNNNNNNNNNNNNNNNNNNNNNNNNNNNNNNNNNNNNNNNNNNNNNNNNNNNNNNNNNNNNNNNNNNNNNNNNNNNNNNNNNNNNNNNNNNNNNNNNNNNNNNNNNNNNNNNNNNNNNNNNNNNNNNNNNNNNNNNNNNNNNNNNNNNNNNNNNNNNNNNNNNNNNNNNNNNNNNNNNNNNNNNNNNNNNNNNNNNNNNNNNNNNNNNNNNNNNNNNNNNNNNNNNNNNNNNNNNNNNNNNNNNNNNNNNNNNNNNNNNNNNNNNNNNNNNNNNNNNNNNNNNNNNNNNNNNNNNNNNNNNNNNNNNNNNNNNNNNNNNNNNNNNNNNNNNNNNNNNNNNNNNNNNNNNNNNNNNNNNNNNNNNNNNNNNNNNNNNNNNNNNNNNNNNNNNNNNNNNNNNNNNNNNNNNNNNNNNNNNNNNNNNNNNNNNNNNNNNNNNNNNNNNNNNNNNNNNNNNNNNNNNNNNNNNNNNNNNNNNNNNNNNNNNNNNNNNNNNNNNNNNNNNNNNNNNNNNNNNNNNNNNNNNNNNNNNNNNNNNNNNNNNNNNNNNNNNNNNNNNNNNNNNNNNNNNNNNNNNNNNNNNNNNNNNNNNNNNNNNNNNNNNNNNNNNNNNNNNNNNNNNNNNNNNNNNNNNNUAUAUAUAUAGAUUAAUCUUCCAAACUUAAACUAUUAUAUUAUAUAUGAAUAAUGUUUUUAAAUAAAAAUAAUUUCUGAUUUAAAAAAAAAUAAAAACAACAAAUGGUUAUUUUCAAAUAAUGGAUGUAAUUUACAUUAUACUAUCAUUUAACAAGUAUUAGAUACGUUUUGAUAUAUCAUUAUUUUCUAUUUCCAGAAAAAAAAAAAUUGUUAAACAUCAAUAUCAUCUAGGUUAAGUAUACUAACAACACAAAUUCAAACAUCACAAAAAAUAUUUACAUAAACAUUAUAAUACAAUAAUUUAAUCAAAAAAUACAAUUCAAAAAAAAUAUAUUCAAAAGAAUAGUUAUAUACUUAAUAUUUGAAAAUCAAAGAUAUUUUUGCUAAAAUUGUAUUUACCUGGCCAAGGAGAUCAACUAUCUUUUUACGGAUCGAUCAAUUGUUGAGCAUGUGGUCGAUCCGAAAAUACUCUGCAGUUUAAUUAAAUAUCUAAAACAUUUAUUCCAACACUCAACAGAUAAUUUUGCUAAAUAUGAUAACUAUAUAGCCAACAAAAUUACAAAAAAAAUAUUUAAAUAGUAAAAAAAUAUGUUAAUUUAACGUGUUAAAAUUUAAAAAUAAAUUUUAAUUAUAACAUGCAUCUUAACAUUUAUAUAAAUAUAUAUCAUAACCUAAAUAUAAAUAAUUUAACAACUUAAAUUAGAAAAAAAUAAAGUACACCCGGGUUAAUCCCUAGUAACCAAAUAAAGUGUUUAACAUGCCUUCUUCUUCUUCUCCAAUUUCAGAUUUGAUCCAAUCUGUAGCCUAAGGGGAAACGAAAAGGGGAAACUGCGACAAAUCAAAGGUAUGAUUAGAACCCAAAGAGACUCAUGAAAACACUUCAAUUCUCUGAAAUUGAUUGAAGUUUGUGCAGUUUUUUUCUUUCUGAUCGUAUCUUUGAUUGUGAAAAACCUCAGGUGGAUCCAUGGGUGAUGUACAACUAAAGAAAAGAGGAUACAUCUGGGCAAUCUCUGCUGGGUUCAAUGCAGCUCUUGCUGCCAUCUCUGCAAAGUUCUUCUCAUCUCUCGUAAUAAUAAUAACAUUUUCUUAGCUUCAUUUGUUUUUUUUUCCUUAGAGCAUUUUGAUUAAUUUAAUUUUGGAAUUUUUUAAUGUUUAACAGGUGCUAAAAUAUGGAUUGGUUGUAUUAUGCAAUGUGGUAAUGUGGGGAUGUUAUGUAAACAGCUUAAGAGCUCUCUCUUCUCUACAAGCUACCGUCACUAACUUUGCUGCUAAUUUCCUCUCUUCCGGUUUUGCUGGCCUCUUUCUGUUUCACGAGUCCUUAUCAUUCCGUGUAAGUUUUUUAUUUAAAUCUUGAAAACAAUGUUUCUUAUGCUAUGCUUUUCUUGGAUGUCAAAGCCUAUUACUAUUGCAGAUUCCAUAACUUGUACUUGUUUUUAAGGUUUGCGUGUAUUUAGGACACCAAUUGUUAUGUUGAAAUGGUAGUUUUGGAGUUGUAACAUGAGUUUGGCUGAUACAUUUUCCGAUAAAUAAUGCAGUGGUUUGCGGGAGCUUUAUCGAUCACCAUUGGAGUUGUAAUCCUCAGUAAGUCAAGUGUUGAUAAGAAGGUCAGUACGGAUUAGUACAAGAACCAAUAUAAUAGCUUUCCUUCUUGAGAAGGCUGGUUUUGCGUACAAGGAGUUAAGAGCUGGAGAUUAAGUUGUUUGAAGUUUUAGAUUUUAUUCUGUUAAGAGGACCAAACUUGUAAUACCUACGAUUGAUUUUCAUGAUUUUAUUGAAGUAGUUAAGACUGUUAAUACUAAAAUAAUGUUUGUUCUUUUUUUUUUUGGGUUUGUCAUGUCAAACCGCAACAAUCUACUGCACGGGUCUUCUUCUUCUGCAUCUUGAUUAAAAUCGAGAGGCAGUGGCAAGAAACUAAGAAACUAAUGCGUAGCUACGAUAAUAUGUGCCAAAAAUAUGUUUGAAACUUUCUAAUCACAAAAUAUACGGUUAGAUCAAAGAACCAGCCAUGUCGUGGGGCUUACGUCACAUAUUUUUUCAAUAGAAAUAUGGACAAUUCUGUUUUACUUUAUGUGAAGUGAACAUGCCCUUACUCAUUACUUGAUUUUCAAGCUACAAUGUCUUCUCUUAACGUUUCCAUCUCGGGAGUAAUAGGCAAAUUACUAGAGAUGUGAACAAUUCUCCACUUCUUAAACGAAACAUUUCGAUUUUUUUGGAGUUCUUUUUCUUUUGCAUUCACUCUUUUUAGGUUAACCACCGUAUACAUUGUAUAGUUUUGCAUCUGUGAAUAAAGGAAAAUAUACAAAGAUUUUUCUUCUACUUUCAAAAGCUAUUUUCAAUAUUUUGUAGACUCACAAGAUAAUUCUCAAGAAUCCACCAAACCCUGCUAUAAUCGUAUCAAAACAACAAUGAAAUAGUGGUUUUGUAGGAUACGACAUUACGGAAAAACAACAAUUGAAUCAAUCAUCGUGAUGAUGAGUGGUAGAACAACUGAAAAUUUGCAAAACAAUAAGGAAGUAAGACAAUGUAUGCAAAUAUAUCUUGAGAUCUAAUGACAUUGUUACAACAUUAAAUAUUAUUUUGAGGAAGGUUGAAGUACCAAGAAACAUUCAUUAGAUCUCGGAAAGACGACGCUCAGGGUCACUACUGGGAUAAUAGAACUGUUAGAGAUCUAUAUGCAGAAGCGCGUUAAACCGAAAACAUACUAUUCUAGUUUAGCGAUGAACAUUGCUUGAUACAAUCUGGAAUUGGAUGCAAGAAUCAGAAAUAAAUCACAGAUGGAAAUCAACCACAUGUCCCCAUUCAAGUACCUUUCUAGUUGAUUCAUUGAAGCUUCUUCUCUCUAAAACUUUUUACUCACUCUUUAGAAAUAUAUUUGUUAUAAAUAUAUUAUUACAAUUGGUUCUCUUCUAUUUGCAAUGUCUAUAUAUAUAGACAGUCAAGAGACAUUUUGUGAGGAGUCACAUAUGUUCAAGGAAGAGACAUGUAUUUUCAGCAAAGAGACGCAUCUUUUAAAUGAAGAGUCACAUAUCUUCAUUUAAGGAGUUAUGCGAAUAAUUUCCUAAAACUAGGGGUUAACCAAACCGGUUUGUUAUGCUGCCUAAUCAUGGAUGCAAACCGACCAUAAAUUAAUAUCUCCCACUCACACAUGAUUGGGAGCAUGUCAAGUACUAGAGAAGUCUUAAAGAUCAAGCGCGAGAAUCCUAACUCAGAAAUCAUAGGGAAAAUGAACCGUGCGACCCUUACAAGUACACUAACACUUGGGAGUUAAAUUAUGCACCUGUUAGGAAUACAUACAAGUUACAACCCUAGAAAAUUAUUUUAGAUGUUUAAUAAUAUCUUAGUGUAUUUUGGAUACAUAUUAGGAACUACAAUCAUGUUUGGUACAAGUUUUUUUGGGAUUUUGAAGGUUUCGGGUUCUAUUGGGUAUCCAUUUAGGUUUGGGUUUGGAUAAUACUCAUAACCCAAAAUACCAUAAAACCAGAUCCAUUCGGUAUUUAUGUCAGGUUUGGAUCGGUUCGGAUUCAUUUUAAUUGGAGCGGGUUCGGUUUGGUUUAUCGGAUUCGGUUUAUUUUCCCAGUCCUAGUAAGUGAGAUGAGCUUAUACACUAGGCAUGAAUCCUCAUAUGUCUAAUUGGGUUUGUUUCGAGUCAUUUCGAUUUGGAAUUUUGAGAGCACAUUAAUACCAUUCGGAUAUUAUAAAAUUUUGGUUCAUUUUGGUUAGGUUUAAUCAUGUUUAGUCUGGAUUUAGUAAAUCACGUGAACACUAGAUGUACCAAGAAAUUUUUCAAAUUCAGUUCUAAACCUUAUUAAGUAAUCUGAGACAUUCAUUUCUACAUUAAAUAUACUCAAUUAACUUGAACGAGUGACUUUAUGACUUUGUUGAUGACUGAAAUCAUUAAGGUAAAACAAGGAUUUGAUUGUGGAAAACUUUUAAAAACCAAUCAUAUUUUUUGAUGAUAAAUCAUAUAUAAAAAUAUUAUGCUAACAACAAAGAAGAAUAAACCUCAUACGUAAAGAUAAUAAUUCUAACGCAAAAAAAAAGCUCACAUAUAUUCAUAACAGGUAAUCAUAACUCGUAUACAAAACAUUGUGCUAACGACAAAUUAAGAAAAACAAAUUUGAGUACAUGAAUUCGAGUAGUGAGACUAACUGAGCUAACAAAAAAAUAUAUGAAAAUUGCAAAAUAAACUUGAAAAUUUUGUGCUAAAAACAAAAUAGCAUAUGCGAGAAAGUAAAAAUCAUUGUCUACCAAAUCGAACCCAGUAAACCCUGAAAAGAUUGGGUUUUCAUGAUAUUAUGUAUAUAUCCAGUGCAAAGAAAAUUACUAAUACUUGUGAAUGAUCCUUGAAGUCUCUUUAGGAAGAGAUUUUUGGAAGUGACGAUUUUAUGUUUCCAUUUGGAAGAAUUGAAGAAACAAUACAAGAUUAUGAAUUUAGGGUUUCAGGUUUGUAAAUAGCCAAAGGCAUAAAAGAAAUCAGAGUAAAUAUACGAGAAUAAAAUUUAUGAAAAGUAUUGAUAUGAAAAAAUAAACAGAAAAAGUUUUCAUCUAGCAAGGCUUGCCAAAGGAAAUCAAGCAAAGCCAGCUAGAAUGAACAGUACCCGCGAAACUACGGUAAAAGCAGACUGAUAGUAUAUUUUAGAUUCCCUGGUAAGCCAAGGGUGUUUGGCUACUAGAGUAAGCCUAUUCUAUUCUGCUUCUGUCUCUUGAUAACCAAUUGUAAUGACAUUUUUAGAUCUAAGGAAAUAAAAAAUACUUCCUUACUCUUUCUCUUUCUUGUUCUUCACUCUGUUCUUCAAUUUCUUACAUGGUAUCAGAGCCUUUAAGCUCUUGAGUACCUAUUUCUCUUCCGCAAUCUUACUCUGAUACUCUUUCUCUAUUGAUUCACCGGUUUACUUUCGCAAUUUUCUCUUCAGAUUUCUUUUAUCUAGUGGAUAAUAAAUAUGUGUUUUUGAGAGAAGAUAGAGCAGCACAAGCCAAUAAUGAUUCCAGUCACCCUAAAGGGUUCUAACUACAUUACCUGGUCGAGAUUGGCUAGGACAGCUCUUGGGGAAAGAGGUCUAUGGGAGCACAUCACCACCAGUGAGGCACCAAGAAAAAUCACCCAAGGAGAAGAUGGCAAGGAGAUUGUAGUGGUAGAUGAAGGCAAAUGAGGUCAGGAGGAUCUCAUGGUGCUGUCUAUCUUGCAAGGCUCACUUGAUACUCCUAUCAUGGAGUCUUACUCACACUGUGAGAGUGCAGAGAAGCUAUGGGAUACCUUACACAAGGUGUAUGGCAACAGUUCAAAUCUCACCAGAAUCUUUGAGGUUAAGAGGGCAAUCAACAACUUGCAGCAAGAAGAGAUGGACUUCACCAAGCACCUUGGGAAGUACAGCCAGCUGUGGUCUGAACUUGAGAUGCUGACAGAGAUCAGCUCGCGCGACUUCAACUCUAGCUCGUUCCAGCUCGCGUCCGUUCGAGGUUCUCUUGGUGGUCCACUAGUACACUAGAAGAGAGGCAUGAACAAGACAAGGUCUUUGGAUUGUUUCUCACACUCAACCCAAGCUUCAAUGAUGUACUUAAACACAUAUUGAGAGCUAAGGAGCUUCCAAGCUAUGAUGAUGUGUCUGCUCAACUUCAAAAGGAGCUAGGCUCAGAUGGUCUCUUUGGUGGAUUAGGGAAGCUGUCUAUGGUAAACAAGGCUGAGAAGGUGGAGAGUGCUUCAGUCAACAAAGCACACUUCAAACCAGGAGGAGGAGACAAGUCUAUGACUUGUGAGCAUUGCAAGAAGCUAGGCCACUCCAAAACCAAUUGUUGGAUCCUCCAUCCUCACCUCAGACCGGCGUCAACCAACAGAUACAAUUAGACCAGAGCACAUGAAGCAUGAGCUCAAGAGGCCUCAGUACCAAGCUUCAUGCGCAUGGGAGAAUAUGGAAGACCCAUGAUCUCAACCACCCACACUGGUGGAUCCACAUCCCAUGACAUGUCUCAGCCAUCUCCUGAUGAUACUUUCAUCCGCAAGUCAGACAUUGAAGCCCUUAUCAAGGCUAUCAAUGCAAACUCUGGUAACAUAAGUAUCAAUGCUUUAAAUUCUAUCAUAGUACAUCUCAUACUACUAGACCUUUGAUCAUUGAUUCAGGAGCCUCUCAUCAUAUGAUUAGGGAUGCUAGACUGAUUAGUGAUGUCAAACCUACUCUAGGGAGUGUAGUGAUUGCUAAUGGUGAUAGAAUUCCAAUUGAAGGAGUAGGAAACCUGAAACUGUUUGAUAAGAAGUCUCAAGCUCUUUAUAUGCCUACUUUCACAUCCAACUUAUUAUCUGUUAAGAGAGCAACUAAUGAUUUAAAUUGCAAUGUUAUUUUUAGUCCUAAUGAUGUUUGCUUUCAGGAUAUUAAGACUAGUAAGAUGCUGGGAAAAUGUGUGAGCAAGGGAGAGCUAUAUUUUUUUGAAGACACCAAAGUUUCAGAUUUAUCGUGUGCUUUUAAUUUUGCUUCUGUUUUAGCUAGUGAGGUGUUAUGGCAUGCUAGAUUAGGUCACCCUCAUUCUCGUGCCUUAGGUCUGAUGUUACCUAAUCUAUCUUUUAAGAAUGAAAGUUGUGAGGCUUGUAUUCUUGGUAAACAUCAGAAAUCUGUUUUUCCUAAAUCAAUGACUAUUUAUGAGAAUUGCUUUGAUCUUGUUCACUCUGAUGUUUGGACUGCACCUUGUGUGUCUAGGGAGAACCAUAAGUAUUUUGUUACAUUCAUAGAUGAAAAAUCAAAAUAUACUUGGUUCACCCUGAUUCAAACUAAAGAUAGAGUUUUAGAAGCUUUUGUUAACUUCCAAAACUAUAUAUCUAACCAUUUCAAUUCCAAUAUCAAAAUUCUCAGGCCUGAUAAUGGGGGAGAAUAUACCAGCAAUGCCUUCAAACACCACUUAGCAAAACAUGGGAUAAUUCAUCAAACAAGCUGUCCAUACACACCUCCACAAAAUGGAGUUGCUGAAAGGAAGAAUCGCCAUCUUAUAGAGGUUGCAAGAAGCAUGAUGUUCCACACCAAUGUCCCUAAGAGAUUUUGGGGAGAUGCUGUGGUAUCAGCAUGCUAUCUGAUCAACAGAAUCCCCACCAAAGUUCUUCAAUAUGCCUCUCCCUUUCAGGUACUAAACAAAAUAAAACCUCCAAUUGAUCAUUUGCGCGUGUUUGGGCGUGUUUGUUAUGUCUUGACACCAGGAGAAAUGAGAAACAAGCUAGAAGCCAAGAGUGUCAAGGGAAUGUUUAUUGGAUACUCCCACACACAGAAAUGUUAUAAGUGCUACAUUCCUGAUUCAAGAAAAGUUAUAGUCUCAAGGGAUGUUAAGUUUGUGGAAUCUAAGGGGUACUAUGAGGAAAAGAGUUGGGAAAGCCUUCAAGACCUCUCACAAGGACCUUCAGAUAGGGCAAACAACUUGAGAAUCAUUCUGGAGAGUCUUGGCAUCAGUCAGCCUCAGAGCAGUGAGGUGCCAAGGACUUUUCCCUCACCACCAUCUGCUGGAAACAAUGAAGAAGCAUCACCAGUUGUAGAAACAUCCCAUCCUGAUCCUUAAGGGGGCGGAGGGGGGCAGUGAACCUGAAUCACAACCGCAAGAAGGAGACGAUUCAGCAAGCACAUAUGAGCAAGAUGGAGAUGAAUCUGAUCAGUCUAGUGAAGAUCAGUGUAAUGGAGAUCAAGGACAAGAAGAGGCAGUGGUAGCAGGGCAACAGAUUCAACCAUUGAGAAGGAGUAUAAGAGUGAAGAAACCAUCCAAGUGGGUCGACACCAGAGUGUACUUCAACAACAAUGCAGUGGCUCACCCUAUCCAAGCAACCUGUUCUUUGGCAAGUUACCCUCAGGAGCAUGUAGUCUUCAUCAGCAAUAUGGAUCAAGAGUAUAUUCUAAAGACUUAUGAAGAAGCCAUGGAGUAUGAAGAGUGGAGAGAGUCAGUUGGAGAUGAAGUUAGUGCCAUGAUCAAAAAUGAUACUUGGUAUGAAACUGAGCUUUCUAAAGGAAAAAAAUCCGUUACAAGCCGCAUGCUCUUCACCAUCAAAUAUCUUGCCAAUGGAAAACCAGAAAGGAAGAAGACAAGUCUGGUUGCAAGAGGAUACACUCAAGUCUGUGGAGAAGACUAUUUGGAUACCUUUGCACCAGUAGCUAAACUCAACACCAUAAGCAUUCUUCUCUCCUUGGCAGUGAACCUAGAAUGGGAUCCUUGGCAGAUGGAUGUCAAGAAUGCUUUUCUUCAAGAAGAGCUACUGGAUGAGGUUUACAUGAGGCCACCUCCGGGUAUGGAAGAUAUGGUCAAGCCAGGGAAUGUCCUAAGAUUGAAGAAAGCAAUCUAUGGAUUAAAACAGUCACCAAGAGCUUGAUAUCACAAACUGAGUACAACUCUCAAUGGUAGAGGGUUUGUAAAAUCAGAAGCUGAUCAUACUCUCUUUACUCUCACAAGCAAGCAAGGAAUUAUGGUGAUACUGAUCUAUGUGGACGAUAAUAUAAUCACAGGAAGUGACAAGGAAAGUAUCAUCUCUACUAAAGCUUUUCUUAAAUCUACCUUUGAUAUUAAAAAUUUGGGUGAGCUAAAGUACUUUCUAGGGAUAGAAAUAUGCCGCUAUAAAGAGAGGGUUUUCUUAUCUCAAAGAAAGUACGCACUUGAUCUUUUAAAUGAGGCAGGGAAGCUUGGAGCAAAAGUAGCUAAACCACCACUUGAAGAAGGCUACAAAGUCUUGCGUGAGGGGGAGUUUGAAGACAAACCAUUUGGAAACUUCAAGCUCUAUAAGAUGAUGGUUGGGAAGUUGAUCUAUCUCACCAUUACAAGACCAGACAUCUGUUUUGCUGUGAACAAAGUCAGCCAGCAUAUGCAAGCACCGAAGGUUCAUCAUUGGAAUAUGGUGGAAGGGAUCAUGAGAUACAUAAGGGAGGCUCCGGGUCAAGGUGUUUGGAUGGGUUGCAACAAGAGCACAUAGAUUGUGGGAUAUUGUGAUGCAGAUUGGGCUGGUGAUAGAGUGGAUAGGAGGUCUACUACAGGUUAUUGCACCUUCAUCGGAGGAAAUCUAGUUACGUGGAAAAGCAAGAAACAAAAGCUGGUAUCAUGUUCAAGUGCUAAGGCAGAAUAUAGAGCAAUGAGGAAGCUGACAAGUGAGCUCAUUUGGAUCAGAAACUUGCUAAGAGAAUUGGGCAUAGAGACAUCAACACCAAAUACCAUGCACUGUGAUAACCAGGCGGCCAUUCAUAUAGCUUCAAACUCAGUGUUUCAUGAAAGGACAAAGCACAUUGAAGUGGACUGUCACAAGGUGAGACAAGUUGUGGAGCAGAAGAUCAUUCUACCUUGCUACACUAGAAGUGAAGACCAGCUAGCUGAUAUCUUCACCAAAGGAGCAAGUAAUAAAGUAUGUGAGUUCAUUCAUCCGAGAUUGGGACUCAUAGACCUGGAUAGAUCAUGAUCCCCUUAAGUCAUGAAACAUCUACUCUUUUUCCUUUGUGUGUUUUUGUCCCAUUGGGUUUUUCACACAAAAGGUUUUAAUGAGGGAUGUCUUCAUGAGUUCCAAGCUUAACCAUACCUUAUGGUAAAGCUUGAGGGAGAGUAUUGACAUGAAGAAAUAAACAGAAGAAGUUUUCAUCUAGCAAGGCUUGCCAAAGGAAAUCAAGCAAGGCCUGCUAGAAUGAACAGUAUCCCGCGGAACUACAGUAAAAACAGACUGAUAUUAUAUUUUAGCUUCCCAAGGAUGUUUGGCUACUAGAGUAAGUCUAUUAUAUUCUGCUUCUGUCUCUUGAUAACCAAUUAUAAGGAAAUUUUUUAGAUCUAAGGAAAUAAGAAAUCCUUCCUUACUCUCUCUCUCUCUCUCUCUCUCUCUCUCUCUCUCUCUCUCUCUCUCUCUCUCUCUCUCUCUCUCUCUCUCUCUCUCUCUCUCUCUCUCUCUCUCUCUCUCUCUCUCUCUCUCUCUCUCUCUCUCUCUCUCUCUCUCUCUCUCUCUCUCUCUCUCUCUCUCUCUCUCUCUCUCUCUCUCUCUCUCUCUCUCUCUCUCUCUCUCUCUCUCUCUCUCUCUCUCUCUCUCUCUCUCUCUCUCUCUCUCUCUCUCUCUCUCUCUCUCUCUCUCUCUCUCUCUCUCUCACAAUGUACAUUUAAAUAUUUCAAUCCUCAUGUGAUGUGUUUAUUUGGUUUGACAACAAAAGUAUAAUAUGCUAAUGUAAUUUUAUAGGUGGAUGUUUGUUCUCACAAUGUACAUUUAAAUAUUUCAAUCCUCAUGUGAUGUGUUUAUUUGGUUUGACAACAAAAGUAUAAUAUGCUAAUGUAAUUUUAUAGGUGGAUGUUUGUUCUCACAAUGUACAUUUAAAUAUUUCAAUCCUCAUGUGAUGUGUUUAUUUGGUUUGACAACAAAAGUAUAAUAUGCUAAUGUAAUUUUAUAGGUGGAUGUUUGUUCUCACAAUGUACAUUUAAAUAUUUCAAUCCUCAUGUGAUGUGUUUAUUUGGUUUGACAACAAAAGUAUAAUAUGCUAAUGUAAUUUUAUAGGUGGAUGUUUGUUCUCACAAUGUACAUUUAAAUAUUUCAAUCCUCAUGUGAUGUGUUUAUUUGGUUUGACAACAAAAGUAUAAUAUGCUAAUGUAAUUUUAUAGGUGGAUGUUUGUUCUCACAAUGUACAUUUAAAUAUUUCAAUCCUCAUGUGAUGUGUUUAUUUGGUUUGACAACAAAAGUAUAAUAUGCUAAUGUAAUUUUAUAGGUGGAUGUUUGUUCUCACAAUGUACAUUUAAAUAUUUCAAUCCUCAUGUGAUGUGUUUAUUUGGUUUGACAACAAAAGUAUAAUAUGCUAAUGUAAUUUUAUAGGUGGAUGUUUGUUCUCACAAUGUACAUUUAAAUAUUUCAAUCCUCAUGUGAUGUGUUUAUUUGGUUUGACAACAAAAGUAUAAUAUGCUAAUGUAAUUUUAUAGGUGGAUGUUUGUUCUCACAAUGUACAUUUAAAUAUUUCAAUCCUCAUGUGAUGUGUUUAUUUGGUUUGACAACAAAAGUAUAAUAUGCUAAUGUAAUUUUAUAGGUGGAUGUUUGUUCUCACAAUGUACAUUUAAAUAUUUCAAUCCUCAUGUGAUGUGUUUAUUUGGUUUGACAACAAAAGUAUAAUAUGCUAAUGUAAUUUUAUAGGUGGAUGUUUGUUCUCACAAUGUACAUUUAAAUAUUUCAAUCCUCAUGUGAUGUGUUUAUUUGGUUUGACAACAAAAGUAUAAUAUGCUAAUGUAAUUUUAUAGGUGGAUGUUUGUUCUCACAAUGUACAUUUAAAUAUUUCAAUCCUCAUGUGAUGUGUUUAUUUGGUUUGACAACAAAAGUAUAAUAUGCUAAUGUAAUUUUAUAGGUGGAUGUUUGUUCUCACAAUGUACAUUUAAAUAUUUCAAUCCUCAUGUGAUGUGUUUAUUUGGUUUGACAACAAAAGUAUAAUAUGCUAAUGUAAUUUUAUAGGUGGAUGUUUGUUCUCACAAUGUACAUUUAAAUAUUUCAAUCCUCAUGUGAUGUGUUUAUUUGGUUUGACAACAAAAGUAUAAUAUGCUAAUGUAAUUUUAUAGGUGGAUGUUUGUUCUCACAAUGUACAUUUAAAUAUUUCAAUCCUCAUGUGAUGUGUUUAUUUGGUUUGACAACAAAAGUAUAAUAUGCUAAUGUAAUUUUAUAGGUGGAUGUUUGUUCUCACAAUGUACAUUUAAAUAUUUCAAUCCUCAUGUGAUGUGUUUAUUUGGUUUGACAACAAAAGUAUAAUAUGCUAAUGUAAUUUUAUAGGUGGAUGUUUGUUCUCACAAUGUACAUUUAAAUAUUUCAAUCCUCAUGUGAUGUGUUUAUUUGGUUUGACAACAAAAGUAUAAUAUGCUAAUGUAAUUUUAUAGGUGGAUGUUUGUUCUCACAAUGUACAUUUAAAUAUUUCAAUCCUCAUGUGAUGUGUUUAUUUGGUUUGACAACAAAAGUAUAAUAUGCUAAUGUAAUUUUAUAGGUGGAUGUUUGUUCUCACAAUGUACAUUUAAAUAUUUCAAUCCUCAUGUGAUGUGUUUAUUUGGUUUGACAACAAAAGUAUAAUAUGCUAAUGUAAUUUUAUAGGUGGAUGUUUGUUCUCACAAUGUACAUUUAAAUAUUUCAAUCCUCAUGUGAUGUGUUUAUUUGGUUUGACAACAAAAGUAUAAUAUGCUAAUGUAAUUUUAUAGGUGGAUGUUUGUUCUCACAAUGUACAUUUAAAUAUUUCAAUCCUCAUGUGAUGUGUUUAUUUGGUUUGACAACAAAAGUAUAAUAUGCUAAUGUAAUUUUAUAGGUGGAUGUUUGUUCUCACAAUGUACAUUUAAAUAUUUCAAUCCUCAUGUGAUGUGUUUAUUUGGUUUGACAACAAAAGUAUAAUAUGCUAAUGUAAUUUUAUAGGUGGAUGUUUGUUCUCACAAUGUACAUUUAAAUAUUUCAAUCCUCAUGUGAUGUGUUUAUUUGGUUUGACAACAAAAGUAUAAUAUGCUAAUGUAAUUUUAUAGGUGGAUGUUUGUUCUCACAAUGUACAUUUAAAUAUUUCAAUCCUCAUGUGAUGUGUUUAUUUGGUUUGACAACAAAAGUAUAAUAUGCUAAUGUAAUUUUAUAGGUGGAUGUUUGUUCUCACAAUGUACAUUUAAAUAUUUCAAUCCUCAUGUGAUGUGUUUAUUUGGUUUGACAACAAAAGUAUAAUAUGCUAAUGUAAUUUUAUAGGUGGAUGUUUGUUCUCACAAUGUACAUUUAAAUAUUUCAAUCCUCAUGUGAUGUGUUUAUUUGGUUUGACAACAAAAGUAUAAUAUGCUAAUGUAAUUUUAUAGGUGGAUGUUUGUUCUCACAAUGUACAUUUAAAUAUUUCAAUCCUCAUGUGAUGUGUUUAUUUGGUUUGACAACAAAAGUAUAAUAUGCUAAUGUAAUUUUAUAGGUGGAUGUUUGUUCUCACAAUGUACAUUUAAAUAUUUCAAUCCUCAUGUGAUGUGUUUAUUUGGUUUGACAACAAAAGUAUAAUAUGCUAAUGUAAUUUUAUAGGUGGAUGUUUGUUCUCACAAUGUACAUUUAAAUAUUUCAAUCCUCAUGUGAUGUGUUUAUUUGGUUUGACAACAAAAGUAUAAUAUGCUAAUGUAAUUUUAUAGGUGGAUGUUUGUUCUCACAAUGUACAUUUAAAUAUUUCAAUCCUCAUGUGAUGUGUUUAUUUGGUUUGACAACAAAAGUAUAAUAUGCUAAUGUAAUUUUAUAGGUGGAUGUUUGUUCUCACAAUGUACAUUUAAAUAUUUCAAUCCUCAUGUGAUGUGUUUAUUUGGUUUGACAACAAAAGUAUAAUAUGCUAAUGUAAUUUUAUAGGUGGAUGUUUGUUCUCACAAUGUACAUUUAAAUAUUUCAAUCCUCAUGUGAUGUGUUUAUUUGGUUUGACAACAAAAGUAUAAUAUGCUAAUGUAAUUUUAUAGGUGGAUGUUUGUUCUCACAAUGUACAUUUAAAUAUUUCAAUCCUCAUGUGAUGUGUUUAUUUGGUUUGACAACAAAAGUAUAAUAUGCUAAUGUAAUUUUAUAGGUGGAUGUUUGUUCUCACAAUGUACAUUUAAAUAUUUCAAUCCUCAUGUGAUGUGUUUAUUUGGUUUGACAACAAAAGUAUAAUAUGCUAAUGUAAUUUUAUAGGUGGAUGUUUGUUCUCACAAUGUACAUUUAAAUAUUUCAAUCCUCAUGUGAUGUGUUUAUUUGGUUUGACAACAAAAGUAUAAUAUGCUAAUGUAAUUUUAUAGGUGGAUGUUUGUUCUCACAAUGUACAUUUAAAUAUUUCAAUCCUCAUGUGAUGUGUUUAUUUGGUUUGACAACAAAAGUAUAAUAUGCUAAUGUAAUUUUAUAGGUGGAUGUUUGUUCUCACAAUGUACAUUUAAAUAUUUCAAUCCUCAUGUGAUGUGUUUAUUUGGUUUGACAACAAAAGUAUAAUAUGCUAAUGUAAUUUUAUAGGUGGAUGUUUGUUCUCACAAUGUACAUUUAAAUAUUUCAAUCCUCAUGUGAUGUGUUUAUUUGGUUUGACAACAAAAGUAUAAUAUGCUAAUGUAAUUUUAUAGGUGGAUGUUUGUUCUCACAAUGUACAUUUAAAUAUUUCAAUCCUCAUGUGAUGUGUUUAUUUGGUUUGACAACAAAAGUAUAAUAUGCUAAUGUAAUUUUAUAGGUGGAUGUUUGUUCUCACAAUGUACAUUUAAAUAUUUCAAUCCUCAUGUGAUGUGUUUAUUUGGUUUGACAACAAAAGUAUAAUAUGCUAAUGUAAUUUUAUAGGUGGAUGUUUGUUCUCACAAUGUACAUUUAAAUAUUUCAAUCCUCAUGUGAUGUGUUUAUUUGGUUUGACAACAAAAGUAUAAUAUGCUAAUGUAAUUUUAUAGGUGGAUGUUUGUUCUCACAAUGUACAUUUAAAUAUUUCAAUCCUCAUGUGAUGUGUUUAUUUGGUUUGACAACAAAAGUAUAAUAUGCUAAUGUAAUUUUAUAGGUGGAUGUUUGUUCUCACAAUGUACAUUUAAAUAUUUCAAUCCUCAUGUGAUGUGUUUAUUUGGUUUGACAACAAAAGUAUAAUAUGCUAAUGUAAUUUUAUAGGUGGAUGUUUGUUCUCACAAUGUACAUUUAAAUAUUUCAAUCCUCAUGUGAUGUGUUUAUUUGGUUUGACAACAAAAGUAUAAUAUGCUAAUGUAAUUUUAUAGGUGGAUGUUUGUUCUCACAAUGUACAUUUAAAUAUUUCAAUCCUCAUGUGAUGUGUUUAUUUGGUUUGACAACAAAAGUAUAAUAUGCUAAUGUAAUUUUAUAGGUGGAUGUUUGUUCUCACAAUGUACAUUUAAAUAUUUCAAUCCUCAUGUGAUGUGUUUAUUUGGUUUGACAACAAAAGUAUAAUAUGCUAAUGUAAUUUUAUAGGUGGAUGUUUGUUCUCACAAUGUACAUUUAAAUAUUUCAAUCCUCAUGUGAUGUGUUUAUUUGGUUUGACAACAAAAGUAUAAUAUGCUAAUGUAAUUUUAUAGGUGGAUGUUUGUUCUCACAAUGUACAUUUAAAUAUUUCAAUCCUCAUGUGAUGUGUUUAUUUGGUUUGACAACAAAAGUAUAAUAUGCUAAUGUAAUUUUAUAGGUGGAUGUUUGUUCUCACAAUGUACAUUUAAAUAUUUCAAUCCUCAUGUGAUGUGUUUAUUUGGUUUGACAACAAAAGUAUAAUAUGCUAAUGUAAUUUUAUAGGUGGAUGUUUGUUCUCACAAUGUACAUUUAAAUAUUUCAAUCCUCAUGUGAUGUGUUUAUUUGGUUUGACAACAAAAGUAUAAUAUGCUAAUGUAAUUUUAUAGGUGGAUGUUUGUUCUCACAAUGUACAUUUAAAUAUUUCAAUCCUCAUGUGAUGUGUUUAUUUGGUUUGACAACAAAAGUAUAAUAUGCUAAUGUAAUUUUAUAGGUGGAUGUUUGUUCUCACAAUGUACAUUUAAAUAUUUCAAUCCUCAUGUGAUGUGUUUAUUUGGUUUGACAACAAAAGUAUAAUAUGCUAAUGUAAUUUUAUAGGUGGAUGUUUGUUCUCACAAUGUACAUUUAAAUAUUUCAAUCCUCAUGUGAUGUGUUUAUUUGGUUUGACAACAAAAGUAUAAUAUGCUAAUGUAAUUUUAUAGGUGGAUGUUUGUUCUCACAAUGUACAUUUAAAUAUUUCAAUCCUCAUGUGAUGUGUUUAUUUGGUUUGACAACAAAAGUAUAAUAUGCUAAUGUAAUUUUAUAGGUGGAUGUUUGUUCUCACAAUGUACAUUUAAAUAUUUCAAUCCUCAUGUGAUGUGUUUAUUUGGUUUGACAACAAAAGUAUAAUAUGCUAAUGUAAUUUUAUAGGUGGAUGUUUGUUCUCACAAUGUACAUUUAAAUAUUUCAAUCCUCAUGUGAUGUGUUUAUUUGGUUUGACAACAAAAGUAUAAUAUGCUAAUGUAAUUUUAUAGGUGGAUGUUUGUUCUCACAAUGUACAUUUAAAUAUUUCAAUCCUCAUGUGAUGUGUUUAUUUGGUUUGACAACAAAAGUAUAAUAUGCUAAUGUAAUUUUAUAGGUGGAUGUUUGUUCUCACAAUGUACAUUUAAAUAUUUCAAUCCUCAUGUGAUGUGUUUAUUUGGUUUGACAACAAAAGUAUAAUAUGCUAAUGUAAUUUUAUAGGUGGAUGUUUGUUCUCACAAUGUACAUUUAAAUAUUUCAAUCCUCAUGUGAUGUGUUUAUUUGGUUUGACAACAAAAGUAUAAUAUGCUAAUGUAAUUUUAUAGGUGGAUGUUUGUUCUCACAAUGUACAUUUAAAUAUUUCAAUCCUCAUGUGAUGUGUUUAUUUGGUUUGACAACAAAAGUAUAAUAUGCUAAUGUAAUUUUAUAGGUGGAUGUUUGUUCUCACAAUGUACAUUUAAAUAUUUCAAUCCUCAUGUGAUGUGUUUAUUUGGUUUGACAACAAAAGUAUAAUAUGCUAAUGUAAUUUUAUAGGUGGAUGUUUGUUCUCACAAUGUACAUUUAAAUAUUUCAAUCCUCAUGUGAUGUGUUUAUUUGGUUUGACAACAAAAGUAUAAUAUGCUAAUGUAAUUUUAUAGGUGGAUGUUUGUUCUCACAAUGUACAUUUAAAUAUUUCAAUCCUCAUGUGAUGUGUUUAUUUGGUUUGACAACAAAAGUAUAAUAUGCUAAUGUAAUUUUAUAGGUGGAUGUUUGUUCUCACAAUGUACAUUUAAAUAUUUCAAUCCUCAUGUGAUGUGUUUAUUUGGUUUGACAACAAAAGUAUAAUAUGCUAAUGUAAUUUUAUAGGUGGAUGUUUGUUCUCACAAUGUACAUUUAAAUAUUUCAAUCCUCAUGUGAUGUGUUUAUUUGGUUUGACAACAAAAGUAUAAUAUGCUAAUGUAAUUUUAUAGGUGGAUGUUUGUUCUCACAAUGUACAUUUAAAUAUUUCAAUCCUCAUGUGAUGUGUUUAUUUGGUUUGACAACAAAAGUAUAAUAUGCUAAUGUAAUUUUAUAGGUGGAUGUUUGUUCUCACAAUGUACAUUUAAAUAUUUCAAUCCUCAUGUGAUGUGUUUAUUUGGUUUGACAACAAAAGUAUAAUAUGCUAAUGUAAUUUUAUAGGUGGAUGUUUGUUCUCACAAUGUACAUUUAAAUAUUUCAAUCCUCAUGUGAUGUGUUUAUUUGGUUUGACAACAAAAGUAUAAUAUGCUAAUGUAAUUUUAUAGGUGGAUGUUUGUUCUCACAAUGUACAUUUAAAUAUUUCAAUCCUCAUGUGAUGUGUUUAUUUGGUUUGACAACAAAAGUAUAAUAUGCUAAUGUAAUUUUAUAGGUGGAUGUUUGUUCUCACAAUGUACAUUUAAAUAUUUCAAUCCUCAUGUGAUGUGUUUAUUUGGUUUGACAACAAAAGUAUAAUAUGCUAAUGUAAUUUUAUAGGUGGAUGUUUGUUCUCACAAUGUACAUUUAAAUAUUUCAAUCCUCAUGUGAUGUGUUUAUUUGGUUUGACAACAAAAGUAUAAUAUGCUAAUGUAAUUUUAUAGGUGGAUGUUUGUUCUCACAAUGUACAUUUAAAUAUUUCAAUCCUCAUGUGAUGUGUUUAUUUGGUUUGACAACAAAAGUAUAAUAUGCUAAUGUAAUUUUAUAGGUGGAUGUUUGUUCUCACAAUGUACAUUUAAAUAUUUCAAUCCUCAUGUGAUGUGUUUAUUUGGUUUGACAACAAAAGUAUAAUAUGCUAAUGUAAUUUUAUAGGUGGAUGUUUGUUCUCACAAUGUACAUUUAAAUAUUUCAAUCCUCAUGUGAUGUGUUUAUUUGGUUUGACAACAAAAGUAUAAUAUGCUAAUGUAAUUUUAUAGGUGGAUGUUUGUUCUCACAAUGUACAUUUAAAUAUUUCAAUCCUCAUGUGAUGUGUUUAUUUGGUUUGACAACAAAAGUAUAAUAUGCUAAUGUAAUUUUAUAGGUGGAUGUUUGUUCUCACAAUGUACAUUUAAAUAUUUCAAUCCUCAUGUGAUGUGUUUAUUUGGUUUGACAACAAAAGUAUAAUAUGCUAAUGUAAUUUUAUAGGUGGAUGUUUGUUCUCACAAUGUACAUUUAAAUAUUUCAAUCCUCAUGUGAUGUGUUUAUUUGGUUUGACAACAAAAGUAUAAUAUGCUAAUGUAAUUUUAUAGGUGGAUGUUUGUUCUCACAAUGUACAUUUAAAUAUUUCAAUCCUCAUGUGAUGUGUUUAUUUGGUUUGACAACAAAAGUAUAAUAUGCUAAUGUAAUUUUAUAGGUGGAUGUUUGUUCUCACAAUGUACAUUUAAAUAUUUCAAUCCUCAUGUGAUGUGUUUAUUUGGUUUGACAACAAAAGUAUAAUAUGCUAAUGUAAUUUUAUAGGUGGAUGUUUGUUCUCACAAUGUACAUUUAAAUAUUUCAAUCCUCAUGUGAUGUGUUUAUUUGGUUUGACAACAAAAGUAUAAUAUGCUAAUGUAAUUUUAUAGGUGGAUGUUUGUUCUCACAAUGUACAUUUAAAUAUUUCAAUCCUCAUGUGAUGUGUUUAUUUGGUUUGACAACAAAAGUAUAAUAUGCUAAUGUAAUUUUAUAGGUGGAUGUUUGUUCUCACAAUGUACAUUUAAAUAUUUCAAUCCUCAUGUGAUGUGUUUAUUUGGUUUGACAACAAAAGUAUAAUAUGCUAAUGUAAUUUUAUAGGUGGAUGUUUGUUCUCACAAUGUACAUUUAAAUAUUUCAAUCCUCAUGUGAUGUGUUUAUUUGGUUUGACAACAAAAGUAUAAUAUGCUAAUGUAAUUUUAUAGGUGGAUGUUUGUUCUCACAAUGUACAUUUAAAUAUUUCAAUCCUCAUGUGAUGUGUUUAUUUGGUUUGACAACAAAAGUAUAAUAUGCUAAUGUAAUUUUAUAGGUGGAUGUUUGUUCUCACAAUGUACAUUUAAAUAUUUCAAUCCUCAUGUGAUGUGUUUAUUUGGUUUGACAACAAAAGUAUAAUAUGCUAAUGUAAUUUUAUAGGUGGAUGUUUGUUCUCACAAUGUACAUUUAAAUAUUUCAAUCCUCAUGUGAUGUGUUUAUUUGGUUUGACAACAAAAGUAUAAUAUGCUAAUGUAAUUUUAUAGGUGGAUGUUUGUUCUCACAAUGUACAUUUAAAUAUUUCAAUCCUCAUGUGAUGUGUUUAUUUGGUUUGACAACAAAAGUAUAAUAUGCUAAUGUAAUUUUAUAGGUGGAUGUUUGUUCUCACAAUGUACAUUUAAAUAUUUCAAUCCUCAUGUGAUGUGUUUAUUUGGUUUGACAACAAAAGUAUAAUAUGCUAAUGUAAUUUUAUAGGUGGAUGUUUGUUCUCACAAUGUACAUUUAAAUAUUUCAAUCCUCAUGUGAUGUGUUUAUUUGGUUUGACAACAAAAGUAUAAUAUGCUAAUGUAAUUUUAUAGGUGGAUGUUUGUUCUCACAAUGUACAUUUAAAUAUUUCAAUCCUCAUGUGAUGUGUUUAUUUGGUUUGACAACAAAAGUAUAAUAUGCUAAUGUAAUUUUAUAGGUGGAUGUUUGUUCUCACAAUGUACAUUUAAAUAUUUCAAUCCUCAUGUGAUGUGUUUAUUUGGUUUGACAACAAAAGUAUAAUAUGCUAAUGUAAUUUUAUAGGUGGAUGUUUGUUCUCACAAUGUACAUUUAAAUAUUUCAAUCCUCAUGUGAUGUGUUUAUUUGGUUUGACAACAAAAGUAUAAUAUGCUAAUGUAAUUUUAUAGGUGGAUGUUUGUUCUCACAAUGUACAUUUAAAUAUUUCAAUCCUCAUGUGAUGUGUUUAUUUGGUUUGACAACAAAAGUAUAAUAUGCUAAUGUAAUUUUAUAGGUGGAUGUUUGUUCUCACAAUGUACAUUUAAAUAUUUCAAUCCUCAUGUGAUGUGUUUAUUUGGUUUGACAACAAAAGUAUAAUAUGCUAAUGUAAUUUUAUAGGUGGAUGUUUGUUCUCACAAUGUACAUUUAAAUAUUUCAAUCCUCAUGUGAUGUGUUUAUUUGGUUUGACAACAAAAGUAUAAUAUGCUAAUGUAAUUUUAUAGGUGGAUGUUUGUUCUCACAAUGUACAUUUAAAUAUUUCAAUCCUCAUGUGAUGUGUUUAUUUGGUUUGACAACAAAAGUAUAAUAUGCUAAUGUAAUUUUAUAGGUGGAUGUUUGUUCUCACAAUGUACAUUUAAAUAUUUCAAUCCUCAUGUGAUGUGUUUAUUUGGUUUGACAACAAAAGUAUAAUAUGCUAAUGUAAUUUUAUAGGUGGAUGUUUGUUCUCACAAUGUACAUUUAAAUAUUUCAAUCCUCAUGUGAUGUGUUUAUUUGGUUUGACAACAAAAGUAUAAUAUGCUAAUGUAAUUUUAUAGGUGGAUGUUUGUUCUCACAAUGUACAUUUAAAUAUUUCAAUCCUCAUGUGAUGUGUUUAUUUGGUUUGACAACAAAAGUAUAAUAUGCUAAUGUAAUUUUAUAGGUGGAUGUUUGUUCUCACAAUGUACAUUUAAAUAUUUCAAUCCUCAUGUGAUGUGUUUAUUUGGUUUGACAACAAAAGUAUAAUAUGCUAAUGUAAUUUUAUAGGUGGAUGUUUGUUCUCACAAUGUACAUUUAAAUAUUUCAAUCCUCAUGUGAUGUGUUUAUUUGGUUUGACAACAAAAGUAUAAUAUGCUAAUGUAAUUUUAUAGGUGGAUGUUUGUUCUCACAAUGUACAUUUAAAUAUUUCAAUCCUCAUGUGAUGUGUUUAUUUGGUUUGACAACAAAAGUAUAAUAUGCUAAUGUAAUUUUAUAGGUGGAUGUUUGUUCUCACAAUGUACAUUUAAAUAUUUCAAUCCUCAUGUGAUGUGUUUAUUUGGUUUGACAACAAAAGUAUAAUAUGCUAAUGUAAUUUUAUAGGUGGAUGUUUGUUCUCACAAUGUACAUUUAAAUAUUUCAAUCCUCAUGUGAUGUGUUUAUUUGGUUUGACAACAAAAGUAUAAUAUGCUAAUGUAAUUUUAUAGGUGGAUGUUUGUUCUCACAAUGUACAUUUAAAUAUUUCAAUCCUCAUGUGAUGUGUUUAUUUGGUUUGACAACAAAAGUAUAAUAUGCUAAUGUAAUUUUAUAGGUGGAUGUUUGUUCUCACAAUGUACAUUUAAAUAUUUCAAUCCUCAUGUGAUGUGUUUAUUUGGUUUGACAACAAAAGUAUAAUAUGCUAAUGUAAUUUUAUAGGUGGAUGUUUGUUCUCACAAUGUACAUUUAAAUAUUUCAAUCCUCAUGUGAUGUGUUUAUUUGGUUUGACAACAAAAGUAUAAUAUGCUAAUGUAAUUUUAUAGGUGGAUGUUUGUUCUCACAAUGUACAUUUAAAUAUUUCAAUCCUCAUGUGAUGUGUUUAUUUGGUUUGACAACAAAAGUAUAAUAUGCUAAUGUAAUUUUAUAGGUGGAUGUUUGUUCUCACAAUGUACAUUUAAAUAUUUCAAUCCUCAUGUGAUGUGUUUAUUUGGUUUGACAACAAAAGUAUAAUAUGCUAAUGUAAUUUUAUAGGUGGAUGUUUGUUCUCACAAUGUACAUUUAAAUAUUUCAAUCCUCAUGUGAUGUGUUUAUUUGGUUUGACAACAAAAGUAUAAUAUGCUAAUGUAAUUUUAUAGGUGGAUGUUUGUUCUCACAAUGUACAUUUAAAUAUUUCAAUCCUCAUGUGAUGUGUUUAUUUGGUUUGACAACAAAAGUAUAAUAUGCUAAUGUAAUUUUAUAGGUGGAUGUUUGUUCUCACAAUGUACAUUUAAAUAUUUCAAUCCUCAUGUGAUGUGUUUAUUUGGUUUGACAACAAAAGUAUAAUAUGCUAAUGUAAUUUUAUAGGUGGAUGUUUGUUCUCACAAUGUACAUUUAAAUAUUUCAAUCCUCAUGUGAUGUGUUUAUUUGGUUUGACAACAAAAGUAUAAUAUGCUAAUGUAAUUUUAUAGGUGGAUGUUUGUUCUCACAAUGUACAUUUAAAUAUUUCAAUCCUCAUGUGAUGUGUUUAUUUGGUUUGACAACAAAAGUAUAAUAUGCUAAUGUAAUUUUAUAGGUGGAUGUUUGUUCUCACAAUGUACAUUUAAAUAUUUCAAUCCUCAUGUGAUGUGUUUAUUUGGUUUGACAACAAAAGUAUAAUAUGCUAAUGUAAUUUUAUAGGUGGAUGUUUGUUCUCACAAUGUACAUUUAAAUAUUUCAAUCCUCAUGUGAUGUGUUUAUUUGGUUUGACAACAAAAGUAUAAUAUGCUAAUGUAAUUUUAUAGGUGGAUGUUUGUUCUCACAAUGUACAUUUAAAUAUUUCAAUCCUCAUGUGAUGUGUUUAUUUGGUUUGACAACAAAAGUAUAAUAUGCUAAUGUAAUUUUAUAGGUGGAUGUUUGUUCUCACAAUGUACAUUUAAAUAUUUCAAUCCUCAUGUGAUGUGUUUAUUUGGUUUGACAACAAAAGUAUAAUAUGCUAAUGUAAUUUUAUAGGUGGAUGUUUGUUCUCACAAUGUACAUUUAAAUAUUUCAAUCCUCAUGUGAUGUGUUUAUUUGGUUUGACAACAAAAGUAUAAUAUGCUAAUGUAAUUUUAUAGGUGGAUGUUUGUUCUCACAAUGUACAUUUAAAUAUUUCAAUCCUCAUGUGAUGUGUUUAUUUGGUUUGACAACAAAAGUAUAAUAUGCUAAUGUAGUUGAAUUUGUACAGUAUGUGGGAGGUACAGAGACUCUCGUUGAACAUGUUAAAGCAAGUCAAUAAUAAACCAUAUUCAUGAGUUUAUGAAGUAGCCAAACGUUUUACGUCUUGUGUGCGAGGAUAUUAUUUAUUUGGUUUAACGCUUUCAUGUUUAUUUAAAUCUAUUUUGGUUUUUAUUUACCUUGUAUUUAUGACAUUAUACUAUUAUUAUUAAUGUUAUUCAUUUGCGUUGGUAUUUUAUAAAAGAAACAAAUCAUUAUCUUUAUUUGACCAUUUUUAUAUAUCUUCUACACUAUUAAAGAAAAAUCCAUUAUAAGAUUUUGUCCUUAAUUUUGUGAAAUAAUUAUAAUAAAAUAAUUAUAAUGAAAUGUCACUCAUAUUUUUAUGCAUAUCAUAAUUAAUUAAUCUGAACUAAACAAUUAAUUUAGAAAAAUUCCAAAACUAAAAAACAGUAGUUAAAUCAUGUAUACACAGCUUAAAUUUAUAACCAUGCUGCAAGCUAAACAUAGCUUCUUUAAGCUACUUCAGAUCUCAGACAUCAUUUGAACCGAUUUUGGUUUCAUUGUUACUCUCCUUAAACAACUGCAUUAUUCUCUCAUUUACUUGAUCUUUAAGAUUCAUAAAUGGGCUCUGAAAUAGUAGUGGGCCGUAAGCCCAAUCAAAACAGAUAUGACCAAAUAAAGUGUUUAACAUGCCUUCUUCUUCUUCUCCAAUUUCAGAUUUGAUCCAAUCUGUAGCCUAAGGGGAAACGAAAAGGGGAAACUGCGACAAAUCAAAGGUAUGAUUAGAACCCAAAGAGACUCAUGAAAACACUUCAAUUCUCUGAAAUUGAUUGAAGUUUGUGCAGUUUUUUUCUUUCUGAUCGUAUCUUUGAUUGUGAAAAACCUCAGGUGGAUCCAUGGGUGAUGUACAACUAAAGAAAAGAGGAUACAUCUGGGCAAUCUCUGCUGGGUUCAAUGCAGCUCUUGCUGCCAUCUCUGCAAAGUUCUUCUCAUCUCUCGUAAUAAUAAUAACAUUUUCUUAGCUUCAUUUUUUUUUUUUUCCUUAGAGCAUUUUGAUUAAUUUAAUUUUGGAAUUUUUUAAUGUUUAACAGGUGCUAAAAUAUGGAUUGGUUGUAUUAUGCAAUGUGGUAAUGUGGGGAUGUUAUGUAAACAGCUUAAGAGCUCUCUCUUCUCUACAAGCUACCGUCACUAACUUUGCUGCUAAUUUCCUCUCUUCCGGUUUUGCUGGCCUCUUUCUGUUUCACGAGUCCUUAUCAUUCCGUGUAAGUUUUUUAUUUAAAUCUUGAAAACAAUGUUUCUUAUGCUAUGCUUUUCUUGGAUGUCAAAGCCUAUUACUAUUGCAGAUUCCAUAACUUGUACUUGUUUUUAAGGUUUGCGUGUAUUUAGGACACCAAUUGUUAUGUUGAAAUGGUAGUUUUGGAGUUGUAACAUGAGUUUGGCUGAUACAUUUUCCGAUAAAUAAUGCAGUGGUUUGCGGGAGCUUUAUCGAUCACCAUUGGAGUUGUAAUCCUCAGUAAGUCAAGUGUUGAUAAGAAGGUCAGUACGGAUUAGUACAAGAACCAAUAUAAUAGCUUUCCUUCUUGAGAAGGCUGGUUUUGCGUACAAGGAGUUAAGAGCUGGAGAUUAAGUUGUUUGAAGUUUUAGAUUUUAUUCUGUUAAGAGGACCAAACUUGUAAUACCUACGAUUGAUUUUCAUGAUUUUAUUGAAGUAGUUAAGACUGUUAAUACUAAAAUAAUGUUUGUUCUUUUUUUUUUUGGGUUUGUCAUGUCAAACCGCAACAAUCUACUGCACGGGUCUUCUUCUUCUGCAUCUUGAUUAAAAUCGAGAGGCAGUGGCAAGAAACUAAGAAACUAAUGCGUAGCUACGAUAAUAUGUGCCAAAAAUAUGUUUGAAACUUUCUAAUCACAAAAUAUACGGUUAGAUCAAAGAACCAGCCAUGUCGUGGGGCUUACGUCACAUAUUUUUUCAAUAGAAAUAUGGACAAUUCUGUUUUACUUUAUGUGAAGUGAACAUGCCCUUACUCAUUACUUGAUUUUCAAGCUACAAUGUCUUCUCUUAACGUUUCCAUCUCGGGAGUAAUAGGCAAAUUACUAGAGAUGUGAACAAUUCUCCACUUCUUAAACGAAACAUUUCGAUUUUUUUGGAGUUCUUUUUCUUUUGCAUUCACUUUUUUUAGGUUAACCACCGUAUACAUUGUAUAGUUUUGCAUCUGUGAAUAAAGGAAAAUAUACAAAGAUUUUUCUUCUACUUUCAAAAGCUAUUUUCAAUAUUUUGUAGACUCACAAGAUAAUUCUCAAGAAUCCACCAAACCCUGCUAUAAUCGUAUCAAAACAACAAUGAAAUAGUGGUUUUGUAGGAUACGACAUUACGGAAAAACAACAAUUGAAUCAAUCAUCGUGAUGAUGAGUGGUAGAACAACUGAAAAUUUGCAAAACAAUAAGGAAGUAAGACAAUGUAUGCAAAUAUAUCUUGAGAUCUAAUGACAUUGUUACAACAUUAAAUAUUAUUUUGAGGAAGGUUGAAGUACCAAGAAACAUUCAUUAGAUCUCGGAAAGACGACGUUCUAGGGUCACUACUGGGAUAAUAGAACUGUUAGAGAUCUAUAUGCAGAAGCGCGUUAAACCGAAAACAUACUAUUCUAGUUUAGCGAUGAACAUUGCUUGAUACAAUCUGGAAUUGGAUGCAAGAAUCAGAAAGAAAUCACAGAUGGAAAUCAACCACAUGUCCCCAUUCAAGUACCUUUCUAGUUGAUUCAUUGAAGCUUCUUCUCUCUAAAACUUUUUACUCACUCUUUAGAAAUAUAUUUGUUAUAAAUAUAUUAUUACAAUUGGUUCUCUUCUAUUUGCAAUGUCUAUAUAUAUAGACAGUCAAGAGACAUUUUGUGAGGAGUCACAUAUGUUCAAGGAAGAGACAUGUAUUUUCAGCAAAGAGACGCAUCUUUUAAAUGAAGAGUCACAUAUCUUCAUUUAAGGAGUUAUGCGAAUAAUUUCCUAAAACUAGGGGUUAACCAAACCGGUUUGUUAUGCUGCCUAAUCAUGGAUGCAAACCGACCAUAAAUUAAUAUCUCCCACUCACACAUGAUUGGGAGCAUGUCAAGUACUAGAGAAGUCUUAAAGAUCAAGCGCGAGAAUCCUAACUCAGAAAUCAUAGGGAAAAUGAACCGUGCGACCCUUACAAGUACACUAACACUUGGGAGUUAAAUUAUGCACCUGUUAGGAAUACAUACAAGUUACAACCCUAGAAAAUUAUUUUAGAUGUUUAAUAAUAUCUUAGUGUAUUUUGGAUACAUAUUAGGAACUACAAUCAUGUUUGGUACAAGUUUUUUUGGGAUUUUGAAGGUUUCGGGUUCUAUUGGGUAUCCAUUUAGGUUUGGGUUUGGAUAAUACUCAUAACCCAAAAUACCAUAAAACCAGAUCCAUUCGGUAUUUAUGUCAGGUUUGGAUCGGUUCGGAUUCAUUUUAAUUGGAGCGGGUUCGGUUUGGUUUAUCGGAUUCGGUUUAUUUUCCCAGUCCUAGUAAGUGAGAUGAGCUUAUACACUAGGCAUGAAUCCUCAUAUGUCUAAUUGGGUUUGUUUCGAGUCAUUUCGAUUUGGAAUUUUGAGAGCACAUUAAUACCAUUCGGAUAUUAUAAAAUUUUGGUUCAUUUUGGUUAGGUUUAAUCAUGUUUAGUCUGGAUUUAGUAAAUCACGUGAACACUAGAUGUACCAAGAAAUUUUUCAAAUUCAGUUCUAAACCUUAUUAAGUAAUCUGAGACAUUCAUUUCUACAUUAAAUAUACUCAAUUAACUUGAACGAGUGACUUUAUGACUUUGUUGAUGACUGAAAUCAUUAAGGUAAAACAAGGAUUUGAUUGUGGAAAACUUUUAAAAACCAAUCAUAUUUUUUGAUGAUAAAUCAUAUAUAAAAAUAUUAUGCUAACAACAAAGAAGAAUAAACCUCAUACGUAAAGAUAAUAAUUCUAACGCAAAAAAAAAGCUCACAUAUAUUCAUAACAGGUAAUCAUAACUCGUAUACAAAACAUUGUGCUAACGACAAAUUAAGAAAAACAAAUUUGAGUACAUGAAUUCGAGUAGUGAGACUAACUGAGCUAACAAAAAAAUAUAUGAAAAUUGCAAAAUAAACUUGAAAAUUUUGUGCUAAAAACAAAAUAGCAUAUGCGAGAAAGUAAAAAUCAUUGUCUACCAAAUCGAACCCAGUAAACCCUGAAAAGAUUGGGUUUUCAUGAUAUUAUGUAUAUAUCCAGUGCAAAGAAAAUUACUAAUACUUGUGAAUGAUCCUUGAAGUCUCUUUAGGAAGAGAUUUUUGGAAGUGACGAUUUUAUGUUUCCAUUUGGAAGAAUUGAAGAAACAAUACAAGAUUAUGAAUUUAGGGUUUCAGGUUUGUAAAUAGCCAAAGGCAUAAAAGAAAUCAGAGUAAAUAUACGAGAAUAAAAUUUAUGAAAAGUAUUGAUAUGAAAAAAUAAACAGAAAAAGUUUUCAUCUAGCAAGGCUUGCCAAAGGAAAUCAAGCAAAGCCAGCUAGAAUGAACAGUACCCGCGAAACUACGGUAAAAGCAGACUGAUAGUAUAUUUUAGAUUCCCUGGUAAGCCAAGGGUGUUUGGCUACUAGAGUAAGCCUAUUCUAUUCUGCUUCUGUCUCUUGAUAACCAAUUGUAAUGACAUUUUUAGAUCUAAGGAAAUAAAAAAUACUUCCUUACUCUUUCUCUUUCUUGUUCUUCACUCUGUUCUUCAAUUUCUUACAUGGUAUCAGAGCCUUUAAGCUCUUGAGUACCUAUUUCUCUUCCGCAAUCUUACUCUGAUACUCUUUCUCUAUUGAUUCACCGGUUUACUUUCGCAAUUUUCUCUUCAGAUUUCUUUUAUCUAGUGGAUAAUAAAUAUGUGUUUUUGAGAGAAGAUAGAGCAGCACAAGCCAAUAAUGAUUCCAGUCACCCUAAAGGGUUCUAACUACAUUACCUGGUCGAGAUUGGCUAGGACAGCUCUUGGGGAAAGAGGUCUAUGGGAGCACAUCACCACCAGUGAGGCACCAAGAAAAAUCACCCAAGGAGAAGAUGGCAAGGAGAUUGUAGUGGUAGAUGAAGGCAAAUGAGGUCAGGAGGAUCUCAUGGUGCUGUCUAUCUUGCAAGGCUCACUUGAUACUCCUAUCAUGGAGUCUUACUCACACUGUGAGAGUGCAGAGAAGCUAUGGGAUACCUUACACAAGGUGUAUGGCAACAGUUCAAAUCUCACCAGAAUCUUUGAGGUUAAGAGGGCAAUCAACAACUUGCAGCAAGAAGAGAUGGACUUCACCAAGCACCUUGGGAAGUACAGCCAGCUGUGGUCUGAACUUGAGAUGCUGAGGCCAAGCACCACUGAUCCUAGUACACUAGAAGAGAGGCAUGAACAAGACAAGGUCUUUGGAUUGUUUCUCACACUCAACCCAAGCUUCAAUGAUGUACUUAAACACAUAUUGAGAGCUAAGGAGCUUCCAAGCUAUGAUGAUGUGUCUGCUCAACUUCAAAAGGAGCUAGGCUCAGAUGGUCUCUUUGGUGGAUUAGGGAAGCUGUCUAUGGUAAACAAGGCUGAGAAGGUGGAGAGUGCUUCAGUCAACAAAGCACACUUCAAACCAGGAGGAGGAGACAAGUCUAUGACUUGUGAGCAUUGCAAGAAGCUAGGCCACUCCAAAACCAAUUGUUGGAUCCUCCAUCCUCACCUCAGACCGGCGUCAACCAACAGAUACAAUUAGACCAGAGCACAUGAAGCAUGAGCUCAAGAGGCCUCAGUACCAAGCUUCAUGCGCAUGGGAGAAUAUGGAAGACCCAUGAUCUCAACCACCCACACUGGUGGAUCCACAUCCCAUGACAUGUCUCAGCCAUCUCCUGAUGAUACUUUCAUCCGCAAGUCAGACAUUGAAGCCCUUAUCAAGGCUAUCAAUGCAAACUCUGGUAACAUAAGUAUCAAUGCUUUAAAUUCUAUCAUAGUACAUCUCAUACUACUAGACCUUUGAUCAUUGAUUCAGGAGCCUCUCAUCAUAUGAUUAGGGAUGCUAGACUGAUUAGUGAUGUUAAACCUGCUCUAGGGAGUGUAGUGAUUGCUAAUGGUGAUAGAAUUCCAAUUGAAGGAGUAGGAAACCUGAAACUGUUUGAUAAGAAGUCUCAAGCUCUUUAUAUGCCUACUUUCACAUCCAACUUAUUAUCUGUUAAGAGAGCAACUAAUGAUUUAAAUUGCAAUGUUAUUUUUAGUCCUAAUGAUGUUUGCUUUCAGGAUAUUAAGACUAGUAAGAUGCUGGGAAAAUGUGUGAGCAAGGGAGAGCUAUAUUUUUUUGAAGACACCAAAGUUUCAGAUUUAUCGUGUGCUUUUAAUUUUGCUUCUGUUUUAGCUAGUGAGGUGUUAUGGCAUGCUAGAUUAGGUCACCCUCAUUCUCGUGCCUUAGGUCUGAUGUUACCUAAUCUAUCUUUUAAGAAUGAAAGUUGUGAGGCUUGUAUUCUUGGUAAACAUCAGAAAUCUGUUUUUCCUAAAUCAAUGACUAUUUAUGAGAAUUGCUUUGAUCUUGUUCACUCUGAUGUUUGGACUGCACCUUGUGUGUCUAGGGAGAACCAUAAGUAUUUUGUUACAUUCAUAGAUGAAAAAUCAAAAUAUACUUGGUUCACCCUGAUUCAAACUAAAGAUAGAGUUUUAGAAGCUUUUGUUAACUUCCAAAACUAUAUAUCUAACCAUUUCAAUUCCAAUAUCAAAAUUCUCAGGCCUGAUAAUGGGGGAGAAUAUACCAGCAAUGCCUUCAAACACCACUUAGCAAAACAUGGGAUAAUUCAUCAAACAAGCUGUCCAUACACACCUCCACAAAAUGGAGUUGCUGAAAGGAAGAAUCGCCAUCUUAUAGAGGUUGCAAGAAGCAUGAUGUUCCACACCAAUGUCCCUAAGAGAUUUUGGGGAGAUGCUGUGGUAUCAGCAUGCUAUCUGAUCAACAGAAUCCCCACCAAAGUUCUUCAAUAUGCCUCUCCCUUUCAGGUACUAAACAAAAUAAAACCUCCAAUUGAUCAUUUGCGCGUGUUUGGGCGUGUUUGUUAUGUCUUGACACCAGGAGAAAUGAGAAACAAGCUAGAAGCCAAGAGUGUCAAGGGAAUGUUUAUUGGAUACUCCCACACACAGAAAUGUUAUAAGUGCUACAUUCCUGAUUCAAGAAAAGUUAUAGUCUCAAGGGAUGUUAAGUUUGUGGAAUCUAAGGGGUACUAUGAGGAAAAGAGUUGGGAAAGCCUUCAAGACCUCUCACAAGGACCUUCAGAUAGGGCAAACAACUUGAGAAUCAUUCUGGAGAGUCUUGGCAUCAGUCAGCCUCAGAGCAGUGAGGUGCCAAGGACUUUUCCCUCACCACCAUCUGCUGGAAACAAUGAAGAAGCAUCACCAGUUGUAGAAACAUCCCAUCCUGAUCCUUAAGGGGGCGGAGGGGGGCAGUGAACCUGAAUCACAACCGCAAGAAGGAGACGAUUCAGCAAGCACAUAUGAGCAAGAUGGAGAUGAAUCUGAUCAGUCUAGUGAAGAUCAGUGUAAUGGAGAUCAAGGACAAGAAGAGGCAGUGGUAGCAGGGCAACAGAUUCAACCAUUGAGAAGGAGUAUAAGAGUGAAGAAACCAUCCAAGUGGGUCGACACCAGAGUGUACUUCAACAACAAUGCAGUGGCUCACCCUAUCCAAGCAACCUGUUCUUUGGCAAGUUACCCUCAGGAGCAUGUAGUCUUCAUCAGCAAUAUGGAUCAAGAGUAUAUUCUAAAGACUUAUGAAGAAGCCAUGGAGUAUGAAGAGUGGAGAGAGUCAGUUGGAGAUGAAGUUAGUGCCAUGAUCAAAAAUGAUACUUGGUAUGAAACUGAGCUUUCUAAAGGAAAAAAAUCCGUUACAAGCCGCAUGCUCUUCACCAUCAAAUAUCUUGCCAAUGGAAAACCAGAAAGGAAGAAGACAAGUCUGGUUGCAAGAGGAUACACUCAAGUCUGUGGAGAAGACUAUUUGGAUACCUUUGCACCAGUAGCUAAACUCAACACCAUAAGCAUUCUUCUCUCCUUGGCAGUGAACCUAGAAUGGGAUCCUUGGCAGAUGGAUGUCAAGAAUGCUUUUCUUCAAGAAGAGCUACUGGAUGAGGUUUACAUGAGGCCACCUCCGGGUAUGGAAGAUAUGGUCAAGCCAGGGAAUGUCCUAAGAUUGAAGAAAGCAAUCUAUGGAUUAAAACAGUCACCAAGAGCUUGAUAUCACAAACUGAGUACAACUCUCAAUGGUAGAGGGUUUGUAAAAUCAGAAGCUGAUCAUACUCUCUUUACUCUCACAAGCAAGCAAGGAAUUAUGGUGAUACUGAUCUAUGUGGACGAUAAUAUAAUCACAGGAAGUGACAAGGAAAGUAUCAUCUCUACUAAAGCUUUUCUUAAAUCUACCUUUGAUAUUAAAAAUUUGGGUGAGCUAAAGUACUUUCUAGGGAUAGAAAUAUGCCGCUAUAAAGAGAGGGUUUUCUUAUCUCAAAGAAAGUACGCACUUGAUCUUUUAAAUGAGGCAGGGAAGCUUGGAGCAAAAGUAGCUAAACCACCACUUGAAGAAGGCUACAAAGUCUUGCGUGAGGGGGAGUUUGAAGACAAACCAUUUGGAAACUUCAAGCUCUAUAAGAUGAUGGUUGGGAAGUUGAUCUAUCUCACCAUUACAAGACCAGACAUCUGUUUUGCUGUGAACAAAGUCAGCCAGCAUAUGCAAGCACCGAAGGUUCAUCAUUGGAAUAUGGUGGAAGGGAUCAUGAGAUACAUAAGGGAGGCUCCGGGUCAAGGUGUUUGGAUGGGUUGCAACAAGAGCACAUAGAUUGUGGGAUAUUGUGAUGCAGAUUGGGCUGGUGAUAGAGUGGAUAGGAGGUCUACUACAGGUUAUUGCACCUUCAUCGGAGGAAAUCUAGUUACGUGGAAAAGCAAGAAACAAAAGCUGGUAUCAUGUUCAAGUGCUAAGGCAGAAUAUAGAGCAAUGAGGAAGCUGACAAGUGAGCUCAUUUGGAUCAGAAACUUGCUAAGAGAAUUGGGCAUAGAGACAUCAACACCAAAUACCAUGCACUGUGAUAACCAGGCGGCCAUUCAUAUAGCUUCAAACUCAGUGUUUCAUGAAAGGACAAAGCACAUUGAAGUGGACUGUCACAAGGUGAGACAAGUUGUGGAGCAGAAGAUCAUUCUACCUUGCUACACUAGAAGUGAAGACCAGCUAGCUGAUAUCUUCACCAAAGGAGCAAGUAAUAAAGUAUGUGAGUUCAUUCAUCCGAGAUUGGGACUCAUAGACCUGGAUAGAUCAUGAUCCCCUUAAGUCAUGAAACAUCUACUCUUUUUCCUUUGUGUGUUUUUGUCCCAUUGGGUUUUUCACACAAAAGGUUUUAAUGAGGGAUGUCUUCAUGAGUUCCAAGCUUAACCAUACCUUAUGGUAAAGCUUGAGGGAGAGUAUUGACAUGAAGAAAUAAACAGAAGAAGUUUUCAUCUAGCAAGGCUUGCCAAAGGAAAUCAAGCAAGGCCUGCUAGAAUGAACAGUAUCCCGCGGAACUACAGUAAAAACAGACUGAUAUUAUAUUUUAGCUUCCCAAGGAUGUUUGGCUACUAGAGUAAGUCUAUUAUAUUCUGCUUCUGUCUCUUGAUAACCAAUUAUAAGGAAAUUUUUUAGAUCUAAGGAAAUAAGAAAUCCUUCCUUACUCUCUCUCUCUCUCUCUCUCUCUCUCUCUCUCUCUCUCUCUCUCUCUCUCUCUCUCUCUCUCUCUCUCUCUCUCUCUCUCUCUCUCUCUCUCUCUCUCUCUCUCUCUCUCUCUCUCUCUCUCUCUCUCUCUCUCUCUCUCUCUCUCUCUCUCUCUCUCUCUCUCUCUCUCUCUCUCUCUCUCUCUCUCUCUCUCUCUCUCUCUCUCUCUCUCUCUCUCUCUCUCUCUCUCUCUCUCUCUCUCUCUCUCUCUCUCUCUCUCUCUCUCUCUCUCUCUCUCAUAUCAUAAUUAAUUAAUCUGAACUAAACAAUUAAUUUAGAAAAAUUCCAAAACUAAAAAACAGUAGUUAAAUCAUGUAUACACAGCUUAAAUUUAUAACCAUGCUGCAAGCUAAACAUAGCUUCUUUAAGCUACUUCAGAUCUCAGACAUCAUUUGAACCGAUUUUGGUUUCAUUGUUACUCUCCUUAAACAACUGCAUUAUUCUCUCAUUUACUUGAUCUUUAAGAUUCAUAAAUGGGCUCUGAAAUAGUAGUGGGCCGUAAGCCCAAUCAAAACAGAUAUGACCAAAUAAAGUGUUUAACAUGCCUUCUUCUUCUUCUCCAAUUUCAGAUUUGAUCCAAUCUGUAGCCUAAGGGGAAACGAAAAGGGGAAACUGCGACAAAUCAAAGGUAUGAUUAGAACCCAAAGAGACUCAUGAAAACACUUCAAUUCUCUGAAAUUGAUUGAAGUUUGUGCAGUUUUUUUCUUUCUGAUCGUAUCUUUGAUUGUGAAAAACCUCAGGUGGAUCCAUGGGUGAUGUACAACUAAAGAAAAGAGGAUACAUCUGGGCAAUCUCUGCUGGGUUCAAUGCAGCUCUUGCUGCCAUCUCUGCAAAGUUCUUCUCAUCUCUCGUAAUAAUAAUAACAUUUUCUUAGCUUCAUUUUUUUUUUUUUCCUUAGAGCAUUUUGAUUAAUUUAAUUUUGGAAUUUUUUAAUGUUUAACAGGUGCUAAAAUAUGGAUUGGUUGUAUUAUGCAAUGUGGUAAUGUGGGGAUGUUAUGUAAACAGCUUAAGAGCUCUCUCUUCUCUACAAGCUACCGUCACUAACUUUGCUGCUAAUUUCCUCUCUUCCGGUUUUGCUGGCCUCUUUCUGUUUCACGAGUCCUUAUCAUUCCGUGUAAGUUUUUUAUUUAAAUCUUGAAAACAAUGUUUCUUAUGCUAUGCUUUUCUUGGAUGUCAAAGCCUAUUACUAUUGCAGAUUCCAUAACUUGUACUUGUUUUUAAGGUUUGCGUGUAUUUAGGACACCAAUUGUUAUGUUGAAAUGGUAGUUUUGGAGUUGUAACAUGAGUUUGGCUGAUACAUUUUCCGAUAAAUAAUGCAGUGGUUUGCGGGAGCUUUAUCGAUCACCAUUGGAGUUGUAAUCCUCAGUAAGUCAAGUGUUGAUAAGAAGGUCAGUACGGAUUAGUACAAGAACCAAUAUAAUAGCUUUCCUUCUUGAGAAGGCUGGUUUUGCGUACAAGGAGUUAAGAGCUGGAGAUUAAGUUGUUUGAAGUUUUAGAUUUUAUUCUGUUAAGAGGACCAAACUUGUAAUACCUACGAUUGAUUUUCAUGAUUUUAUUGAAGUAGUUAAGACUGUUAAUACUAAAAUAAUGUUUGUUCUUUUUUUUUUUGGGUUUGUCAUGUCAAACCGCAACAAUCUACUGCACGGGUCUUCUUCUUCUGCAUCUUGAUUAAAAUCGAGAGGCAGUGGCAAGAAACUAAGAAACUAAUGCGUAGCUACGAUAAUAUGUGCCAAAAAUAUGUUUGAAACUUUCUAAUCACAAAAUAUACGGUUAGAUCAAAGAACCAGCCAUGUCGUGGGGCUUACGUCACAUAUUUUUUCAAUAGAAAUAUGGACAAUUCUGUUUUACUUUAUGUGAAGUGAACAUGCCCUUACUCAUUACUUGAUUUUCAAGCUACAAUGUCUUCUCUUAACGUUUCCAUCUCGGGAGUAAUAGGCAAAUUACUAGAGAUGUGAACAAUUCUCCACUUCUUAAACGAAACAUUUCGAUUUUUUUGGAGUUCUUUUUCUUUUGCAUUCACUUUUUUUAGGUUAACCACCGUAUACAUUGUAUAGUUUUGCAUCUGUGAAUAAAGGAAAAUAUACAAAGAUUUUUCUUCUACUUUCAAAAGCUAUUUUCAAUAUUUUGUAGACUCACAAGAUAAUUCUCAAGAAUCCACCAAACCCUGCUAUAAUCGUAUCAAAACAACAAUGAAAUAGUGGUUUUGUAGGAUACGACAUUACGGAAAAACAACAAUUGAAUCAAUCAUCGUGAUGAUGAGUGGUAGAACAACUGAAAAUUUGCAAAACAAUAAGGAAGUAAGACAAUGUAUGCAAAUAUAUCUUGAGAUCUAAUGACAUUGUUACAACAUUAAAUAUUAUUUUGAGGAAGGUUGAAGUACCAAGAAACAUUCAUUAGAUCUCGGAAAGACGACGUUCUAGGGUCACUACUGGGAUAAUAGAACUGUUAGAGAUCUAUAUGCAGAAGCGCGUUAAACCGAAAACAUACUAUUCUAGUUUAGCGAUGAACAUUGCUUGAUACAAUCUGGAAUUGGAUGCAAGAAUCAGAAAGAAAUCACAGAUGGAAAUCAACCACAUGUCCCCAUUCAAGUACCUUUCUAGUUGAUUCAUUGAAGCUUCUUCUCUCUAAAACUUUUUACUCACUCUUUAGAAAUAUAUUUGUUAUAAAUAUAUUAUUACAAUUGGUUCUCUUCUAUUUGCAAUGUCUAUAUAUAUAGACAGUCAAGAGACAUUUUGUGAGGAGUCACAUAUGUUCAAGGAAGAGACAUGUAUUUUCAGCAAAGAGACGCAUCUUUUAAAUGAAGAGUCACAUAUCUUCAUUUAAGGAGUUAUGCGAAUAAUUUCCUAAAACUAGGGGUUAACCAAACCGGUUUGUUAUGCUGCCUAAUCAUGGAUGCAAACCGACCAUAAAUUAAUAUCUCCCACUCACACAUGAUUGGGAGCAUGUCAAGUACUAGAGAAGUCUUAAAGAUCAAGCGCGAGAAUCCUAACUCAGAAAUCAUAGGGAAAAUGAACCGUGCGACCCUUACAAGUACACUAACACUUGGGAGUUAAAUUAUGCACCUGUUAGGAAUACAUACAAGUUACAACCCUAGAAAAUUAUUUUAGAUGUUUAAUAAUAUCUUAGUGUAUUUUGGAUACAUAUUAGGAACUACAAUCAUGUUUGGUACAAGUUUUUUUGGGAUUUUGAAGGUUUCGGGUUCUAUUGGGUAUCCAUUUAGGUUUGGGUUUGGAUAAUACUCAUAACCCAAAAUACCAUAAAACCAGAUCCAUUCGGUAUUUAUGUCAGGUUUGGAUCGGUUCGGAUUCAUUUUAAUUGGAGCGGGUUCGGUUUGGUUUAUCGGAUUCGGUUUAUUUUCCCAGUCCUAGUAAGUGAGAUGAGCUUAUACACUAGGCAUGAAUCCUCAUAUGUCUAAUUGGGUUUGUUUCGAGUCAUUUCGAUUUGGAAUUUUGAGAGCACAUUAAUACCAUUCGGAUAUUAUAAAAUUUUGGUUCAUUUUGGUUAGGUUUAAUCAUGUUUAGUCUGGAUUUAGUAAAUCACGUGAACACUAGAUGUACCAAGAAAUUUUUCAAAUUCAGUUCUAAACCUUAUUAAGUAAUCUGAGACAUUCAUUUCUACAUUAAAUAUACUCAAUUAACUUGAACGAGUGACUUUAUGACUUUGUUGAUGACUGAAAUCAUUAAGGUAAAACAAGGAUUUGAUUGUGGAAAACUUUUAAAAACCAAUCAUAUUUUUUGAUGAUAAAUCAUAUAUAAAAAUAUUAUGCUAACAACAAAGAAGAAUAAACCUCAUACGUAAAGAUAAUAAUUCUAACGCAAAAAAAAAGCUCACAUAUAUUCAUAACAGGUAAUCAUAACUCGUAUACAAAACAUUGUGCUAACGACAAAUUAAGAAAAACAAAUUUGAGUACAUGAAUUCGAGUAGUGAGACUAACUGAGCUAACAAAAAAAUAUAUGAAAAUUGCAAAAUAAACUUGAAAAUUUUGUGCUAAAAACAAAAUAGCAUAUGCGAGAAAGUAAAAAUCAUUGUCUACCAAAUCGAACCCAGUAAACCCUGAAAAGAUUGGGUUUUCAUGAUAUUAUGUAUAUAUCCAGUGCAAAGAAAAUUACUAAUACUUGUGAAUGAUCCUUGAAGUCUCUUUAGGAAGAGAUUUUUGGAAGUGACGAUUUUAUGUUUCCAUUUGGAAGAAUUGAAGAAACAAUACAAGAUUAUGAAUUUAGGGUUUCAGGUUUGUAAAUAGCCAAAGGCAUAAAAGAAAUCAGAGUAAAUAUACGAGAAUAAAAUUUAUGAAAAGUAUUGAUAUGAAAAAAUAAACAGAAAAAGUUUUCAUCUAGCAAGGCUUGCCAAAGGAAAUCAAGCAAAGCCAGCUAGAAUGAACAGUACCCGCGAAACUACGGUAAAAGCAGACUGAUAGUAUAUUUUAGAUUCCCUGGUAAGCCAAGGGUGUUUGGCUACUAGAGUAAGCCUAUUCUAUUCUGCUUCUGUCUCUUGAUAACCAAUUGUAAUGACAUUUUUAGAUCUAAGGAAAUAAAAAAUACUUCCUUACUCUUUCUCUUUCUUGUUCUUCACUCUGUUCUUCAAUUUCUUACAUGGUAUCAGAGCCUUUAAGCUCUUGAGUACCUAUUUCUCUUCCGCAAUCUUACUCUGAUACUCUUUCUCUAUUGAUUCACCGGUUUACUUUCGCAAUUUUCUCUUCAGAUUUCUUUUAUCUAGUGGAUAAUAAAUAUGUGUUUUUGAGAGAAGAUAGAGCAGCACAAGCCAAUAAUGAUUCCAGUCACCCUAAAGGGUUCUAACUACAUUACCUGGUCGAGAUUGGCUAGGACAGCUCUUGGGGAAAGAGGUCUAUGGGAGCACAUCACCACCAGUGAGGCACCAAGAAAAAUCACCCAAGGAGAAGAUGGCAAGGAGAUUGUAGUGGUAGAUGAAGGCAAAUGAGGUCAGGAGGAUCUCAUGGUGCUGUCUAUCUUGCAAGGCUCACUUGAUACUCCUAUCAUGGAGUCUUACUCACACUGUGAGAGUGCAGAGAAGCUAUGGGAUACCUUACACAAGGUGUAUGGCAACAGUUCAAAUCUCACCAGAAUCUUUGAGGUUAAGAGGGCAAUCAACAACUUGCAGCAAGAAGAGAUGGACUUCACCAAGCACCUUGGGAAGUACAGCCAGCUGUGGUCUGAACUUGAGAUGCUGAGGCCAAGCACCACUGAUCCUAGUACACUAGAAGAGAGGCAUGAACAAGACAAGGUCUUUGGAUUGUUUCUCACACUCAACCCAAGCUUCAAUGAUGUACUUAAACACAUAUUGAGAGCUAAGGAGCUUCCAAGCUAUGAUGAUGUGUCUGCUCAACUUCAAAAGGAGCUAGGCUCAGAUGGUCUCUUUGGUGGAUUAGGGAAGCUGUCUAUGGUAAACAAGGCUGAGAAGGUGGAGAGUGCUUCAGUCAACAAAGCACACUUCAAACCAGGAGGAGGAGACAAGUCUAUGACUUGUGAGCAUUGCAAGAAGCUAGGCCACUCCAAAACCAAUUGUUGGAUCCUCCAUCCUCACCUCAGACCGGCGUCAACCAACAGAUACAAUUAGACCAGAGCACAUGAAGCAUGAGCUCAAGAGGCCUCAGUACCAAGCUUCAUGCGCAUGGGAGAAUAUGGAAGACCCAUGAUCUCAACCACCCACACUGGUGGAUCCACAUCCCAUGACAUGUCUCAGCCAUCUCCUGAUGAUACUUUCAUCCGCAAGUCAGACAUUGAAGCCCUUAUCAAGGCUAUCAAUGCAAACUCUGGUAACAUAAGUAUCAAUGCUUUAAAUUCUAUCAUAGUACAUCUCAUACUACUAGACCUUUGAUCAUUGAUUCAGGAGCCUCUCAUCAUAUGAUUAGGGAUGCUAGACUGAUUAGUGAUGUUAAACCUGCUCUAGGGAGUGUAGUGAUUGCUAAUGGUGAUAGAAUUCCAAUUGAAGGAGUAGGAAACCUGAAACUGUUUGAUAAGAAGUCUCAAGCUCUUUAUAUGCCUACUUUCACAUCCAACUUAUUAUCUGUUAAGAGAGCAACUAAUGAUUUAAAUUGCAAUGUUAUUUUUAGUCCUAAUGAUGUUUGCUUUCAGGAUAUUAAGACUAGUAAGAUGCUGGGAAAAUGUGUGAGCAAGGGAGAGCUAUAUUUUUUUGAAGACACCAAAGUUUCAGAUUUAUCGUGUGCUUUUAAUUUUGCUUCUGUUUUAGCUAGUGAGGUGUUAUGGCAUGCUAGAUUAGGUCACCCUCAUUCUCGUGCCUUAGGUCUGAUGUUACCUAAUCUAUCUUUUAAGAAUGAAAGUUGUGAGGCUUGUAUUCUUGGUAAACAUCAGAAAUCUGUUUUUCCUAAAUCAAUGACUAUUUAUGAGAAUUGCUUUGAUCUUGUUCACUCUGAUGUUUGGACUGCACCUUGUGUGUCUAGGGAGAACCAUAAGUAUUUUGUUACAUUCAUAGAUGAAAAAUCAAAAUAUACUUGGUUCACCCUGAUUCAAACUAAAGAUAGAGUUUUAGAAGCUUUUGUUAACUUCCAAAACUAUAUAUCUAACCAUUUCAAUUCCAAUAUCAAAAUUCUCAGGCCUGAUAAUGGGGGAGAAUAUACCAGCAAUGCCUUCAAACACCACUUAGCAAAACAUGGGAUAAUUCAUCAAACAAGCUGUCCAUACACACCUCCACAAAAUGGAGUUGCUGAAAGGAAGAAUCGCCAUCUUAUAGAGGUUGCAAGAAGCAUGAUGUUCCACACCAAUGUCCCUAAGAGAUUUUGGGGAGAUGCUGUGGUAUCAGCAUGCUAUCUGAUCAACAGAAUCCCCACCAAAGUUCUUCAAUAUGCCUCUCCCUUUCAGGUACUAAACAAAAUAAAACCUCCAAUUGAUCAUUUGCGCGUGUUUGGGCGUGUUUGUUAUGUCUUGACACCAGGAGAAAUGAGAAACAAGCUAGAAGCCAAGAGUGUCAAGGGAAUGUUUAUUGGAUACUCCCACACACAGAAAUGUUAUAAGUGCUACAUUCCUGAUUCAAGAAAAGUUAUAGUCUCAAGGGAUGUUAAGUUUGUGGAAUCUAAGGGGUACUAUGAGGAAAAGAGUUGGGAAAGCCUUCAAGACCUCUCACAAGGACCUUCAGAUAGGGCAAACAACUUGAGAAUCAUUCUGGAGAGUCUUGGCAUCAGUCAGCCUCAGAGCAGUGAGGUGCCAAGGACUUUUCCCUCACCACCAUCUGCUGGAAACAAUGAAGAAGCAUCACCAGUUGUAGAAACAUCCCAUCCUGAUCCUUAAGGGGGCGGAGGGGGGCAGUGAACCUGAAUCACAACCGCAAGAAGGAGACGAUUCAGCAAGCACAUAUGAGCAAGAUGGAGAUGAAUCUGAUCAGUCUAGUGAAGAUCAGUGUAAUGGAGAUCAAGGACAAGAAGAGGCAGUGGUAGCAGGGCAACAGAUUCAACCAUUGAGAAGGAGUAUAAGAGUGAAGAAACCAUCCAAGUGGGUCGACACCAGAGUGUACUUCAACAACAAUGCAGUGGCUCACCCUAUCCAAGCAACCUGUUCUUUGGCAAGUUACCCUCAGGAGCAUGUAGUCUUCAUCAGCAAUAUGGAUCAAGAGUAUAUUCUAAAGACUUAUGAAGAAGCCAUGGAGUAUGAAGAGUGGAGAGAGUCAGUUGGAGAUGAAGUUAGUGCCAUGAUCAAAAAUGAUACUUGGUAUGAAACUGAGCUUUCUAAAGGAAAAAAAUCCGUUACAAGCCGCAUGCUCUUCACCAUCAAAUAUCUUGCCAAUGGAAAACCAGAAAGGAAGAAGACAAGUCUGGUUGCAAGAGGAUACACUCAAGUCUGUGGAGAAGACUAUUUGGAUACCUUUGCACCAGUAGCUAAACUCAACACCAUAAGCAUUCUUCUCUCCUUGGCAGUGAACCUAGAAUGGGAUCCUUGGCAGAUGGAUGUCAAGAAUGCUUUUCUUCAAGAAGAGCUACUGGAUGAGGUUUACAUGAGGCCACCUCCGGGUAUGGAAGAUAUGGUCAAGCCAGGGAAUGUCCUAAGAUUGAAGAAAGCAAUCUAUGGAUUAAAACAGUCACCAAGAGCUUGAUAUCACAAACUGAGUACAACUCUCAAUGGUAGAGGGUUUGUAAAAUCAGAAGCUGAUCAUACUCUCUUUACUCUCACAAGCAAGCAAGGAAUUAUGGUGAUACUGAUCUAUGUGGACGAUAAUAUAAUCACAGGAAGUGACAAGGAAAGUAUCAUCUCUACUAAAGCUUUUCUUAAAUCUACCUUUGAUAUUAAAAAUUUGGGUGAGCUAAAGUACUUUCUAGGGAUAGAAAUAUGCCGCUAUAAAGAGAGGGUUUUCUUAUCUCAAAGAAAGUACGCACUUGAUCUUUUAAAUGAGGCAGGGAAGCUUGGAGCAAAAGUAGCUAAACCACCACUUGAAGAAGGCUACAAAGUCUUGCGUGAGGGGGAGUUUGAAGACAAACCAUUUGGAAACUUCAAGCUCUAUAAGAUGAUGGUUGGGAAGUUGAUCUAUCUCACCAUUACAAGACCAGACAUCUGUUUUGCUGUGAACAAAGUCAGCCAGCAUAUGCAAGCACCGAAGGUUCAUCAUUGGAAUAUGGUGGAAGGGAUCAUGAGAUACAUAAGGGAGGCUCCGGGUCAAGGUGUUUGGAUGGGUUGCAACAAGAGCACAUAGAUUGUGGGAUAUUGUGAUGCAGAUUGGGCUGGUGAUAGAGUGGAUAGGAGGUCUACUACAGGUUAUUGCACCUUCAUCGGAGGAAAUCUAGUUACGUGGAAAAGCAAGAAACAAAAGCUGGUAUCAUGUUCAAGUGCUAAGGCAGAAUAUAGAGCAAUGAGGAAGCUGACAAGUGAGCUCAUUUGGAUCAGAAACUUGCUAAGAGAAUUGGGCAUAGAGACAUCAACACCAAAUACCAUGCACUGUGAUAACCAGGCGGCCAUUCAUAUAGCUUCAAACUCAGUGUUUCAUGAAAGGACAAAGCACAUUGAAGUGGACUGUCACAAGGUGAGACAAGUUGUGGAGCAGAAGAUCAUUCUACCUUGCUACACUAGAAGUGAAGACCAGCUAGCUGAUAUCUUCACCAAAGGAGCAAGUAAUAAAGUAUGUGAGUUCAUUCAUCCGAGAUUGGGACUCAUAGACCUGGAUAGAUCAUGAUCCCCUUAAGUCAUGAAACAUCUACUCUUUUUCCUUUGUGUGUUUUUGUCCCAUUGGGUUUUUCACACAAAAGGUUUUAAUGAGGGAUGUCUUCAUGAGUUCCAAGCUUAACCAUACCUUAUGGUAAAGCUUGAGGGAGAGUAUUGACAUGAAUAAAUAAACAGAACAAGUUUUCAUCUAGCAAGGCUUGCCAAAGGAAAUCAAGCAAGGCCUGCUAGAAUGAACAGUAUCCCGCGGAACUACAGUAAAAACAGACUGAUAUUAUAUUUUAGCUUCCCAAGGAUGUUUGGCUACUAGAGUAAGUCUAUUAUAUUCUGCUUCUGUCUCUUGAUAACCAAUUAUAAGGAAAUUUUUUAGAUCUAAGGAAAUAAGAAAUCCUUCCUUACUCUCUCUCUCUCUCUCUCUCUCUCUUCUUCACUCUGUUCUUCAAUUUCUUUCAUUAUUCACAUGGCUGUUGUUGGUUCAUGUUUGAAACGUUUUGUUUCUCUCUCUCUCUCUCUCUCUCUCUUGUUCUUCACUAUGUUCUUCAAUUUCUUACAAAAAGAUAUAUGGAGAGACAUCACUAUUUGUGUAGAUUUGAUGCUUGAUCGAGUUAAGAAAAGGAAAAUGUAAGAUUUGACAAACAUAUGAAUUCGGGUUGUGAAUAAUAUCGUCUAUUCGAUCAGGUUUCAGAUAUACAUACUGAUCUGAGCAUCCAUUAUAAAAAAUGAUGAAUCCUAAAAUUCACUCAAAAAUAAGGUUAGGGUUUACAGGUUGAUUGUAGAACAAGGAAGUCUUUGCUAGGUUCCUUGACCUCCAUUCCACAUUGAUUAACCCAUUUCCUUGUAAUGAAGGAUCCCUUGAACUUUGUGCCAUAUUGAUUGCGUUAUAUCUUCAAGAUAAGGAGUCUCCAAUUUCCGUCCAAUGAGCAAUAUUCUAUGCGCUCGCCAUUGAUGAGGUGAGCUAUAUUAUGAGUUGUGCAUUUAGAAAAGGCUGCCUACGCAUCCUUUCAGGAUCAAGCCUACGUAGUUCUCAGGUAAUAUCUUGUGUGUGGUAUAUUGUGUGCCUGUCCGAGGGAACUCCUUGUUUAGCUGGUCAUCUUAGUCUCUCUUCUAGAUAGGAAACUAGAAGAGAGGUCUCUUCUUUAGGUAAGUUUUUAGAUAUUUCUUAUAGCUAGGCAUCUAGGAGAGAUAACUCUUCCUGAGAUAGGCUUUUAGAUCUCUCUUGCAACUAGGCAGCUAGUAAAGAGAUCUCCUCUUAAGAUAAGCUUCUAGAUCUCUCUUAUAGCUAGGAAUCUAGGAGAGAGAUAUCUCUUAUAGGUAGGUAGUUAUAAGAGAGAGAUAUUCUUGAGAUAGGCUUCUAGAUCUCUCUUAUAGCUAGGAAGCUUGGCGAGAGAUCUCAUAUUGAGGUAGGCUUCUGGAUAUCUCUUAUAGCUACGCAGCUAGGAGAGGGAUCUAUUUUUGAGAUAUGCGAUUAUAUUUCCAGCUCUCCAGGUCGUCGUAUCUUCAUGUCGUUGGAUCAUCAGGUCAUCUAGGCGGUCUGACAGCUAGGCAGUUAGGCAGCUGAGAGCUGGGCAGCUAGAAGCUAGGAAGCAACGAGUUAGGCAGCAAAUAACUAAAUAAUAGCAAACAUAGAUAAAAAGAUAUAGAAAUAUGUGAAAAAAUCAAUAGAUGACUUCCUUUUGAUGAUAAAUAUGUGGAUCUUAUGUGAGAAUAGAUGAUGAAUGUGUGAAAUCUUCUUUAUCUAUUUCUUCUCUUCUCCGUUGAAUAUGUUUCCUCUCAUGGAAUGUCUCCGUUAGCUAGAUAGUUAUCCUCCUUUUAUAUAUGAUUUUUAGGCGAAGACAAUGUCAUUUAUAGUCAUUAAUUAAAAUAAAUGAUCGUAGUAAUGAUCAUUCAAGACCAUUGACCAAAACUUUUGAUGAAGAUUUGGUCAAAGUUUUGACUUGACUUUUCAUGGGCUCCAUGGGAUGUGGGCCUUUCGUCUUUUAUGGGCUUCUAGUUGGCGCCAAGUUUUGUAUAGUCGGGUCGGACUUGCAGUUCAAACUGGGUGUGAAACCGGACUCCAACACAAUGCCCCCACCGAAUUCUGCGAGCGAAUCACUAUGCUCGGAGAAUUGUUGAUAUUUCUCUGUGUGUGUUAUUGAGCUCGGGAAACCGGACUCCUUCAUUUGUGUUUUAAUCCUAGUUUAAUCAGUGCUUGAUAUCUACGUCGUCCGCAUAUGUGAGCAUAGCUUAGAUUUGAUGAGAUCUUUUGAAAAUAUUUAUCUGUGAAUUUAAAUUGUACCAAGGCUAACAUAAAUUUCAGUGACAUAGGGUGCACAAAGUGUUGACUUAUUCCAUAUGUGUUACGGUAAAAAACUGCCUAUAAGUACGAAAUCAAUUUUUGUUUUAUCCUGUUUAUAUGUGGUUUUUUUUUUUUUUUGUAACUUAAAGGGUUAAAUCCGGGUCUAUUAAAAACACAGACCUAACCCCCGGAUGGGAGGUGCAACCCACGGAUGGAUCCUCUCCCGGGUAUUCAAAUGGACCAUAAGCAUGGGCCCAUAUCCGCGUGGCCACAUGUGGAGCUAAUAAUUUCGCACUAGAGGGGAGUCGAUCCCUGGCCUAGACCAACAGGGCAAUUCCUCCUCUAGUGGAAACCACCACGAUGUGGUUGUUUAUAUGUGGUUUUAGGUGCGGUAAUGUGUCCGUCUUAUCGUGUACCUACUUGAGCGUUUUAGGAUGUUUGGUGUUUUCCGUGUUUUUGAAGUGUUUGCGGAUAUGAUACCCGACUGUCUUUUUUUAUAAGCGUGCAUACGUUCACGCGGGGCACGGUGAGUGAACUCAAUGGAUGCACCUCACGGUGAGGGUGUCGUUUCACCAAGACACUUAUUAGAAAUGCUGAAAGAAACCGGUUAUGCCUGGCCAGGCGCUGAUAUAUAUCUUGUUGUAAUCAAAAGAAUAUCUCGUGGAGCGUGUAGUUGGGAAAUAGAGUUACAAUUUUAGUUCAUAUAGCGAAAGUUUGAAAAAAUUAAGCUCAGCGAGCAUGUGCUAAAUUGAGAGCAUGAGCUUGAUGCAUGUUAGCUCUAGUGAGCAUGGACUCGGACACGAGCGAGAGCUCGAUGAGUGUAAUUUCAAGUGAGUGUGUGCUCAUGUGAUAUAAACAGAUUGAGAGCGUAAACUCGUUGAUCGUGAGGCUGAUUUGAGAGUGGGAGCUUGGUGAACACGGUAUCGGCGUGAACCAAGUGAGCUUGGUGAAUAUGUUGCUCGGACUCUAUUUUCUAGUCUUGAUUAGGGAUUGUUGUUGUAUUUUUGUCGACCAAAAAUAGUGUCUCAGCUUCAUGACAAACCCAUGAAUGUUCCUUCAUUUAAUAUGAAUCCGAGGUGAUAUGAUCCAGGUGGUGAUAUGAUCUAAGGUGCUGGCAUUAUGACCUCGAUAUGCGGCCUGAUGAAUUCGAUUAAUAGAGAGCAUCUAAUAUUUCUGGCAACGAUGCUUUCUGUCGUUAUACUCCACUGUCGGAUUCAUGCUCGAAACUCUUCUUCAGGUUCAUGUUCUUGUUAUGCCUUUGGCUUCUUGUACUUUGUAGUCGUAUGGCUUUGAUGAAUCGUUAUGUUAGAAAACGAAGGAUUUGCUCAAAAGUGUUCCAAACCUUCCGAGUCCUAUUCUUAAUAAAGUUACUUCUUUUCCACAAUUUUGAUGUUUUGAUUCAUGUGUUACUUUAGAACCCUCUACUCCUGCCAAUGGUUAGGCUGCUUCCAUGUUGUAUGUGAGCGUCAGAUUUAGCACGAAUGAAUGUCUCUGACUUUCUCUUAUGAAUAUUCUUUAGAAUGACUGCUUUUUAUUUUAGUGGAGCAUGGCUUGUAGGAAUUUAUGGACGAGCUGUUAUAUGUGGCGAGUGAGCUGAGAGCUCGGGGAAUUCUGAAUUGGCAAGAGAGAUUACUUCUACGGUUUCCUUGGUGUGGAAUGAUUUACCAUAAUCAUUAAUGAAGAACUUCAAGAUGUGAUUUUGGUGAUGUCAUUGCUGUUGACGAACAAAGAGGAUGGUGAUUUGAGAUUUUAUUUAGACCUCGGUAAAUGGAUUCUUUGUCGUGUUGCCGGGUUUUUUCUUACCUCCACGUCAUUGAGCUCUUGUGAAAUGUUGGGCAAGAUAUGGGCUUUUGUUUUAAAUAACAAACGGGCUUCCUUGACUUCAGUGUGAUUUUUGCUUGUUUAUGACAACAAGAUUGACGAGCUUGAUAAUCUUGAUGACCAUCAAAGUCUUGGUUUGAGUGCUGGUCGUCAACAUCCAAUUUUCUGUUUCUUCCAAUGUCUCCCUCUCCAGACGUGUUUUUGUUUCAGUCAUUGUCAUGUGCGUAUUUGUGUUUCACAUAGGAUCUUUAGAGGGAUAUUUUUUGAAUAUAUUCUUUCUUCUAGCGCCAAAUGAUGAAUCAUAAAAUUCACAGAAAUAAGGUUAGGAUUUUUGGUUGAUUGUAUGACAAAAAAGCCUCGCUAGGUUCCUUGACCUCCAUUCUGCACUGAUUAUUCUAUUUCCUUGUAAUGAGAGGUCCCUUGAACUUCAUGACAUAUUGAUUGCGUUGUGUCUUCAAGAUAAAAGGUCUAUAAUCUCCCUCCAAGGAAAAAUAUUAUAUGAGCCGGUCAUUGAUGAGGUGAGAUAUAUUAUGAGAUGUGCCUUUGGAAAAGGCUGCGUACGUAUCCUUAUCUGGAUCAAGCCUACGUACGUAGUUCUUAGGUAAAUUUUUAUGUGUGGUACCAGGUGUGACUGUCCGAGGGAGCUCCUUGUUUAGCUAGUCAUCUUAGUCUCUCUUCUAGCUAGGAGCUAUAAGAAACGUCUCUUAUUUAGGUAGGGUUUUAGAUCUCUUUAGUAGCUAGGCAGCUAGGAGAAAGACUUCUUCUUGAGAUAGAAUUUUAGAUCUCUCUUGUAGCUAGACAUCUAGGAAAGAGAUCUCUUCUUGAAAUAGGCCUCUAGAUCUCUAUUGUAGCUAGGAGAAAGAUAUUUUCUUGAGAUAGACUUCUAAAAAUCAAUUAUAUCUAGGCAGCUAGGAGAGAGAUUUCUUCUUGAGAUAGAAUUUUAGAUCUCUCUUAUAUCUAGACAGUUAGGAGAUAUAUCUUUUUGAGAUAGGCUUCUAGAUCUCUCUUAUAGCUAGGCAUUCAAUUAGAUUUCAGUAUUUCAGGUUAUUGUGUUAUCAGGUCGUCGGAUCGUCAGAUCUCCAAGGUGUCAAGUCAGCUAGGCGGUUUAACAGCUAGGCAGUUUCGUAACUAGUUAACUAGGCAGCUUAACAACUAGGAGCUCAGAGUUGGAAGCCUAUGAAUUAGGGAACAAUAAGCUAAAUAAUUACAAUCAUAGAUAAAAGAUAUAGAAAGAUGUGAAGAAUUAAUAUAUGACUUCACUUUGAUGAUACGUAUGUGGAUCUUAUGUUGGAAUAUAAGAUAAAAGAGUUGAAUUUUCUUCGUAUAUUUAUUUUCUUCUUUUUUGAAUAUGUUUUCCUUGUUAUAAAUCAAUUGAUGGAUGUCUAUAACCGGCCUGGUCCAUAACCGGCUCAUACAAUUUGAGAGAGAGACGGCCCAACCCUAGAGAGAGAGAGGCGGCUUAUGCUUUGGAGAAAAGGAAACUCUAUUUCUUUUUCUAUGUAUUAGUAGUUUUCCUUAUCUUAAUUGAUUUAGGUUUUGGAUACUUUCCUUUUUACUUAUCUUGUAAUCCCCUAUAUAAAGGGAACACUUAUUCAUUAAUGAAACACAGAAACAUUCAGCUCUAAGUCUAGUGUUUUACAACACGUUAUCAGCACGAGUCUCUAAACUCCCUGAGAAAAUCAAAAACCCCUUAAACCUAAAACCUAGCCGGCGACCUUGAACCCUAACCCGACGAAUCCUAAUCUGUUCUUGCAAGCGUUCCAGCUUGUGUUCAUCCGAUCAGCUCCAGCCCUAAGGUGUUUCUGAUACAAGACGAACACAGCCUCAGCUCCAUCCAUUCUCAGCUUGCAUCUCGGACAGCUACAGCUCGCGUUCCCCGAUCAGCCAGCUCGCGACCCAACAGAGAUCAGCUCGCGCGACUUCAACUCUAGCUCGUUCCAGCUCGCGUCCGUUCGAGGUUCUCUUGGUGGUCCGGUUUCUACAAUCUGCAUGAGAGUUAGGUUGAUAGAUUACUCUGAUUCUGAAACCCUAAAAUAUAGCUGCAUAUUACCAACCUUGAAAUUGGUAAACCCUAAUUGAUAUGCAACUGAAUGAUAAGAUUGAAUGCAUCUAAAUUGAUUAUCCUUGUUUGCAUUAUAUUCUGUUGUGGUCGUGUGAUUUUGCUAUGAACCAUACCGAACGGUCGUGUGGCCUAACCAUUCCGAUGCAUUGUUCAUACUCGCGGCCUUGUUCCCUUGAUAGAUCACAUUGUUUGCAUCAUGUGAUUGAAAGCCGUGUGGCUUAAUGCAUCAUAGCUUGGCCGUGUGGCCUUGAGAGACACCAUAUCUGAAUGGUCGUGUGACCUUGCUUGCAUAUCUCAUGAACCGAUCUCUAGGAUCGUUGUAUCACAUUACAUGGCCGUGUGGCCUAAGCAUCACAUAUAGACCUAGCAUUCUCGACUUGUUUCGCACCAUGAUCGAGUAGUAAAGUGUUUUGGUCGAGAGACUUAUGAAAUCAUAUGCACUGAUUAUUUUGAAUUGGUUGCAUCCUAAAUCAUGAAUUGAUUGAUAAUAUGGUUUCAGAUGCCGAAAUAUGAGCCUUUGGAUUAUGCCAUUCUAAAUCCCUCUGGAGAAAAUUAUCUAGAAUGGGCAAUGAACACUUCAGUUGUCCUGAAAUCAAGAGGACUCGGAAGGAGUAUCAUUCAGGGUAACUAUGCAACUGGAAGUGAAAAGUAUAGGGCCAUAACAAUUAUGCGCCAUCAUCUCACUGAGGAUCUAAGAAAUCAGUACCUAAAUAUUGAGAAUCCUCGUGACCUUUGGACAAAAUUAAAAUCCAGAUACACAAUGGUGUUAUUACCAAAGGUCAGACAUGAAUGGAUGAGUCUCAGAUUCCAGGACUUUGAGUCUGUGGAUGAAUAUCAUUUUGCUUUGUCCAAAAUCGUUUACAAACUGAGACUAUGUGGUGAAGUGGUAACAGAGGAGGAUUUACUGGAAAAGACCUUCCUCACAGCCGAUCCAAGAGAUCUAUUGUUACAACAUAUCUAGAGAGAAAAAGGUUUCACCACCUAUAAUGAUCUGCUCUCAUGCCUAACUGAGCAGAGUAAUCAGUUGCUAAAAAGAAAUAGUGAGAUGAGAUAUUCUGAAGCAAAUAAGACUGAUGUGGAUCAGGAUGAAUCCAAGGCAGCCGUGUCCAAUGUAACUGAUGGUGUGGCCGGCAUGUCUAUUGAAUAAAGAAAGAUCUUGACAUGCUAAUUGUGUUUUAAGUAUUUGAUUUGUGUUUUGCUUUAAACCUAAUUGUCAUUCACGAUUUUAUAUAUAAUAAUAGAAUUGAUUUUAGUUCAUUACUAUUAUAUCUUGUCUGAUCUUACUUGAUAAUGUGAAUGAUUGAUAAAGAAAUCGCCUAAAAGGCAUUAUGAUACGGUAUAGUAGCCUAGUAAGAAAUCUAUGGCUAAGGCAUUGCCUAAAGGGCAUUAUAUACACCCAAGAAUAUAUGACCCAUUGAGUUAAUAUGGUUUCCAAAUAGAAACAAUGGGCAAAAGGAAACAAGUUCCUUCAGAUUUAAGAAAGAAAGAAAAUGCCUAAGACCCUUUAAGAAAGUGGUCAAGACUAUACCUAUGUAAUCUACUGAUCAAAACUAUGCUACAGAUCAGUAUAAUAAGAGACAAGAGCUGUGGGGAUCAUACUGAUAUAUCCCACGAAAAUUAUACACUUUAUGGCAAGACCGGAUUAGCCAUCCUAGUCUAAACUUGAUGCAAAGAUUGAUAUUGAGAAGGCACAAAGAGUUAUCUCAUAAGAUCUCACGUUGUGAAACAUGUACACAAAGGAAAACUCAUUAGGCUUUAUUGUCCUAAGCAUCACGAAAUUAUAGUAUGUUCAUGAGGGGGAGAGAGGAUAAACCCGUGAUACAUGAUCAAUACUACAAAUUCGUGAACCAUGGUCUAUGACCAUGAUAUAAACGGCUUGGCCGUGCAGUCCAUUACCUAUAAGGAUCGGACAUCCAUCCUAAAGCUUAGGGACAUCAUGGAUUUACAUGUAUAUAAAGUAAAAAUAUAUCAGGCCAUAUAAGUGAGCAUAGAUAUUCUCAUCUCAGAUUGAAUACGGGUCGUAAACCAGACAUACACCAUCUUAAGAGACUUUGAAUAAACCACCACAGACAUAUGUGCCGUCUAAGAUGGAACCUCAGAAGAGGAUUGGGAAUAUAUGUUGGAUAAGAGUAUGACUUUCUCCCACGACUUCUAAGAGACCUUGAGCCAAAUAUGGGUGAUCAGAAAGUGGCCAGGUACACGGAUUGCAUGAUCAAUGAAUCCGACUAUCCAACAUUAAAAGGAGAAAGCUAUAAGCUGGUAAAGAGUAAAGAAUGAUAAGAAACAGAAUGGUAUCAACCAUCAUUGUCUUGGCAAAGAUCCUCGGAUUAGAAUUAUAGACGUCCAAAGAAAGAAAAGAUUAUACAUAGCUAGCUAAUCGAGAUGCCAGACACUGACCCGAAAAGAAAAGAAAAGAAUGACUAAGUCAUAACCAGCUUAGCACCAAACGAAAUCUGAUGUCCUAGAAAGAGACACAGUCAAGUUGCUACAGAGUCUAUACAAGAUAGACCAAAGUGUUCCAUAAGAUAAGGAACCUCGGAAAGAAAAAGAGAAAGGUGCAUAGAAUACAAAUCCGAGGUCAUAAGGAAACCAGACCAGACAUUGAGAAAAGGCUGCGCAGCUAAACAUCUAAGGUACCAAACCAUGUAGUUUGGGACGCCAAGCUACUAGGUAACAAAGGUCCUGGAUAAUGAAAUCUCAAAUCGAUUAGAUCAUGUCUGGAACACAAUGGAACCAUAUAUAAGUGUCGACACAUAAAGAUAUAUUUGUACAUAAGAGAGUAGCACUUGAACAUAAAGAUAUAAACGAGGAUCAGAACCCACGAAAGAGUACUCAUAAAGAAUAAAGAUUAGAUUGAAAAGAUAAACGUGGGGUUUAAAGUAUCUAUAGAGAAAGAUAGGCGUAUUGGCCACAUACAUAUAUACAGAAACGCCAUCUGAUAUAAACCAGUGAAAUAGAUGGGUCUUGUGAGGGAAAAGAAACCGUGAGAUAUGGUACAUGAUCACGAGGUCUAAAGGUGUUCAUGUUUCCUACUAACAGCAUUCGAUCAUAGCUUGUUACACAAGGAUACUCACAGAGACCAUGGAACAGAUUAUAAGGAGAUAAACUCCUAUGUGGUGGAUGCUGCUACACAAUUUCGAAAUUGACAAAGGUCUGGUCAUAAGAAAGAAAUUAGAUUGACAUAUAAAGAUGUAGUAAGCAGCAUAUGGAUCACUGGAUAAAGGACAUCAUUGUUCCUAAGCUGUUCAUGGACUGAAACAAAGCAGCUGCAUAUAGUAUAUAAUACUAGUAAAGGAGUUCUAUAAGAACGAUCAAAUUCAGUCCAUAUGUAAACUAAUAAAGAAAUUCGAAUUCCUUGUGUUUAUACUAAACCAACCUAAAGAGAGGUUAAAAGGUUUAUACAGAUCUGUGACACUAGCAUGGACCGACUAGAUUGUAGUACGGGCUAGUGGAAAAGAAAGAUCAGCCCAAAGAAAGGUAAUUCGGAUUGCCUCAGCUUGCUACCUCGGAUAGCAUGUUCUCCGGAUAGACCAAUCCAACAUCAGAUCCCUUAGAUAAGGAUCCGGCAUAGCAGAACAGUCUGCUGCUGCUGUGAGGCUGAGAGGAGACAUUUAAUCUAUCCUUCUCGAUCGGAUACCAAUAGGUUGCAGUCCAUAAGAAUGUGUGAUCGAAGUCCAUGACCUAAUAUAUAUUCAUUGUGUGAUAUGAUCCACAGCAACAGAGGUCAUGAGACGACAUCAAUAUAAGGAUAAGACUGCAAUGAAAAACGAAUAUGGCAUUGCCUAAGGCAAUAGAGAUCGAUGACCACAUGUGAGAUUCAUGAGUGUAUUUGGCCAUAGUGCCAUAGUUAGAUAAGAUUGUAAAAUUCAUUACAACAAAGAUCAUUGAUCAAGUCAUGAUCUUGGACACUCAUGAGAUAAGUUAUGAACAUGUAUAAAAGAAGUCUAUGACUCAACAUGGAUCGAUCAGAUUAGUGCAUAGUCGAUGGUAGUAUAGAGAAAACUCAAACAAUCCGUUACCUAUCAAUCAACAUUUUAACAUCUUCAUAGGCGGCUAAUAGCCAAAGAGAGUAUCCGUGAGGAUGUUUUUGGUCGAGGACCAUAGUCCUACAUGUCUGACCAAAGUAUAGAGUGGUCGACAGCAAAGGUUCACUUCUUGACCAUGUACACACGAUGUCAGAAGACAUGAGAAAAGACCGGAAAGAUCAAAAUGGUCCAAUUACGGUUCAGUAAUAAACUUGGCCGAUUUGAUUACUCCCUUCCUUCACGUCCAGGAAAGAUCACGCAUCAGAUGCGUAGACUACAGAACCUACACUGAGGUUCACAUAAGGGGGAGCAGUACGUGUUGUACUCUUUUUCCUUCAUCAUGGUUUUGUCCCACUGAGUUUUUCAUGAUAAGGUUUUAAUGAGGCAACAUUAAGCGUAUUACAAUCCCUGAAUGGUUAUGACAUCCAAGGGGGAGUGUUAUAAAUCAAUUGAUGGAUGUCCAUAACUGUCCCGAUCCAUAACCGGCCCAUACACUUAGAGAGAGAGAGACGGCCCAACCCUAGAGAGAGAGAGAGAGGCGGUCGUGACCUUAGGGGAGAGAGAGAGAGACGGCUUAUGCUUUGGAGAAAAGAAAACUCUAUUUCCUUUUCCUUGUAAUUGUUAUCUUUCCAUUAUUAUGUAUUAGUAGUUUUCCUAAUUCUAGUUGGUUUAGAUUUUGGAUACUUUCCUUUUUACUUAUCUUGUAAUCCCCUAUAUAAAGGGAACACUUAUUCAUUAAUGAAACACAGAAGCAGCUCUAAAUUUAGUGUUUUACAACAUUACUUUCAUAAAAUAUCACACUCUACCUAGGUAGUUAUCCUCAUUUUAUAUAUAAUUUUAGGUGAAAACAAAAUCAUUUAUAGCCAUUAAAUAUAAUAAAUGAUUGUAUUAAUGAUCAUUAAAGAUUAUUGACCAAGAGCAUUGAGCCAUUGACCAUUGACAAAGACUCUUGACUAAAAUUUGGUCAAGGUUUUGACUUGACUUUUCAUGGACUCUAUGUGGUAUGUGUCCUUUGUUUUUAAUGGGCUUCUGGAAAUCGCUAAAUUUUGGAUAGUCGGAUCAGAUUACAUUUUAGACUGGGGAUGGAGAUGAAACCGAACUCCAGCACAAAAUCUAAAGAUUUACUCGGUUGAUCCAAACCCAAUCCAUACCGCUUUUCCGAGACUGGGUUUCGUUCAAUUUAUUGGAUUAUGUCGAUUUGCCCAUACUAGUUUUUACACAUCCGAAUAACUAAUGUAAAAUUGUAUUUUUCUUGAAUUAUAAGAAUCACAAAGGUUAUAUCAUAUGGACAACACUAAUAAAAAAACCUUCGAUAAUUUUGUUGCCUACUCUUUAGGCCUAAACCUCGGAAGCCGUAUUUUAACAUAGUUUGAUAAUUGAUAGUAACGCCCCAAUAGCCAAUACAUCACAUUAACUAACUGAAAUAGUUUAGUUGACUGAUAAUAUAAAAUGAAUAUAUGCAGUAAUUUCUUUAAAUCAAAAUUAACAUAUUGGUCACCAUAUAUACACAUAUGAGUGAGUGUUUACGUGGUUAGACACUGAUACCAUUCCUCUACCAAAACGUCUUCACCUUUUCAACUCUUCAUCUUCAUCUUCAUCUUCUUUCUCUUCUCAUUCGAAAUAACAUCUACAAAUUAAAUAAACAAAUAAUAUCAAAACACAAAGAGAGAAAAAUGAGUGAUGUUCGAGUAAACGCAGAUCAACAAGAAGAAGGAGAACAACAACAAAACCUGGUCAAAGCACCGGUCAAGCGACCCCUCGGCCUCCUCAUCACCACUUACGGCUGCCUCUUCGUCGGCUCCAUCGCCUCGAGCCUCCUCGCGAAAUACUACUUCGUCCACGGUGGCUCGAGCCGGUGGGUCUCCACGUGGGUCCAAUCCGCCGGAUUCCCACUCCUCCUCGGGCUUAUCUACUUCCCUCGCUUCGUCUUCAAAACAACUAAGCGCCGUCCCUUCACGCGCUUCACACACCGCCAUCUCCUCUUCUCCGUCGUAAUCGGACUCAUCCUCGGUUUCAACAACUUCCUCUUCUCAUGGGGUACCUCGUACCUCCCAGUGUCCACAUCAUCACUUCUCCUCUCGACACAACUCAUCUUCACUCUGAUCUUGUCCGUGAUCAUAGUGAAACAGAAAGUCACUUUCUCAAAUCUCAAUUGUGUUGUUCUCUUAACGUUAAGCUCUGUUUUAUUAGCUCUCGGUUCGAGCCAAGAUAAACCGGCCGGUUUAACUAAAACCAAAUAUUUCAUCGGGUUUUUAUCCACGAUCGGAGCCGGUUUACUCUUCGCGCUCUACCUGCCCGUGACGGAGAGGGUCUACAGGUCCGUUUAUUGCUACGCGAUGGUCAUGGAGAUGCAACUGGUUAUGGAAUUUUCUGCCACGGUUUUCGCCACAAUCGGUAUGGCUUUCGACGGCGGGUUUAAAGAAAUGGUUAAGGAAGCGAAC